ACUCCAAUCAAAAUCAUCUCGUUCUCGAUAUUAGUUUUCGUAACCAUUAACAUAGCUGAUGGUCAAGCUCAACCAAAUCAAUCAACCUUGGUGUUCUACCUACAAGAUGUCGGAAAAGGGCCUAAAGCAACCGUUUCACCCGUUAUAGGCAUCAAUGGCAAGGUUUGGUCAUACAACACAUUUGGAACAAUAUUUGUUGUUGAUGAUCCUGUUACAUUAAGUCCUAAUCCAUUUUCAACUCAAAUCGGAAAGGCUCAAGGUACAAUUACAGUAACUUCUCAAGAUGGUGGAAAUGUGAACAUAGUUUUGUCAAUUGUGUUUAACAAUGCGCAAUAUGCUGGUAGUACUUUGGAAAUUCAAGGUACAAGUCGUCAACGAGAUAAUUUAAGAGAGCUUGGAGUUGUUUCUGGAACGGGAAGGUUUAGAUUUGCUAGAGGAUUUGUUGUAUUUGAAACUAUAUCUUAUGAUCCUACUUAUAGUCAAUCUGUUAUUAGGUUGACAUUAACCUUGGAAAUACCUUAAAAAUAUAUGUAUUAUUAUACAAGCUAUGAUGAUACUGGUUUCAUAUAUGUACCGAUAAAUAAAAAUCAAAGAGCAAUAUUUGAUCCUUUUAUUUUAUUAAUAUUUCUUUAUUAAUAUUAUUUUGUAUUCCAUGUUCAACUGUCAACCUAUUAAAUGUUUAAUGUCGUGUAUCUUGGUUAGCAACGUUGUCUCUGUCUGGUUUGAUUCUUGCCCGAUAGAUUUAAGGCGUAUUUUUAGGUUGGAGUGAUCUGAUUUGUCUGUUAGGCACGUUGUCUAGUCUCUCUUUAUAUGGGCCUUUGAUCCUCCCUUUCACAAAAAAUAAUAAUUUUAAAUGUCACAAUUUUGAGGCCAAGAUGAUGCUUGUAGAGGCAUUUUAAGGGGUGAUGUUAGAGUUUUUUUUUUGUGUUUUGGUUUUUAAAUUAACUAUCAAAUGCUCAAACUAUGAAGCAGUACUUUCAGGAAGUUCUAGACUUAGGCGUGCUUAGAGUAGAAGAUAUUAUCUUUUAGUACUCUAUUUAUAAGAGAAAAAUUAUUUUUAGGUUCAUUGAAUAAUCGAUGUAUCUGGACUGUAUCAUGGACCAGAUACAUUGAUUAUUCAAUUAAUUAAAAAAUUAACUUUCUCUUAUAAAUAGGGCCAAAGAGAAUAAUAAUGAUACAUAAAAUUUAUAAAAAUAUUCAUUGAUUCAUCAUCUAUUUAAAAGUGGAUGAAGACAUAGUUUGUGUGUACUCAUAAAUUUUUUAUUGCAUGUAGUCAGUUAGUUUUUUCAGAGUUUUCUGAUCAAAUUUAAAGGUCUAAAGUUUAAUAUAAGUAUGUUGUAUUUUAAAAAAUAAAAAAUAAUAUUAAAAUUUAAAUUGUUCAUUCUUGAUGAGAUGAUCUUGACGUGGCUCAUUAUGUGCAGUAUGAUUGGACCUAAUCUAAAUCCAAUGAAGACAUUAUCAAUAUUUAUCUCGUCAUGUAUUUGAUAUACACAUGAUAACUAUUAUUCUGCGGGGCUGAAUAAAAGAAGGGCCUAAUUGCCACUUUGAGGCCAUCCUAACUAGGUCUUGAAGGUUCAAGACAGUCCAAUUAUGAAGGAUACCCACUAUUUGAUAUAAUCAGACAGUUUUCCUCGAUCCUUGGGAUAAAAGAAGAUAUUUCUCUAACAACCCAUCAUAUAUAUACUUCAGCGUGCAUGAAACAUGGGGUAUGAAUUUCACCAUACUUUACUCAACCUUUUUUUUUUACUAAAUAGUUGAUUUGGGCAUUGGAGUGUUAAUCUUGCAGAUCCACCCUCGCACUUCCGGAUUAGAUACUUGCACCAUAAUAUUGAGAGUUAAUAUCACCAAUUCAUCAAUAAUUAUGGUUCUAGAAAGGAAUAGUAGCGUCGUCUGUGGGAACUCGAAUUUGAAUUCCUGCGAAUUUCCACAAUCAAAUGUCUUUAAAGUCUCAAUCAUUGUAAUAGUCCCGCUGAGGUGUAGGAAGUAAUUGUAGAUAUUGUUUCCCAAAGCAUCUUGGAAUCGUCUAGUCUAGGAUCACCUCAAAUCUUUAUCGUAGAUACGAUGAAUGAAGAACUACAUGGCGAGAGAGAACCUCCACUUCAGAAUUAUCUCACAUUAACACAAAUCGAGAGGCGAGAAGAAGACAAGCCCUUAGUAGAGUUUCAAGGUCAUUAUAAGGUGAAUGGAUUCCCUAAUGUGACUCUUCCUCUAGUCGUAAUUGCUACAAUAGAAAAUCAUGAUGUAUCAAGGAUCCUCGUUGAUGGUGAAAGCUCAUGCGAUGUGAUGUAUCUCAAAAUUUUCAUGACGUUAGGCUAGAUCUGAAGCCAACUAGAUCUAAAGCCUUGCGAAGGAAAAAGUCUCAUAGCAUUUGAUAAUUCAUUUACUCGUCCAUUAGGGUGUAUAGAUCUGUAGGUUUCCUUUAAAAUAGAAAAAAAAAUAAAAGAACCAUGGAAUAUCCCUUCUUUGUGAUCCCUUAUGAAUGGGUGUACAAAGGAGUUCUUAGAAGGCCAUUCAUAACAAUGCUAGAUCCUAUGGCUUCCACUGUUCACUCGAAGAUGAUGUAUCAUAGAGAUUUUGACAAGCCGGUCAUUAUUGCAGUUGGCGUGCGUGGAACAUGUCUUUUACAUGAGGCAAUAUUGAAAAAUCCCUUAGAAACUAUUAUCACUUCUAAGAAAAGGAGAAAGAACACCAGUGGAAUGAUCAACCUAGCCGACCAAAAGAUGAAGUCCUACAAGAUGACGAGCUUGAUCUCUCCACGAGAACUAUGAAGAAUACCUUGAUACCGACUAUUUAUGGUGAAUUAGAUAUCGUUUAACUCGACAAUAAUCUAGCUUGGCCAAUCAAAAUAACUCUGUUAACCUACCAAUUAGGGUGAAGAAAGGCUUAGUUGAAUACUUAAUAGCCAACAAUGACCUAUUUUCCAUUUCCCUAAGAUAUUCUUGACAUAUACCCAAGGGUGGUAUGCCAUCAGUUAUACAUAGAUCUUAGUGCCCAAUAUGUUUCCCACCAAAGAAGGUGACAAUCUCAUGAGAUUGUGCGUUGAUUAUUCCAAACUUAACUAGGUGUGCCUGAAAGACUCGUAUCCUAUUCCAAACAUAGACAGGUUGGUAGACAGUUCAUCUGAAUACAAGUUUUUAUCAUUUAUGGAUACAUAUUUUGGUUACAAUCACAUACCCAUGUAUGAGCCAGAUAGAGAUAAAAUAACUUUCGUGACUAAAGAAGGCAAUUAUGUGUAUAACAUGAUUCCUUUUGUCCUAAAGAAUGCAUGAGCAACAUACUAAAGAAUUAUGAAUAAAGUUUUGAAGGAAAAAAAUAGGUAAAAUACUAGAGGUAUAUAUAUGUACAUCAUGAUCUUUAAGUCCAACAAAGUGGAAUCACACGAUCAACAUCUCACCUGCGUAUUCCGAAGAGUCAGGCAAUACAAUAUUAGGCUUAACCCAUAGAAGUGUACCUUUGCAGUUAGAGUUGACGAAUUGUUGGGUUUUUAUCUUACAAAGAGAGACAUAGAAGAAAACCCAGAUAAUUGUGAGGCAGUUAUGAGAAUGGCAACAAUAACAAAAAAGAAAGAAAUGAUGAAAUUGAAUGGAAUCACUAGGCACGUACAUCUUGAAGUCGACUCAAACCGCCUAACCGUUAUACAAAUUCUUGAAUAAAAAGGAACAUUUCGAGUAGACCCUAGAAUGUGAGCAGGCUUAUGUAUCUCUGAAGACGGUCCUAUCAACCCCAUAAGUACUAACUUUUCCAUCCCCCAAGGAGAUUUUGUAUCUUUAUUUAGGUGUUUUCACUGAAGUAGUCAACACCAUCCUUUUAAGACAAAUGAACUUUUCCAAGUCCCAUUCUAUUUCACCUCCAAAUCCUUAGUUGGAACAGUAAGACACUAUCAAAAGAUAGAUAAGGCAGAACUGGCAUUGGUAACUACAUCCAAUAAGCUUGAACAAUACUUCCUAGCACAUGCCAUAGUAGUCCGAACAAACUUACCCUUAAAGCAAAUGCUACAUUGCCCAAAUUUAGCAGGAAGACUAACAAAGUGGUCCAUCUAAAUGUAACAAUUUGAUGUUUCCUUAGAAUCAAGGAAUGCGGUGAAGGAACACCUGCUCAUACAUUUCACUGCAAAGAAGACCCCAAUCACACCAGAUUCUGCUCUUACAUGGUAAUGUUUAUAGAUGGAUCAUCCAAUAGCCAAGAAAUUGGAUAAGUUGGUUUAGUGAUUAAAGCGUUACUGCUCUUCAAAAUUUGUGCCACUAAUAAUGAAUCUAAGUAUGAAGCAAUCAUUGUUGGCAUUACGUUAUCCGUCGAGAUGGGGGCAAAGAAUGUCAAAUUGAGAACAAAUUCCUAGCUCGUGAUCUUACAAGUAAAAAGGGAAGGGUAAAACAAUGAGUUGUUCUUAAGAUGAUAUGUUGCUUUAUCCAGGGAAAUAAUAUAAAAAUCAUCAUAGAUCUUAAAAGUUCUAAGAUAGCAGAAUACCCGAGUCGACAUCCUGUCCAAGCUCGUAAGCACAAGGACAUUUGGGGUAUAUCAUUCUUUUAUCUAAUAAACUCUAAUGGUCCCGAUGUAGCGGUAAACUCAUGACCAUCAAGCUAUGAAUAAACUUGACGUCAGUAAAACCAGAGUCGCCACCGCGCUUUUAUUGUUUCCAAAGGAAAAGGGAAAAGUACGAACAAAACCCAAAGAUAAGAAGUUUUCAAAUCAAAACUAAUAAAAUGCCAGAGAUUUGACGUCAGUAAAACCAGAGUCGCCACCGCGCUUUUAUUGUUUCCAAAGGAAAAGGGAAAAGUACGAACAAAACCCAAAGAUAAGAAGUUUUCAAAUCAAAACUAAUAAAAUGCCAGAGAUUACAGGUAAUGGGGUUGGUUAUAUAGAUGGAAGGUGUUAGCAUCCAAAGUUUCCUAGGUACUCCUAGUGAGCCCUUUUUGUGUGCAUAUGUUUUUUGGUCUAAAUGAUCUUUGAUGAAAUAAAGAGUGUAAGGAUGAGAAAGGAAUUCAUUGAUUAUAUUUUUGUGUUUGACAAGACUUUUGGUCUUAUGCCUAUGUACCAACAUAAAAAUGAGGGAUCAAAACCCCGUAGUUCGUGGUAAAAAUUUCAAAGAAGUUGGUGAAUUGAUUUUAACAAAGGUUUAAAUGAAAAGGCACAAAAGGCCAAAUAUUUGAAUGAGGUUAUUAGUUCUUUUUGUCUUUUGAAAUUUAAGUCAACAUGGUUAAGUUUAUUUACAAAUUUGAUUUAAGAAAAGAUUUUUAAAAAAAAUUCAAUGGCAUAAGGCCAAAGUUUCUAAUCAUUAAAACAUGUCUAAGUUUGAAAUCACAAGACAGAGAAGGUUUUUGAAAAGAGGGAGAGAUUUUGAAAUUAAAGAAGUGGGAGGAGAUGAAGAGACUACCCUAAGCAAAAGUUUAAAAGUUAAGAGUUGAAAAGAUCUGACAAAUGGGAUGCAAUUCAACAGACAAGAAUGUCAUAUAGAAACUCAUUUUCCUUUGGACUUUAAUCAAGCAAUAAGCAAUAAGGAAUGAGCAAUAUCCAGACAUCAUGAAGAUUAAGGCAUCAAAUAAAGAUAUCCAUAUCCAAAUAAGAACUCCAAUAGCUAGCAGUCUUCAGUGUCUUCCCAUGUAUCAGAUGAAAUAUUCCUUGAUCAACUCAGAACAAAACAUCAGACAUAGACAAUAAUAACAAAAUAACACUUAAGCAUAAAGACAGAGUAACAGAUGUGUCAAUGGCACUCAAAGGUCUUGCAUCAGAUGAGGCACAAUCAAAGAUAGCCCAAUCUCAGAUGUUGGCAUUGACCAAGUCCUUUAGCAUAGGGAAGGUUGCCUAGUUCUAAGUCCAAAAGUUCAUAUCAAAUCCCAACAGUCCAUUAAAUGUUUUUUUUGGGGUUUUUGUUGUUAUUAGGUGUUUUAAGGUCCUAAAACCACAAACAAAACAAAGACAAACAAAUAAUAUAUACAAUCACAAGAUAUGGCUCAAAUGAGCAAAGUGAAAAUGACUUGAAACAUAAACAAGUUGCAUGAAAUGUAAAUGGCAAUGAAUAAUAAAGGUACUUGACAUUUAAAGUGCAUAAAGUAAAUGACUUAAAAGUAAACCAUAAUUAAUAAGAGUUAGUCAAAUGUUAGUGGUGAAUUUUAAUUGAUUAAGUCAUUCUUUGGAUAACACUCAACCAUUCAUUCACAAGUAUGAAUCCUUGAGCCAAGACAUCUUUCAUGAGAAGGGCUCCAACUUGGAUAACUCAACAAGUACGCCACUAGCUCCCAUGAAAGGAAAAAAGUCCAAGUUCCCACACAAUGCCAUGAAGAAUGGGAGACUUACAAUCUCAUUUACUAGAAUGUUAUGCCUUGAGGGUCAAAUUUAGCUCUAUGUUAAGCAAUUGUAAUUGGACUUAUUUAGAAGUCACAACUAUCUGAGGUCGGGCAAUAAAAAUAUAUGUGUUAAUGCAUAUUAGAGAUUUGGUACAAAUGACCAAAUUCCUAAAACAUACCACACACUAAAAUAAAUGGGAAUGACCUAUCUCAGUCAGAAUUGUAUUGAUUCAUUUGGCACAAGGUCAUUGAUGAGUCAAUUAGCAUUUAGACAUAAAGAGAUUUCAUUGGUCAAUGAGAGAAUGGGGAAUAAUAGGGUUGAAGAUGAAGAGGGAAGGGGAGAUAGAAACACAAAUUGAUCAUGAGAGGAAUUUCAUCUGAUCAAUACCAUCCAUUCAUUUUCGGAGAUGAAAUGUACAUUUCAUCAAUCCCCUAAAUCCAAUGAUUUUGAUCAAACAAAAGUCAAAUCAACCAUGACCAAGAUCCAAACAGAAAGUCAAACAUCACAAGAUCAUAAAAAUGGCUCAACAAAUUUUUUAAGCAUUUAAUCAAUUAAAAAUCACAUUAAAAAGGAAUAAAAAUGCAUUUUAAGAUGAACAAAACCUCAAAUCCCUUCAAAACACUAAAUAUAUGGCCAAGGGAUUUAUCCUAGGUCAAACAAGGUCAAAGGACCUUAGACAAAAAAUUCACAAUUUUUAGAAAGUCAGAAUUAUUUUAAAACAAUUAAAAAUAUGCACAAAAAUAUUUAAUUCAUGAAAAAUACCAAAAUUUAUCCCAAAAAUAAUUUUUAUUCAAAAUAUGGAAAAGAAAAAUAUUUAAAGAUUUUUUGGUGAAAGUCCCAUAUUUUUUGAAUUAAAAAUGGAUUUAUUAUGAAUUAAACAAAAUAAGGUUAUUAAAAAAUAAAAUCAGAAAUUUAAAUAAAUGAGAAAAAAUAAGGGCCAUCAGAUCUUCCUCAUUAAUUGAGGUGGCAGAUCUGAUGGCCAAGUGCGCACGUUCCAUGGUGAACCUGAGUCAAUGCAUCACAGGCGUAGUAAUUAAAAGGAAUGACUAAGAUUAAAAUGUUUUAAACAGAUCAGAUGGUUGGAGAUAUGACACCACAUCACCGGAGCCCUAGCUCACCGGACUGGUCCACCACAAAUCACCAUCAAAAUAAAAAGUAAGAACAUGGUUUUAAAGGAAAAAUGCUUAGGAGCUCGAAUCUGAUCUCCAUUUCAUCCAAUUCCAAGUAUAUAGAAAGAUACAUGAAUUUGAAAUUUGAGGUGCAUGAUCUAAAUUGCUUCGAUUUAACCUCAAAACAACUCAAUCUUGUUGUCUACAUUGGUAGGACUUCAGCCAACCAAAAUCAAAGAGAAUGGUGAAGAAUUAAGAGAGAAUCGAAGGCUCAAAGUUUCUGAAAUUUCACCUUCAGGUAGCUUGAAUUUGGCUUGAUCUUGCUUCCAAUUUACUUGGCUCGACUCUAGAAGCUCGCAGGAAAUGAAAUGGAUCAAUGAAAGGCUUGGAUUCUUGGAGUUUCAAUCUCAAAACAGAAGGGGAAUUGAAACUCGAUUUCAAGUGAAAUCUUCAAGUUUAUUCUUUAAUGGAGGUUAGGGAUGCAAUGCUUCAAAGCUUGGGCAUGAGGGAUCCCUCUUCUGAUCACAAUGGCCAUGUAUUUAUAGGGUUAUGCAUUGCUUUUCACACACUUGAAAUUUUUGCCAAAUUUAGCAACCUUGGUGCAUGGAUGCAUGUGCAUUGAUUUGGGCCCAAUUCAUUAUGUAGUCGUACUGCAAUUCAUGCACAAUGAGUACUGAAACAAUAACAUGUAAGCAUGCAAUAGGAAAUGGUUAUUUGAAUUCAAAACUUGCCAAAACAAACCUAUGAAAGGAACCAUGUGCAAGUCCCUCAAUCCUUGUCCAAAUUAAGUGAUCUUGGACUUUUUGGAAAGGUGAUAUCAAGGGGAACAAAUUUUAUGUUUACCAAAUUUCCAUUUGGAGCUUGGAUCAUGAUGAAUUUUGAGGUGGAAGUUUGAGAAAUCAAACAUAAUUGAAAAUUUUCUAAGUACCAAGUCAAAUGACCACUUAUUCCACCUUGACUAACUUUUGCUAUAAGCUCCAAAUGAAAAUGGUUUCUUCACCAAAGUUGUAUCUUUUCCAUCUCUAUGAAAUUUUUUCACAAAUUUGACAUCAUUUGGAUUUGACAUGAGGGAGUUAUGUAUUUUAGAAGUUGAGGAAAAUUGCUUGUUCAGUGAUGAUGGCCCAAAAUGACCUAUAAUCGUUCCUCUUGGCACAUGGACUUUCAAGUUGAAUUUAAAAUUUAUCAAAGAAUAAAAGUUGGAGAAUACAUCUUCAAUUUGAUAAUGAAACUUGGAUGGACUUCAUAUCAUAAACAUUGAGAAAGUUAUGGUCCUUGGAAGUUGACCUCCUAACUAGGGCACAGACAAAAUGACCUAUAAUCUUUCACCAUAAAAAAACACUUUCCAAGCAAAACUAGAUCUUGAUGUCAACAUGAACGUUGUUUGAAAUGUCAUAAAGAGUAACGUUUCUCUUGGAAUCAUUUUCAUAUGACAAAAAUUGUAGGAGAUAGGGUCUAAGGUACCCCAGUUUUGACUAGUUGACUUUCUCUGGUCAACUUCUUGGAACCAACUUGCAAACUUGAAGUUAUCUUGAUCUUUGGGACUCAUGGAGGAUCAUAUAUGCAUAAGAUUAUGUCUAAUGAAGUAUUCCUUGAUAUAUUUGACCAAUUGUUGAAGAAACUUGUUGAGGAAGUCACACAAGAUACAUAGAUGAAUUAUGGCUUCCAAGGCAAACAAGCUUCAAACUCUUGAUGAAUUCUUGAUCAAAAUGAUAACUGAAGAUCAUGGGGAUCCAUAUAUGAUGUUUAUAACCGUUGUGAACCAUUACUUGAUUGAUCUCUUGUCAUGAGGGUCUCAAACCCUAGUUGUGAGCUUGAUGAGGAAUAUGUGGAUGCACACACUACCUACAAAAGAAACAAAGAUAUACAUAAAUAUAUUUUUGGUAUUUUGGUUAGUAAACAAUUGAAAAUAAAGUAUGAUACAAUCAAAUGUUCUUGGUGAUCCCUCUCAAUGUAAACCCAAUGAAUGAGGGGUAAGGAGGAUGCCAAGGUGUGAUCCCAAAGCCAAUGCAAAUGAUGAGAUAUCAUGAGGGAUCUUAGGGUCAAAAUUGGGGUCUUACACCCGAGUAUUGGAGCUCUAGAGGUAAAUAAUUCCUUUAACCUCUCUAUUUAAUAAAACCUCGUGAAACCCUUAGAGGAACCAUCCAUGUACUUGUGGGAUUGAAAAGGGUGUUCCUAAACAUUUAAAAGGCCCACAUACACAACUUAAUCGAUUAACUCCCUGAGCUAAUCAAUUAGAGAAAGGUAUAAAUCUUCCUAAUCGAUUAAGACACUCCUAAUCGAUUAGGACACUAUUUGCACUAAAUUUUUUUUUGGGUAAUUAGGGUUCCCAUUUUUAUGAAAUUGAUUAUGCCUAAUGCAUUACUCAGAGAGUUCUUCGUUGAAAAACCAGAUCUGAUAUAUCAAAGAAUUAUUCAAAUGUUCUACUCCAACCUCAAGUAUGAAUAAGUGUCAAUCACAACAAAUAUUGGUCAAACCAAUAUCGUUUCACCAUAAAAGGGUUUGGAGUUUUGAAUAAGAUACCAUCUUAUCGGAAAACUUACUCUAUUAUAUCUCCUAAUAAUUUCAACAACUUUGAUCAUAUUGUUGCAAUAGUAAGCUUUGUGAUCAAUCCAAUAAGGAAAAGAUAACUUCUUCUCAAGAUAAAGUUCAUGAAGGAAAGCUCUCGUAUUGUGCAUCACCUAAUUACACACUUAUUAUUUUAAAUAAAAUAUAAAGAUGUUGUACUUCUAAAGGAAGAUGUAAUACCUAUGUGGUUGUUCUCUCAAAACUUCUAAGUCAACUGAGUUGAUGCAAUGGUUUGUUAUAAGUUCAAAUGUCAAAGGAGAAAUUCCGCAGGACUGCCAUACAAAAUUAUAAUCACCAAAUUUUUAGUGAAAAAAAAGAAUCUCAUUGGACCAUGAAACAUCAAGCAUAACUUUUGGAAAAAUUUGUGAUAAAGCCUUAAGUAGAAUCAGAGUUUGUAUUUAUGAUGGAAUCCUAAAGAAUUCUCCGAUGGAAGUAGAUGUCAAAGAAAAUGCAUAUAUCUCAUCUAAAGAAAAGUUAAAAAUCCUCUUAGAAAUAUCCAAGGACACUUCUCAAGAUGUUCAUAAGCUUACCAAAGAAGUCACACUCAUCAAGAAACAUGUGUUGGGUAAGGAAAUGACCAAUUUCGAUAAUAAAACUUAGUAUUCUUGCAUCAUAGAUUUUAUUGUUUUAAGUGUGUUUACUUCCAGUUCUUUCUUAGUUUAUUGUUCUUUUAUUUAUUUUAAAUUAAAUCAAUAAUAAGCAUGUUUUUCUCUUCUUUUCUCUUGAUCUAUGUGCUUAGGUGUAUUUUGGGCCUACUUAUGUUUUUCCCUCCUUUUUGUUUAUGUAAAAUGGAAAGAAGUAUAUUCUCAUGGGUAGUAGGGUAUACUUUCUAUAUUUUUUAAGGGGUGUUUAACCACUCUAAACCUUUACCAUUAUUUCAUUGUGUCCACCUUCACGAGAGAUGCAUUGUCAUCAUAGAAAAUGGGAGUAUAUGGAUCUAUGAGCUUGUAGGUUCAAUUUCUACAGUAGUCAAUUGUCCUAUAUCGUUUUGAUUAUGACAACACUAGGAGGUGAAGUCUUCAUCUAACUUGAUAAUAAAGUUGUUAUGAUUGUGAGAUCAAUAUGCCAAAGCCAAUCUAUUAAUGAUAACACCUAAUGUCAAGCGACAUUCGGUUGAAUCCUUGAUGAUCUUAAGUCAUGAAAUCUCUCUGAUAAUGGUGUCUAUCAAGAAGCCUCCUCAAGCCUCCUCAAGCCUCAUCAUAUAGAAAAAGUCAAUUUCAUAUGAAUUUUUGAAUCGUUUAUGUAUCUAGCAAGGGAUCUCGAAGCUUCAGAGAUUUUAAAAAAGAGAAAGUGGGAAAGUUGGUCUAGUCAGUGUCUGAAUGAGUAAUUAUUAAAUUACAAAGGCAAUACAUACACUCACCUAAAGUAUUUUCAACCUCUCUAUUUGAUAAAAGUAUUUUAAACCCUUAGAGGAACCAUCAAGGUGUUUGUGGAAUUGAUAAAGGAUGUUCUUAAAUAUUUUGGAGGCUUAUAUAUAAUGCCUAAUUUAUUAAGGUCAUUAGCCAAUCGAUUAAAGUAAGGUCUAAAGCUUUUUAAUCGAUUAAGAACACUCAUAAUCGAUUAUGAAACUAGAUGUUGUAUGGUUUCCUUUUUGGGAAUUAGGAUUUCCAUUUUUAUAAGGCACAUAAUCCAUUAUACCUGAUGUGUAAUUGAUUAUGAGUAUUGAAAAACCAUGAGAAGGUUUUCUUUUUGAGCUAGAUGUCUCACCUAUAAAUAAAGGAUUCUCCUCACUUUCAAACUACACCAAAAAAUAUGUUUUUGACAUACUUUCUCACUCUAUACUCCUUUACUUCUUAUUUCUUUUAUUUCACUAAAAUUAUCUUAGUACUUUAAGAGUGAAAAAUAUACGUGAGAAUUUUCUUGUGUAUUAUGGUGCAUGGGUAUUAUUGUAAAUUGUGCAAGAGUUUUUAUCUCUUGUGAAAUAUCAUUCGGGGGAAGUUGCUCUUUACUUCGUGAGACUGUCCAUGAAAACCUCCAUUUGGUUCAUGAGUAUCACCAAAUGUAAAAGUUCUCAUUUUGUUUGUGAAAUUGUGUGUUAAAAAUAUUAUUUGGUUCGUGAGUUGCACCUGGUGUAAAUCUCUAAUUUGUUUAGUGAGAUUGUCCAUUAAAAUCCUCAUUUGGUUUAGAGGAUAGACAAUAUAAAACUUCAAGUUUUUUUAAAGAAAGUUUAUGGGAAUAAAUUUUGAAAAGUUAUUAUCUAUAGUAGAAACUAUCAAGAAUUUUUUGAGAAGAGAAAUAGAUCAAAUGAUUAGGUUAAACCUCUAUAACUCUCCGGUGCAAUCUUCUUGUCCCUUAUCUCUUUUAAUUUAUGCUAAUUGUUUAUUUCCAUUCUGCCUUCAACUUUUUUUUUUCCUCUAGUUUUAUUUUAUUUAGUUCUCUAUGCUACUUACUCGUUGUUCAACUUUAAUUUACCAAAAUAUUUUAAUUGGACAUCAUUUCUUAAAGCAUUGCAAUUCACUUUCUCCUGUAUUUGAAAUUCCAUGUGCAACAACAAUCGCUUUGAUAAUAAUGCAUAUGGUAAUGAUUCCUUUGGUGAAGAAGCCUCUGAAAAAGAAGCAUAUCAAGAAGCCUUUAAAUAACUGGUUGAUUAGAAUGAAUUCUCUCAAGUGUGAUUUAAGUGCAAUCUAUCACCAUUGAAAGACAUUCUCUCUAUAAUAUACAAUUGUUUCUCUCUCUUCUUGAAUGUUGAGAUAUUAGACUUUACUCUCUCAAGCGUAAAUCAUACUAGAGAGAAUUCAUUCCCGACUGAAUAUGAUCCUAGUCAUUAUUAAAAAUAUAAAUCAUCUCACGUGAACAUAAAAUCAUAUGACCUAAAAAAAAUCAUUUCAGUAUCAAAUCAUCUUGUAGAAAUUAAAUGACACUUGUAUUUAAAGAAUGAAUUAUGGUAUUCCACAUAAUUUAUUAAUGUCACAUCAUCAAAGAAUAUUGAUGAUUGUUUAUGUUAAUACUUCAAUAUUUUAAAGCUUAUUACACACAUUUAAUAUUUGUUUAGUUUCUAAUCAUUUUAAGCGCUUUCAUAAACCGUUAUACUUAAUGAAAUAAAUCCUCAUUUUUCUCACACUUUAAACCAUAAACCUCAUAUUUUACUUCCAAUCCCUCACCCUUAUCAUUAGCCUAUUCAACUCCAUCUUAUGAGAUUUACGGCUUAUAUAAUUUCAACAUGUGCUAAAAUCAAACAUAGUCAUUAAGAGAAAAUUUAUUCAAUUCAGGACAUUUAUUUAAAGCUUCCUAACUCUUACCAAUAAUAUAUAUAUUAUACCUAGUAUAUACAAGAUAGUAAGUAUUGUAUAAUAAUAAUACAGCGAAGAAUUUAUAUACGUAAUAUUACAAUAUUUUUGUCCCCAAAUAUUAUUAUCCGGUUAAAGUAAAAAUGUAUACGUUCUACGAUGUGAGAAAUUUGAAAAAUUAAGUGAAUUAUAGAUCUUUGCAAGAAGAGAAACCCUAAAUAGCUUUUAGUUAUGUACCUUAAUGAUGAUCUGAAAAUUUUAAAUGAUAAUAAUUAAAUUUAUAACCUAUAUGAUUAAUGUGAAGAGUAUAAUAAUAUUAUAUACUUUCAAUCGAAAUCCAUAGUACAGAACCACAAAAUUACAUCAUUUGGAUUUAUUCACAUCUUGGAUUCAAUUAGAAGAUUUUUAAUGGCCGCUAUGAUGUUAACCUGUGUCACAGUUUUCAUCAAAGUCAAACCUCAUUGAGUAACAGGGCAUCUUCAAGAAAAUUGUAAAAACCUUCCCGCCAUGGCAAUAUAAGGCUAGCUAAAAUACGUUUUUUUUCCGCCCUUCAACUAGAAAAUGAAAAAUCAUCUCAAAAAAGUUUAGUGAUGAUAUGAAAUUUCAUGUGGGGAAAUUAUUUUUGUAUUUGAUCAUUUAGACUAUAUCUGACAUCAUAUCUUUUGACUCCAUAACUAACACGAUAAUGUGAACUGAUUUGGUAAAUCAUUGUUCAGACGUCAAAGACAUCCUAUGAUACUAUUGGAAAAAUCUCAAAUCCUACCGCAGUUAGAGAUAAAUUAUUGAAAGAGUUUAUAUAAAAUAAUAUUUUUAUAAAUCAAUUUUAUAAGAAUAAAUUAGGUUAAACGAUAAUAUAUAAUAUGUAAUAAGUUAGGUUAAAUUAUAAGCUCUAACGUAAAAUAUAAACUCUUUGGUGUGGCUAGAUUGUUAGAUUGUGUUACCCUAUGUUAAAGCUCUUUACAAAAUAAAGUUAUAAAUAUCCCUUGGUGAAUUAUACGAAGCAAUGUAAAUAUUUUCAUCCUCUAUAUAUAAUAUCAAAAUGUUAUCCUGUAAUAACUAGUAGGCUUAUAUUCUAGAAGCUUGUUAUUUUUUUAAUAUAACUAGUAGGCUUAUAUUCUAUAAGCUUGUUAUUUUUUUUCAUAAGAUUAUUUUGGUAAGCUUAUAUAAAUCAUCUCACAUGAACAUAAAAUCAUAUAACUUAAAAACUUUUUUGCAUAGUCUUUUUAAAAUUUAAAUAUAGAACAACAAAUCAAUUAGAGAAACAAGGACCCCAAAAAUAAGAUUCUCGGGAGUAUUUAACAUGGAUACAUAUAGUUUCACCUAUUGGAAUAAAACUAUAAACUCAGUAUAUAUGAAAAAUUUGUUGAACCAAUAUAAUAAAAAUGCAUUGUUACAUGCAUUUGAAUAUGUAUCAACAAUCUUGACAUUGAAGGUUAAGAAUAUAGAAAUAACAUGAAACCUUAUGGUAGAAAAAACACCUAAAUUUGGGACUUGUGCAUCAUUGGCAUCUAAAGACUUACAUCAAGUGAUCGACAAACCAAGAGAGGAAACAACAUCAAGAAGAACGGGAAAAAAUGUUUGUGCUCAAACUAGGUUUGGGAAAACUAAAUAAGUGUUCUUAUUAAACAUCAAGUCAACCAAGAAAAGCAUAAUUAGUUUCCAUAUAUUCCAUCCAAGGUAAUUAGUUAGGAAUUGGGUGAGGUAAAAUUCUAAAAUUGGCUUCGAAAACCCAAGAAACAUAGCUUUAUGGAUCACAUUAGAGGUGGAAGGAAAAUGUUAAAAUAGAUCUUGGUUUGAAAACAUAACUCCAUAAUGAACCUACGUGGGGCGUUUAAAAGAGGCAUGGACAUAUAAGGAAGAAGAUACACAUUUAAAAAUUUCAAUAUCCCCAUAGCCAGGAAUACAGUUCUAGGAGUUUAAGACGGAUUUUUUUUUAUAUUUAAAAACUAGGGUAUUGUAAAAAGAAAAUAAGAAUUACUCUAGGAGAUGAAAUUUGAAUUUUAUAGAGAAAACAUAAAAAAAAAUUUAAAAAUAUAGUGAUAGGUAUAAAAUUUGACUAAAAAUGAUAUAUAAUAUAUAAUAUAUAUAUAUAUAUUAUAAAUAGAUAUAAUAUAUAUAUAUAUAUAAUAUAUAUAUAUAUAUAUAUAUUAUAUAUAUAAUAUAUAUAUAUAUAAUAUAUAUAUAUAUAUAUAUAUAUAUAUAUAUAUAUUAUAUAUAUAUAUAUAUAUAUAUUAUAUAUAUAUAUAUAUAUAAAUCAUAUAUUAUAUAUAUAAGUAGAGAGGAGAGAGAGAGAGAGAGAGAGAGAGAGAGAGAGAGAGAGAGAGAGAGAGAGAGAGAGAGAGAGAGAGAGAGAGAGAGAGAGAGAGAGAGAGAGAGAGAGAGAGAGAGAGAGAGAGGAGAGAGAGAGAGAGAGAGAGAGAGAGAGAGAGAGAGAGAGAGAGAGAGAGAGAGAGAGAGAGAGAGAGAGAGAAGAAGAGAGAGAGAGAGAGAGAGAGAGAGAGAGAGAGAGAGAGGUGACCAUUAUGUUAAUCAUAAUUUGAAUGCAUUCUAUUGAUGUGCAGAAGUUUCCUUCAAAAUCUUAACUAAUGAAGAGAGAUUGAAAAACACUUUUAAAUAUUUUGAAUUUAUGCGAUUCGAGUUGGAGAGAUUGAAAAACACAAGGGUACAAACAUGAUUUUUUCUUGGAAACUCAUUUGUAACAUGUUGUUACAACUUUUGAAAGUAUAGUGACUUAGAAAGCUUCUCUCUCCCCUAUAGUAGAAUGAUUUGAUCGAGAUGAGUAAACAAACUCUUUGUAUACUCAUGUUUUAUCUUCCUCUUGCUUGAUGUGGAUUUCCUUACACUAUAUGACAUAUUACUUUUUAGUUUGAGGCCAUUUAUUUUUGUUGUCAUUAUUCUUUGUCUCGCAUAUUGUAACAUCCCUGAUUUUGAUGUAAGACAUUAUUUUGACUCAAUAUAAAUGAAGAGAGAGAAAAUAUACACUCUCUCUAAAACUUCAUUAACCUAAGUUAUAUCUUUUUCCCUAAAUCUUUGUAUAAUCAGAAUCAUUCAUCGCUUUUUUUAUCGUUCCGUUCAAUGUUCAUUUGGAUCUAAGAGUAUUGUUGAGUAUGGAGUGGAAAAGAGUUACCAAUAAGGGGUUCAAUGGAGGAAGGAAGCAACCAUUAAGAUGGGAUGUUUUUCUCAUGAAGUAAAAAUUGGAAGGUGGUGACGAGUUAGGCAUUUCUUCAGUGUGUUUUCGGAGUUUCCUGAUCAUUAUGGGGACAAAGACAUUUUUUAGUCCUUCAAGAAAUAUGGGGAUUUAUCGGAGGUCGCCAUUCCUCCCAAGAGGAAGAAUUUUGGUAAAAGAUUUGGCUUUGCAAGUGUUAGCCUUGAAAUUUUAGAGGAAGAAGUCAACUAAGAAUGAUAAUCAUCAUGUUAGAAGAUGCUAAGUAUAAAAGACUCAACGAAGGGAAUUGAUAUACUAUGUGUACUAAGAUGGUUCGACUAACCUAUCAGAUGAUUCGAAACAUAUCGUAUUCUAAUGCCUACAAAGAAUGGUAUCUAGGAGUCUCAAGAAUAGAUCCACAAUAUUAGGAUGACCCUCUCUUCGAAACAUGUCCAAGAUCUCGAAAGGGGUUACAUAAAUCACUUCUUAGAUAAAGGUCAAGUUUGACACAUUCACCAGACGUUAGGGACUUAAUAUAUUCUUAACUAUAAAGAUUAGGUGAUGUGAAGGUGUCUUAACAACACUAUAGGAGUCGACUAAAAACUCUCGACAAAGGUAUUUAAGAGGUUCAAAACAGUUAUUAACGCAGUUAUUAGCAUGAUGAUAAGUUUUCAGCGGUUUUAUCUUUAAAGACGGGUGGAAGCAAGUUAAAACAUUGAAGCCCACAUAGUGGGAUACGUGUUAGAUCAUGAGGAUCUAUUUGUUGUCGAUGGUUACUAUUGUAUUAGUAUAUACAGUUGAUCUCAUUAUGGGGAUCAAGUUCGCAAUUUUCACUCAAGUAUAAACCUAACCAACGGUUUAUGCAUGCUAAAAAUGAAUCAUUUCAAAACUUCAUUCAGAGAGGUGCAAUCAUGAAGGACACUCAAUAAUUAAAAGUAAAUAAAAAUGAAAGUGAUAAGACAAGAAACACAAUAACCAUAUUAGUGUGAUCCCCCUGAAUGUAUUAGUGACAUGUGUUAGAGUUCAACAAUGAACUUCCAUUAAUAAUGCACAAGAAUUUGAGAGAUUAAGAUGAAAGAAUGAAAGAGAGAUAAAAACUCUAUAACUUACGUUCACUAUUCAGAAAUUCUUUUAAAUUCUGUUCCACAUUCAACUUACUUUGGGCUUAUAUAGAUUCACCCAAACUCAAAUGCACAUUAAAUGCAAACUCAAAUUCGAAUGCAAAUGUAAACUUAAAUGCAAAUGAAACUCAAAACUAAACUAACUUGAAUGUUGAAUUACAUUUAACAUAUUAUCUUAAUUCACAUUCAAGUUUAAAAAUAAACCACACCAAUUUCAUCCCUCAAAUUGAUGAAGCCUUCAGUUUUGAUCGCCUUGGUCAACACAUCUACAAGUUGCUUCUGAGUGUUGACAUGAACAACCUCAAGUACUCCAUUUUGAGUCUGAUUGCGCAUUAAAUGGUACUUAGUCUCAAUGUGGUUGCUUCUUCCAUGCAACAUUGGAUUCUUAUCAAGACUUAUGGAAGAUUUGUUGUCAAUCAUCAAUCUGUCUGGUUUGCUCACCUUGAACUUCAGUUCUUGUAGAAAAUUUAUCAACCAAAUAUCUUGACAAGCUGACAAAGAACCCACUAUAUAACCAGCUUCACAAGUUGACAAUGCAACCACUAGUUGUUUCUUGGAACACCAAGAAAUGGUAACUCUUAGAUACAUGAAAAGGUACCCUAUAGUACUUCUUCUAUCCAUUUUCCCACCACACCAUCCAGAGCCUGAAUAGCAUAUCAGCUCAGCAGCAUUUGACACUCCAGAUGGAAACACAAUUCUAUGCCUUAUAGUCCCUUAUACAUACCUCAGAAUCCUGACUGCAACUAGGUAAUGUGACCACUUUGGUUUACUCAUAAACCUACUCACUAUUACAAUUUCAUAACACAUCUCAGUCCUGGUGUUACAUAGAUAUCUCAGACAAACAACCAACUAUUUAAAGGUUGUAGCAUUUACAUCCUCACCAUCAUCAUCAGAGUCCAGGUUAUGAUUUGUGUCAACAGGUGUGACCGUUGACUUACAAUUCAUCAGCUCAAAUCUCUUUAGCAACUUAAUUUCAUACUUCAGUUGGUGCAUAAUAAUUCCCUUCUCAGAAUGAAAAAUCUCCAUCCCUAUAAAAUAUACCAUAUUUCUAAGGUUAUUCAUAUCAAAAGCAUUCAUCAACACCUUCUUAAACUUGUUUAUCUCAUAAGUGCAACUCCAUUUCAGAAGUAUGUCAUCUACGUAAAGACACACUAGAAUCACAUUUCCUUCAGAAUUAUGUUACACAUACACAUCAUAUUCCAUUUCACAUUUCUUGAACCCCAAAUGUUUGAAAAGUGAAUCAAUUUGCAGAUUCUAAGCCCUUGGAGCUUGUUUCGACCUGUAAAAGGCUUUAUACAGCUUGUACACCAUGCAUUCUUUGUUCUUUUUCACAAAUCUAGGAGGUUGUAGCAAAUAAAUUUCUUCUUGCAAGGGACCAUUCAAAAAAGUUUACUUUACAUCUAAAUGUAUCAGAGGCCAAUUCAUAUUUACAGCUAUAUCAAUAACUAACCUUAUGGUUUCAUGUCUAGCUACAAGUGCAAACACUUCAAAGUAACAUAAACUAGAAUUUUGUAGGAAUCCUCUAGCUACUAACCUUGCUUUAUGCUUGGCAACUGAACCAUUUAUCUUCAACUUUAUCUUGAAAACCCAUUUCACAUUAAUGGCUUUCUUGUUCUAAGGUAGAACAGUCAAUUCCCAUGUCUUGUUUCUUUCAAUGGCCUCAAGCUUUUCUUUCAUGGUGUCCACCCACACAUUCUUCUUGAGAGCCUCAUUGAUGCUGACAGGUUCAAAGCCCACCAUUAUGGAACUCUGUAUGACUUCCCCUUCAUAGUCGAUCUUAAUAUUAUGCAGCAACUCAAAGUCUACCAGUCUCCUUGGUAUUUGUCUAACUCUCUAUGGCCUCUAGAAUUAUGCAAGGUCACAUUUAGAAGCAGGACCACCUUCAAAAGUUCCACCUUUAGAGGUUGGACCACCUUCAUAAGCUCCACCUUUAGAAGUUCUUUCUUCAGAGGUUGGGCCACCUUCAGAGUCAGAUUCACCAUCAGAGUCAGACUCACCUUCAGAGCUAGACUCACUUUCAAAGUCAUCAUCAGAUUCAGACUCCCCUUCAGAGUAAGAAUCACCUUCAGAGGCAAAAUCUCCUUCAAAGGAAUAAUAAGACUCUAGUGUUGACACUGCACUAGUGGUGGAUUAAGACUUCCUACAAUCCCAUGUUAUUGAUUCUUUCUCUAUGACAUCUCUGUUGACUUCAACUUUGUUGGUGUCUGGGCAAUGAAACUUAUAAGCACCUGUAUUAUGGUAACCUAUAAGCAACAUGACUUUUCUUCUACCAUCCAAUUUACUUCUAGUAGCAUCUGGUAUAUGUUUGUAACAUACAUAACCAAACACCUUGAAAUGGACGACACUUUGAUUUCUUCCAAUCCACUUCUCAAUAGGAAAUACUUCCUUUAACUUCUUUGUUAGACAUCUGUUAAGCACAUAUACUAAAGUAGAAAUUGCUUCACCCAAUAAAGCAGUCACCUCAUGCUCAAUACCAUUAUGAUAUGAAGUGUAUGAAGCAGUCACCUCCUUUCAGCAAGACCAUUAUGAUAUGAAGUGUAUGAAGCAGUCACCUCAUGCUCAAUACCAUGUUCCUCACAUAAAUUUUUGAAGUCUAUUGAGUUGAACUAACCUCCACCAUUGGUUAUUAGGAUCUUUAACCUUUAUCCACUUUGAUUUUCAACCUUCACCUUAAACUUCUUGAACUCAACAAACACCUCGUGUUUGAACUUAAUGAGUGCUACAUAUGCCAUUCUUGUGAACUCAUCCAUAAAUGACACAAAUUACUUGUUUCCACCAAGUUAACUUACCUCAAAUGGACCACAUACAUCAGAAUGCACCAGACCCAAAGCAUGACUUGCUCUUGGUUGCUUGCCUCUCAUGCAUAUAUGACAUGAUUUCUUGGGUACCACAGUAUUAGGAAUUCCAUGUACCAGAUUCUUUGAACUUAGAUGUCCUGAGCUUCGGUAGUUCAGAUACCCCAAUCUCUUAUGCGAUAUCUCACUUUCCUCUUCAACAUUUCUUACAUUAAGGCAUUGAGUGUCUGUUGUUAUAACAUUCACCUUGAAUGUCCUAUUUCUUCCCUGUUCAUAAAGAAUAAUUAACUUUUGAUUAUAUUCAUACAACUUCAAGAGAUUGUCCUUCAUGCUUACUAAAAAAUCAUUUUUAAUUAGUUGACCUAGACUCAUCAGAUUGUUAUUUAAGCCAGGAACAUACGAUACAUCCUUGAUCAGUACAAUUUUUCCAUUGUUCAACUUAAAUUUGAAAUUUCAUAUUCCUUUAGCAUUCAUAUAAUCAUCAUCAACACAUGUGAUCUUGGUCCUUUUUCCAGAGUCAAAAUCAAUCAGUCAUUGCAUGUUUCUACUUAGGUGAUUUGAGCAGCCAAUGUCCAUAUACCACUGGUCUACCAUUGAUCCACCAACAUUCUCAGAUGCCAUCAAUAGAAUAAGUCCAUCAUCAGAAUCUAAUCUGGCUAUGUUGGCUUCUUCACCCUCGCUAACCUUGUUUGACCAAUAAUCAAUAGCAAAAUGACCAAACUUGUUGCAACUGUAGCACUUAACAUUUCUCUUGUCAAACUUCUGAUUUCCCUUUUGAACAUUAUAAUGUUUCUUAUCAGAAUUGGAGAGUUUUGACUUAUGAGCACCACCACCAUGAUUUUUUGUUAUCUAGCCAUGCUUGCUUCUAGUUCUUCUUACCAGGAUAAGCUUCCAGAGUUUGAGCUUUCACAUCCUGUUCUAUCUCAUUUUUAGACUUUCUUUCAGUCAGACGCAACUUUUGUGCCUUUAAAAUACUCUGAAGCUCUUCAAUUCUCAUGAUUCUAAUGUCUUUGCAGUAAUCCAAUGAAGUAGUAAGUGAUCUCAGUGCCUUUUCAAUGAUUACUUGUUCAGAGAGUGCUUCUCCAUAAUACUUCAUCUCAUUCGUGACCAUAAUCACUUUAGAGAUGUAAUCAGGCACCUUCUCAUUGUUCUUCAAGUUGAAAGUUUUAUAUUGCUUGUGUAGAGACUAUAAAUUGAUCGUCUUCACUGAUGCGUCACCACCAUAGCACAAUACUAGUGAAUCAGAUGUCGCCUUCACCGUCGUCAAAUCGACAAUUUUCUCAAACACAUUUGUAUCCACACACUGAUGAAUAUAUUACAAUGCCUUCUGAUAAUUCUUCCUCGUUUCAAGUUGCACAUUUCUUUGCGCUUUUAUUGCAUUUUCUACAACCGAUGUGUAACCGUCAUUGACGAGAUCGAAAACAUCUUGAGCUCUGAAUAGUACAUGCAUCUCAAUCGACCACUGAUUCAAGUUAUUUCUGUCGAAUAUUGGAAGUGAAAUUCUGGUAUCAGAUAUGAGAUAUCGAAGGUAAUGUCACGACACUAAUAUCUGAAUAACAACUAAAAUAUAAACAGGAUAAAAGACAAAGAAACAAUUGAAAAAGUGACACAAGCAAUUGUUAACCCAGUUCGGUGCAAACUCACCUACGUCUGGGGGCUACCAAGCCAGGAAGGAAAUCCACUAAAUAGAGUUAGUUCAAAGACUCUUAGUAAACAACUUCAAGUUACAGCCUUUUCACCUAAUCUCUACCGUGUGACUUCUGUCUAAGAACUCUUAGAUAUGAGACCCUACUCACUCCCCCUCAAUCACAGCAGUGAUAUAAAAACAAAUAUUACAAAGAAAGAAGACACUCUUCAAGGACACAUACUUGAUCUUGCUUAAAAGUUUCACCAAGUAAACACACAUUCGUGUUUCAAAGCUUAGAAUGGACAAAUUACAACAUAAAAGUCAGUCCAAUUUAAACAUCAAUAAGAUGAAUGAAUGACUCACAAUACACAAGCUCACACAAGACUAAAACCCUAAAACUCUCUCACUCUUUCGUUCGUUUUCUUGUGUAUUUAAACCAGGUUUUACAUGGCCUUUAAAUAGAAGCUUUUGAAUGGGACUGGGCAUCAUAAAACCCUAAAUCUAUUUUCCUUGCGUAUCUUCUUAUUAACGACAACUAAUCAUCCCUUAUUGGAAAAUAGAUAAUUCUGGUUUUAAAUCUAAUUACUCCUUGAAUAGCGCAUUCAAUAUCCACAUAAUCACACACAGAUUUGCAUGAAAAGUGCAACAUUAAGAUACAUAUUCAGACUGAAUGUUCUGUAUACACAUGUCUAAACAUCGGGACUGACAUCUUAGCUAAAUCCUGCACAACCAUAUUUAAACAUCCUGCAGGAAUCUGAUAUCACAUGUCAAGACAACACGCGUGACACCUUGUGAUAACUCUAGUUUUACCAAAAUUGAUGCCAACACACAGAACCAACAAACUCCCCCUUUGGCAAAUUUUGGCUAAAACAUACAUCCGAUCAUACGUUUCAUAAGAUAACAAUCACAAUAUCAGUUCAGCAGCAUAAGUAAACAUACACACAUUACUAGUAAGAAAAGCAGCUAGUAAACACACAUGCGCUUGUGCUCACACAGACAGAACACUUCUCCCUCUUCUCCCUCUUUGUAUCAAACAUCCAACAUCAUCUAUAGAUAUAUCUACUUCUCCCUCUUUUUAGCCAAAAGAGACCAAAGAGACAAAAUAAAUGUCUAUUCAGUCAAAAACCAGAAUGUCAAAAGUUAAGGGUUACAGAACCAAGUACAUAAACAACUUUAAGCAAGCUGAGAUACAAACCAACAAAGUAAACAUCAAAACAGCAGAACAUAACUUCCAAAAUCAAGAAAAUUCAUUAAAACAACAACAAAAAUCAUAACAUCAAUGAGGGCCAAAUUCAAAGGAGUUAAUCAGAGGAGCUUGAGCUUGCAGCUUCAUCAACAUCAGAAACAGAAUUGCCACUUGUCUCAUCAUUAGUUGCAGACCUCUCACUAGAGGUGUGGGAUUUAGCUUCCUUAUCAAGUUCAAUAUUCUCACCUUCAGCUCGCUCUAAGCUUGCAAUCAGGGCUUCCAACGAUUCUUUCCUAGCUGUUGCUACCCUUAUCCCCUCACCCAGCUCUUUACACAUCUCCUUCAGCUCAGCAAUAGUUCCAACUUUUGAGGCUGGCUUUUUCAUAGCAGAUGUCAUGACAAUGUCUUCGACAUGACUGCCUGCAAACAGUUUAUAGUGCACUGACAGAGCAGAUUUUCUUCUACUUGGUAAGUCAUUAGAACUCAGAAUCCCAGGGUGUUGACUCAGGAUAAUCCCACAAAUCAUAGAGGGAAAGGCUAUAGGAAGCUUCACUGCAUUAGUAGAUGCAUGCUUGACAAUUUGUUCAAACAUAAAUAUACCAUAGUCAAAUUUUAGUUUGGUUCCAACAACAAAGAUAAAUCUUCCAAUGGUAUUAGAAAUUGUGGAAAUGUGGUUGAUAGGCACCCAAUUUGCAGAUCCUAUUUUAUGCAAUAUAGCAUACUUGACAGUCAGCUUACCAGCAGGAAUAUGCUUUUUAAUAGGCCACCCUUUCACCUGCCUUGUUGUAAUUUCUCUACAGACCUCAUUAUCUGUAGCUUCCAAUUCACUUGCACCCUCAACUCUUCUUCCCAGAAAAUUGUUAAUGAUAGUGGGAGAGAAUGUGAUACACUUACCUCUCACAAAUACUUUGCAAAAUUCCUUGUUGUUCUUAUCAACAAUAUCCUCAGGAAUGUUGACAAUGAAUUCCUUAACCAAACCCUCAUAACACUGAGAUAACCCAGCCACAUUCUUCAUCAACCUGACAGUCUUUAUUAGGUCCAUGACCUCUUUGACUUCAACAACAUCCUUUCCUAACUCUCUCUCUACAACCACCCUUCUUUGAAUCAAAAAUUUCCAUUUGACAGCUCCAUCUUCAAGAUGGAAAGAGAUAUUAUCCAAAUGCACAACAACAACUUUCACAGGGGACUUCCUCACAGUGGUCCUCUUCACAGGGGAGAUGUCAGGGACAUCUUCCUUAACAUCUUCUUCAGACUCAGAAACUUCUCUAACCUUCCUCUUCUUCACAUCAACCUUGCUUCAAGAUUUGGAAGGACCAACACCAACAGUCUUCUUAGCUGUUUUAGCUGACAUCAUUUCAGCCAUAUAUCUUCCUUUUCUAGUCUUCAUACGCUUAGCCACACUAGGCUUUAAGUGAUGAAGUAAGCUCUCCUCUUGAUCAUCAGACCUAUCAUCCUCUAGGUCAAUCACAUUGUUUGCAGCAUCAUGCUUCUUAGAACGGGAAGCAUUGGCAGUUGUAGAUGCCAUAGAUUUUCCUUUACUAGACACAGUUUGCCCUAGAGAGCACAAACCUUCAGCAGCCACGUCCUUCUCAGAUCUAGAGGAAUCGUCAUCCUUCUCACUAUGAUGUUCAACCUCGGGAGAGGGGUACAUUUUAGACAGGGGAGUAGAGAUUCCCUUCACAGAAUGUCCUUCAUUAAGGAUUCUAGUGACUAGGUUUCUUAUGACACGAUCAGUGUGGUGUAUAUCUUCCUUAGAACUAGUGGCAUGAGUUGAGCUAGAAGGGAUACUAGAGUUGUUACCUUGAUUGGGGCAUGCAGAAGCUGAUGCAUCCAUGGGAUGGGUUAAAUUAAGGGGCUUCGCCGGGAAUAACAGACAGAGGAACCACAUCCAAAAUCUCAUCCUCGUGAAUGUCCAUGGAAGGAGUGCUAACCAUGUGUUGUGACAUCUUGACGUUUCUGUGGAAAAAUUGCAGUUGCCCUAACAGAGGAUGUGAGGAAGAAGCAAGGAGUUGGAAGAGUUGGGUAGGUAGUGAGGUUGCGUGUGAAAGGUAAAGAUGGUAUUUCCAAGACUAGGUGAUGAUUUACCAUAAAAGGGGCGCUUUAUUUUAAGAAAGUAGACAAUAAUUUGAUUACUUUGUCCACUCCAUAUUAAUUGCUACAAAUUUUCAUAAAUGCAAAUCCCUAAUUUCCAUCUCAGGAAUUCAAAUUGAUUUGCAUCCAAGGCCUUUCUAAAAAUAUCAGCUAACUGCAUCUCAGUAGCAAUAUGCUUUAGGGCUACAAUUUUAUCCUCCAUGAGUUCUCUAAUAAAAUGGUGACGGAUAUCGAUAUAUUUUGUCCUGCUGUGCUGAAUAGGAUUCUUAGAAAUGUUUAUAGCACUCAGGUUGUCACAGUACAAUGUCAUGACAUCUUGCGAGACAUUGUAUUCAGUCAGCAUUUCUUUCAUCCACACCAGUUGAGAGCAACUACUUCCAGCUGCUAUGUAUUCAGCUUCAGUAGUGGACAAAGACACACAAUUUUGUUUCUUACUAAACCAUGAUAUUAAGUUGUUCCCCAAGAAGAAGCAUCAUCCUUAUGUGCUUUUCCUAUCAUCAGCACUUCCAGCCCAAUCAGCAGCACAAUAUCCAGACAACACAGAUUCAGAUCCAUGAGUGUAUAGCAUCCCAUAGUCACUAGUGCCAUUGAUAUAUUUCAGGAUCCUUUUCACUUGGUUUAUGUGACUCACCUUUGGUUUUGCUUGAUAUCUAGCACAUACACCUACAACAAAAGUAAUGUCAGGUCUGCUUGCUGUGAGAUAUAGCAGACUCCCUAUCAUGCUUCUGUAGAGACUUUGAUCCACACAGACACCAUUUUCAUCUUUAGACACUUUCAGAUGAGUAGGAGCAGGUGUCCUUUUGUGGCUUGCAUUCUCCAUGCCAAACUUCUUAACAAUAUUUUUGGCAUAUUUACUUUGAGAUAGAAAGAUAGAAUCUUCCACCUGCUUGACUUGUAGCCCAAGAAAAUAGGUUAGUUCUCCAACAAGGCUCAUUUCAAAUUCAGACUGCAUUUGUUCAACAAAAUGUUGAACCAUCUUACUUGACAUCCCACCAAACACAAUAUCAUCCACAUAUAUCUGAGCCAUCAUGAGCUUUCCUCCUUCAUGUUUGACAAAUAAAGUAUUCUCAAUGCCUCCCUUUCUGUAUCCAUUGUCAAUGAGAAACACUGUGAGUCUCUCAUACCAAGCUCUAGGAGCUUGUUUCAGCCCAUAGAGGCCUUUCCUCAACUUAUACACAUGCUUUGGAAGAUUUGGGUUUGUGAACCCUUUAGGUUGUUCAACAUAAACUUCCUCAUUUAAGUAGCCAUUUAAGAAGGCACUUUUCACAUCCAUUUGCAACAGUUUAAACUUCAGAAUACACGCCACUCCUACCAGUAAUCUAAUGGACUCCAGGAAAGCCACAGGAGAAAAUGUUUCAUCAAAGUCAACUCCUUCAACUUGAGUGUAUCCUUGUGCUACUAAUCUUGCUUUAUUUUUAGUAACCACGCCUUUUUCAUCAGAUUUAUUCUUGUAAACCCACUUUGUUCCAAUAACAUUUAUUCCUUCAGGUCUUGGAACCAAUUCCCACACUUCAUUUCUCUUGAAUUGGCCUAACUCUUCCUGUAUGGCAUUGAUCCAUAAUUCAUCAGUUAAGGCUUCUUUAACAUUCUUAGGCUCAAUCUUGGACACAAAACAGGCAUGUGAGAUCACUUCCCUUGAUCUAGUGGUGACCCCUGUAUUUGGGUCUCCUAUAAUGAGAUCUUUAGGAUGAUCCUUCUGAAUUCUGAUAGAGGGUCCCUUAUUAAUUUUAUCAGCUUCAGGUUCAGCUUGAGUGGACUCGCUCUCAUUACUUUUGUCCAGGAGAUCAGCUAGGGCAUCAUUCAGAAAUGUUUCAACAUCGUCUGUGACAUUAGUCUCUUGAUCAUCAACAACAACAUUGAUAGAUUCCAUCAUAACUUUUGUUCUGGAAUUAAAAACUCUAAACGCUCUGUUGUUUGUUGAGUAGCCCAGAAAUAUUCCUUCAUCACUCUUGGGGUCCACUUUCCUUCUUUGUUCACGAUCAUCCAGGAUAUAACAUUUACUACCAAACACAUGGAAGUAUUUGACAGUAGGUCUUCUUCCCUUCCAGACUUCAUAUAAAGUGGUUGGGGUCCCUUUCUUCAAGGUUUAGUAUUUGACAGUAGGUCUUCUUCCCUUCCAGACUUCAUAUAAAGUGGUUGGGGUCCCUUUCUUCAAGGUUACUCUGUUGUGAACAUAGCAGGCCGUGUUCAUAGCUUCAGCCCAGAAGUGGUAAGGAAACUUCUUAGCAUGAAUCAUAGCUCUAGCAGAUUCUUGGAGAGUUCUAUUUUUCCUUUCUACCACACCGUUUUGCUGAGGGGUAAUGGGAGAGGAUAACUCAUGACCAAUUCCUUCAGAUGAACAGAAUUCAUCAAAUUUACUGUUCUCAAAUUCUUUUCCAUGAUCACUUCUGAUUCUGAUAACAUGACUCUCUCUUUCUCUUUGAAGUCUUUGGCAAAGAUCUUUGAACACAUCAAACACAUCAGAUUUUCCCUUAUAAAAUUUACCCAGGUACAUCUGGAGAAGUCGUCCACCACAACAUAAGCAUACCUUUUCUCACCAAGACUUUCCACCUGCAUAGGUCCCAUCAAGUCCAUGUGGAUAAGUUCCAGCACUCUAGAUGUGGUGUCAUGUUUGAUCUUCUGAUGUGACAUCUUUGUUUGCUUUCCAAUCUGACAAUCACCAUAAACUCUUCCUUCAUCAAUCUUUAAUCUUGGGAUUCCUCUAACAGCUUCAACAAAUAUAAUCCUUUUCAUUCCUUUAAGAUGUAGAUGACCCAGUUUUUGAUGCCAUAGUUUCACUUCUUCUUCUUUAGCUAGAGUACACAUUCAUGAAUAACUAGUUUCUUAAGAAUUCCAUAUAUAGCAGUUGUCCUUAGACCUGGAUCCUUUCAUGAUCACCUCAUUUUUUUCAUUAGUAAUCAAGCAUUCAGUUUUUGUGAAGUUCACAUUUAGAUCUUGGUCGCAUAGUUGACUGAUACUGAUCAGGUUUGCAGUCAAUCCUUUAACAAGCAGCAUAUUAUCAAUGUUAGGGACUCCAGGACAAUUCAACUUUCCAAUCCCCUUGAUUUCACCCUUUGCUCCAUCAGCAAAAGUUACAUAGCUGGUGGUAUGAGGUUGGAGGUCAAUUAGCAGGUUUUUGCUUCCAUUCAUGUGUCUAGAGCAUCCACUGUCAAAAUACCAGUCUUCUUUGGCUUAAACUCUGAAGGAAGUGUGAGCUAUCAAGUUAGUAGCACCAGCCCUAGGAACCCACUGUUUUCUGUUAACAGGGAUAUGUUGUUUGGGUCUAGGUUGAUGAUGAGUAGGACUAGGAUAACCAUACAACUUAAAGCAUAAUGGUUUUAUGUGGCCAAAUUUCCCACAGUAAUGACAUCUCCAUCUUUGGUGUUUUCCUUUAUGUUGUCUUUCCUUGUGAUGUUGAGACACCUGAUGUCUGUAGAAACCAAACGAUGGUCACCCACUACACUCAGGAGAGGAUUCAUUGAACCCAAGGCCAGUCAUGUCUCCUGCCAUCUUUCCAGUCUGGAGGAUUUUGUCUAAGGUGUCAGAUCCACUGUUUAACAUUCUGACAUACUUCGUCAUCUCAUCCAGUUUGGAGUUUAGGAACACAUCUUUGAUCUUUAACUUAGAAAUGGUUUCUAAGUGUUCUAUCUUCUCAUCCUCUAGUUGGGUUAUCAGUUUCUUCUGAUUCUCCACUUGUUGACACACUUCUUCACUUCUAUAACACAACUUCCUAUAGGUAGUAGCUAAUUCAUCAAAGGUUACUUCAUCAUCACUUGAGUCUUCAUCAGAAUCCCAUCUUCCAGUCAAGGCAGUCACAAGAUUGGUAGACUCUCCUUCUGUUUCACUUUCGUCAGACCAAGUAGCAACAAGACUCUUCUUCUGUUUCUUGAGAUAGGUCCCACAUUCAGCUCUAAUGUGUCUAUACCCUUCACAUUCAUGGCACUGAAUUUCUUUGCCCUGUUUGGAUUUUUCCUCACAUUCAUAGCAUUCAAUGCUUUAGAGUUUGCAAGAGCUAGUUCAUCCUCCUCCUUGGUCCAUUCUUCCUCAGCCUUCUUAUCAGUUGUAACUUCUCCUUCCUUAGUAAUGAAGGGAUGUUCCCAGCCUGUUAGAAUAACCUUCCAAGCCUUAUUAUCCAAAGAUUUCAAGAAGGCUACCAUUCGAGGUUUCUAGUAGUCAUAGUUAGAUCCAUCCAGAAUUGGUGGUCUGUGUACAGAUCCUCCGUCUCUAUCCAUAGUACCAGAAAGUAACGCCCCAAGAUCUCACCCAGAACCAGAGCAGGAUGCCUGCUCUGAUACCAAUUGAAAUUCUGGUAUUAGAUAUGAGAUGUCGAAAGUAAUGUCACGACACUAAUAUCUGAACAACAACUAAAAUAUAAACAUGAUAAAAGACAAAGAAACAAUUGAACAAGUGACACAAGCAAUUGUUAACCCAGUUCGGUGCAAACUCACCUACGUCUGGGGGCUACCAAGCCAGGAAGCUUUAGGUGAUUUGUCUUAAUCAAGUUUCUGAGAGUCUAAACAACUUCAAGUUACAGUCUUUUCACCUAAUCUCUACCCAUGUGACUUCUAUCUAAGAACUCUUAGAUAUGAGACCCUACUCACUCCUCCUCAAUCACAGCAGUGAUAUAAACACAAAUAUUGCAAAGAAAGAAGACACUCUUCAAGGACACAUACUUAAUCUUGCUUAAAAGCUUCAACCAAGUAAACACACAAUCGUGCUUCAAAGCUUAGAGUGGACAAAUUACAACACAAAAGUCAGUCCAAUUCAAACACCAAUAAGAUGAAUGAAUGGCUCACAACACACAAGCUCACACAAGAUUAAAACCCUAAAACUCUCUCACUCUUUCGUUCGUUUUCUUGUGUAUUUAAACCAGGUUUUACAUGGCCUUUAAUAGAAGCUUUUGAAUGGGACUGGGCAUCAUAAAAUCCUGUAUACACAUGUCUUAACAUCGGGUCUGACAUCUUAGCUAAAUCCUGCACAACCAUAUUUAAACAUCCUGCAGGAAGCUGAUAUCACAUGUCAAGACAACACGCGUGACACCUUGUGAUAACUCUAAGUUUUACCAAAAUUGAUGCCAACACAUAGAACCAACAUGAAGCUUUUUGUUUAAGCUACCGUUUUCGUUGUUCAUCUUCGUUCUUAUGGAAAUCACUCAGUUCUUACCAACAUGUUGAAGAUUCAUAAGUUCAUUCUAUAUCUGUUUUUGAAUCAUAUAAGAGUUACUUAAGAUUGGUAAAUUGAUUUUAUAUCUAUUUUUGAAUCAUAUAGGAGUUACUUGCAUAUGUAGUUGUAAUGAAAAUUUUAAUUUGAUCAACUUUUAUAAAACAAAAAGACAUGUAAAUAAACUCAACAAAGUAUAAACCAUAUCAAUUGCGAAAUAAAAAAAAGAUAUUUAAAAUUGCAAUCAAAGUCGAUACUAAUGUGAUUCUAUUGGUAAAAAAAAUGAAUUUCCGCCCACAAUUUUCGUUUGCCUCCUAUUUUUAUUUUUCUGUCGUAUUUAUUUAUUAGUGGCAGCGUCGGUGCUGACCAACGCUAAAGCAUAACCCAAUAUUUUUUAAUUAAUUAAUUUAUUUAUUGCAUUAAUUGCGAUAGACACAGUCGACGCUAAACUAAUUUUUAUUGGUGGAAAAAAGUCAUUUCCUCCCACUUUUUAUUUUGCCACCCUUACAUUUAUUAUUUUAAAUUAAUAAAAUAAAAUAAAAUGAAAACAAAAGUAAUUAAAUAAAACUCCUUUUUUUAGAAUAAAACAAAAAUAUAAAUUAGUAAAAUAAAACUAAAUAAAUCUAAAACUUAAGUUAAAUUCAUAAAAAAAAAUUGUUAAAUAAAACCAAACCUAUAGAUUAAUAAAAUAAAACCAAAAUAAAAAACUAUAAAUUAAAACCAAAAUUAUAAAUCAAUAAAAUAAAACUAAAAAUAUAAAUUAAAAAAGAAAAAAAAGAAAGGGAGAAGCUCUUCUACAUUACACGUAUAAUUUUCCUAAAUUGUUUUAAAGCUCUUACCUAACAAAAUCCUUUGAAUUCUUUCAUCUCUCUCCCUCUCUCUCUCUCUCUCUCUCUCUCUCUCUCUCUCUCUCUCUCUCUCGUUCACUAUUGCUCUCAAUCUCCCAUAAGGAAAAAUAAAGAUACAAACAUUCCCUACUAUAAUGUUUCACAAUCUUUUGUAACCGAAGGUUCAUUCAUCAUAUCUAAUUUCACAAUCACUCAAAUCUAAAUGAGUUUCUAGAAAAAUUGAAGAUUAUUAGCUUUAAAAAUCGGUUUUGGAGAUUUAAAAAUCGGUUAGUUUAAUUUCCUUUUUCUCCUAUAAUCACCCACAUUCUUACUAAAAUCAAGCUUGAUGAGUUAGGCAUUUCUUUAGUGUAUUUUUGGAGUUUCAUGAUCAUUAUGGGGCUAAAGAAAAUUUUGAGUCCUUCAAGAAACAUGGGGAUUAUCAGAGAUCAUCAUUCCUCCUAAGAGGAACAAUUUUGGCAAAAGAUUUGGCUUUGCAAGUGUUAGCUUGGAAAUUAUAGAGAAAGAAGUCACCAAAGAAUGAUAAUCAUCAUGUUAGAAAAUGCUAAGUAUAAAAGACUCAAUGAAGGGCAUUGACAUAUUAUGUCUACUAAGAUGGUUCGACUAACCUAUCAGAUGAUUUGAAACAUAUGGUAUUCUAAUGCCGACAAAGAAUUUGUAAGACCCCAAUUUUGGCCCUAAGAUCCCUCAUGCAAUUCCAUCAUAAGCAUAAGCAUUGUGAUCAUACCUUGACAUCCUCCUUACCCCUCUUUCAUUGGGUUUGUUUUAGGAGGGAUCACCAAGAACUUUGUGAUUAUAUCACACUUGUAUUUUAUCAUUUCACUAGCCAAAAUACCAAAAAUAUGUCUUUGCAUUUGCCUAACUCUUUUGUAGAUAGGGCAUGAUCUCAUUGAUUCAUCAAGUACACAUCUAGGAUUUGAGACCCUCAUGAACAAAGAGAACAACCAAGAAUUGAUCCAAGAAUGGUUAUGAACAUCAUAUAUGAGUCCUAAUGUUCUUUACAUGUUAUAUUGAUCAAGUUUGCUUCAAGAGUUUGAGGGUGAUUUGCCUUGGAAACCCUAGUUUGACUGGGUAUCUUGAGUAACUUCUCCAAUAAGUGUAGCACCUCAAAUUUGCACCUCCCAUUUUGUACAUACAUUUUCAUUUUAGGUCAUUAACAUUACAUUGUCCACUGCAUAGCAUUUCAUUAUCCAUCUGCCUAGUGCAAGUCAUCAGACAAGAUUUCACCUCCCAUUUUGUACAUACAUUUUCAUUUUAGGUCAUUAACAUUACAUUGUCCACUGCAUAGCAUUUCAUUAUCCAUCUGCCUAGUGCAAGUCAUCAGACAAGAUUAGGUCAACUGGUCAGGAGAUCCAGUUAAUCAAGCAAGCAAGUGCCAUUCCUAUUGAAGCAAAGCCCUAGAGUUGGUUCAUCAAGUUCAUAUGACCUAGGGAUCAUUUUGAAGUGGUUUGGCCAAGGAUUAGAUGUUCAGAAGUCAUCAGUCAUUGCACAAUGCACCUGAAACCCUAGAAAGUCAACUGUGCCAGAAAUCAUGAAUUUGAAGGUAGGAGAUGGUUAGAGAGGCCUCAUUCAUGUCCAUACAGGUCUAUUUGACAUGUCAAAGAUCAACAUUGAAGAAUUUGAGGUCAGAUGAAAAGUUUCCAAAAAUAGUAAGUGACCUGUAAUUGGAAAUUGCCAAAAAUAGAAAGGUUUUCUCCUCAAGUUUACAUCAUCAAGAAAGCUUCAAAUGGAAUUUUGUCCAACAUGAAAGUUGAAUAUCUUGCUCUCACCUUUCCAAAAAGUCCAAGAACAUGAAUUUCUCAUGUAUGGUUGAGAAAUUAUGGAUUAAUCAUUGUCAGGAUAUUUUGAACUUCAAAGUUGGAUAACUUUCACACUAUUUGGCCAAAUUGAGUGGGGUUUUUUGCUACAUCCUCCUUUUGACAUGAGCUAUCCAAAUCAUCCAUUACAUUUCAUCAAAACUCAUCACACAAUUAUUUGAUUUUUCACUUGAUUUUUUAUUUAUUGGAAUUUUCAAAUCUUAAAAUAAUGCAUUGUUUACACUUGGCAACAUUUCCAUUGGAUUACAAACAGAGUUUUGAGUGUAUUUAGGCCCAAUUUCGUGUACUGUAGCAUGCAUUCCAUGCACAUGAGGUGAAUUAGCAAUUUGCACAUAAACACUUGCAUUCAUUAAUCUUUUUGGUUUGGCUUAAUCUUGUUUAGCAAAGUUCAUUAACAGAUGAUAUAUAUGCAUAAUCAAAACAGAAAACACAUUAACAUUGGAUUUCUACUCAGAUCUAGAUCGAAUUCCCUUCUUGCUCUCAAACUUUUUCUUCACUUUUCUGCAAAUUCCUUCACAAACCUUGCUUGAUUUUUGUUGGUUCCAUCAUCCACAAGCAUUAUUGAAGGUUUUGGAAGCAAGCAUUCAAGGUUUUCAUGCCUCUUUUGGAACUGUUACAUCAAGCUCCAUCAAUGGCAGUUGCAUUUUUGAGCUACAUCAAGCCAGGUUGAGCUAUUCUGCAGCAUCCAUUCAUCUAUCCAAGGGUUGUAGGAGUUCUGUUUCAACAUUGCAAGGCCAAACAACCACGAUUUCAGAUCUGCAUCUUCAUAGAGGUUGGAAUUCGAUAUUCUUGAUUCAUGAAAUUGUGCUAUGUAUUUGAUAGAUCGUGCCAUGCUGAGUGUACUGAACUUUGUAGAAUUAAAUUUCAUCAAGAAUUGAGGAAGUUAUCAUGAUUUGAAGUUUGGUUGUUGAAUGUUAUUCUGUUCGAUUCUUCCAUGUUANNNNNNNNNNNNNNNNNNNNNNNNNNNNNNNNNNNNNNNNNNNNNNNNNNNNNNNNNNNNNNNNNNNNNNNNNNNNNNNNNNNNNNNNNNNNNNNNNNNNNNNNNNNNNNNNNNNNNNNNNNNNNNNNNNNNNNNNNNNNNNNNNNNNNNNNNNNNNNNNNNNNNNNNNNNNNNNNNNNNNNNNNNNNNNNNNNNNNNNNNNNNNNNNNNNNNNNNNNNNNNNNNNNNNNNNNNNNNNNNNNNNNNNNNNNNNNNNNNNNNNNNNNNNNNNNNNNNNNNNNNNNNNNNNNNNNNNNNNNNNNNNNNNNNNNNNNNNNNNNNNNNNNNNNNNNNNNNNNNNNNNNNNNNNNNNNNNNNNNNNNNNNNNNNNNNNNNNNNNNNNNNNNNNNNNNNNNNNNNNNNNNNNNNNNNNNNNNNNNNNNNNNNNNNNNNNNNNNNNNNNNNNNNNNNNNNNNNNNNNNNNNNNNNNNNNNNNNNNNNNNNNNNNNNNNNNNNNNNNNNNNNNNNNNNNNNNNNNNNNNNNNNNNNNNNNNNNNNNNNNNNNNNNNNNNNNNNNNNNNNNNNNNNNNNNNNNNNNNNNNNNNNNNNNNNNNNNNNNNNNNNNNNNNNNNNNNNNNNNNNNNNNNNNNNNNNNNNNNNNNNNNNNNNNNNNNNNNNNNNNNNNNNNNNNNNNNNNNNNNNNNNNNNNNNNNNNNNNNNNNNNNNNNNNNNNNNNNNNNNNNNNNNNNNNNNNNNNNNNNNNNNNNNNNNNNNNNNNNNNNNNNNNNNNNNNNNNNNNNNNNNNNNNNNNNNNNNNNNNNNNNNNNNNNNNNNNNNNNNNNNNNNNNNNNNNNNNNNNNNNNNNNNNNNNNNNNNNNNNNNNNNNNNNNNNNNNNNNNNNNNNNNNNNNNNNNNNNNNNNNNNNNNNNNNNNNNNNNNNNNNNNNNNNNNNNNNNNNNNNNNNNNNNNNNNNNNNNNNNNNNNNNNNNNNNNNNNNNNNNNNNNNNNNNNNNNNNNNNNNNNNNNNNNNNNNNNNNNNNNNNNNNNNNNNNNNNNNNNNNNNNNNNNNNNNNNNNNNNNNNNNNNNNNNNNNNNNNNNNNNNNNNNNNNNNNNNNNNNNNNNNNNNNNNNNNNNNNNNNNNNNNNNNNNNNNNNNNNNNNNNNNNNNNNNNNNNNNNNNNNNNNNNNNNNNNNNNNNNNNNNNNNNNNNNNNNNNNNNNNNNNNNNNNNNNNNNNNNNNNNNNNNNNNNNNNNNNNNNNNNNNNNNNNNNNNNNNNNNNNNNNNNNNNNNNNNNNNNNNNNNNNNNNNNNNNNNNNNNNNNNNNNNNNNNNNNNNNNNNNNNNNNNNNNNNNNNNNNNNNNNNNNNNNNNNNNNNNNNNNNNNNNNNNNNNNNNNNNNNNNNNNNNNNNNNNNNNNNNNNNNNNNNNNNNNNNNNNNNNNNNNNNNNNNNNNNNNNNNNNNNNNNNNNNNNNNNNNNNNNNNNNNNNNNNNNNNNNNNNNNNNNNNNNNNNNNNNNNNNNNNNNNNNNNNNNNNNNNNNNNNNNNNNNNNNNNNNNNNNNNNNNNNNNNNNNNNNNNNNNNNNNNNNNNNNNNNNNNNNNNNNNNNNNNNNNNNNNNNNNNNNNNNNNNNNNNNNNNNNNNNNNNNNNNNNNNNNNNNNNNNNNNNNNNNNNNNNNNNNNNNNNNNNNNNNNNNNNNNNNNNNNNNNNNNNNNNNNNNNNNNNNNNNNNNNNNNNNNNNNNNNNNNNNNNNNNNNNNNNNNNNNNNNNNNNNNNNNNNNNNNNNNNNNNNNNNNNNNNNNNNNNNNNNNNNNNNNNNNNNNNNNNNNNNNNNNNNNNNNNNNNNNNNNNNNNNNNNNNNNNNNNNNNNNNNNNNNNNNNNNNNNNNNNNNNNNNNNNNNNNNNNNNNNNNNNNNNNNNNNNNNNNNNNNNNNNNNNNNNNNNNNNNNNNNNNNNNNNNNNNNNNNNNNNNNNNNNNNNNNNNNNNNNNNNNNNNNNNNNNNNNNNNNNNNNNNNNNNNNNNNNNNNNNNNNNNNNNNNNNNNNNNNNNNNNNNNNNNNNNNNNNNNNNNNNNNNNNNNNNNNNNNNNNNNNNNNNNNNNNNNNNNNNNNNNNNNNNNNNNNNNNNNNNNNNNNNNNNNNNNNNNNNNNNNNNNNNNNNNNNNNNNNNNNNNNNNNNNNNNNNNNNNNNNNNNNNNNNNNNNNNNNNNNNNNNNNNNNNNNNNNNNNNNNNNNNNNNNNNNNNNNNNNNNNNNNNNNNNNNNNNNNNNNNNNNNNNNNNNNNNNNNNNNNNNNNNNNNNNNNNNNNNNNNNNNNNNNNNNNNNNNNNNNNNNNNNNNNNNNNNNNNNNNNNNNNNNNNNNNNNNNNNNNNNNNNNNNNNNNNNNNNNNNNNNNNNNNNNNNNNNNNNNNNNNNNNNNNNNNNNNNNNNNNNNNNNNNNNNNNNNNNNNNNNNNNNNNNNNNNNNNNNNNNNNNNNNNNNNNNNNNNNNNNNNNNNNNNNNNNNNNNNNNNNNNNNNNNNNNNNNNNNNNNNNNNNNNNNNNNNNNNNNNNNNNNNNNNNNNNNNNNNNNNNNNNNNNNNNNNNNNNNNNNNNNNNNNNNNNNNNNNNNNNNNNNNNNNNNNNNNNNNNNNNNNNNNNNNNNNNNNNNNNNNNNNNNNNNNNNNGUUGUGUCUCCCUCUGUUAUCUGGUUAGGCUAGUCCUUUUUCCCUGCGUAGGGGAACUACGUCGCCCUGAUCCUCAUACCAGAUGAGGUACGUAGGCAGGAGAUGAGCUGAUCUCUCCGGGCGCCCUUUUUGUUUUGUUUGUGUGAGUUGUUUCUCCCUUUCUGGUUGGAGUCCGAUGUAAGUCCAGCGAUUGGCAUUCGGUUUCCAGUUUCUUUGUUGGAGUCUGACGUAAGCCCAGCGAUUGGCAGACGGUUUCCUGUGUUUGUGUGUUUGUGUGGAGUUUGACGUAAGUCCAGCGAUUGGUAGUCGAUUUCCCGUGUUUGUUUGUUUGGCGUGCGUUAGCCGAGCUACGAGUGCUCUGAUUCUUCUUUAGUCCGAGAAGAUACGUAUGCAUAGGAUGCGACAUCCUAGCGAGCACGCUUUCCCCCGUCCGAACUACGUCGACUCUGAUGUCUGUGCCUGACAGACUACGUAGGCCCAGGAUGCGAUAUCCUGCCGAGUCAUGUUUCUCUUGUUUUCUUGUGUCUCUUUCAGCCAGUGUUUGAUGUUUGUUUGAGCAGCGUUUAGCAACCAUAUUCCUUCCUUUUGUGCGUGGAUCCCGUCGAGUACGACGGAUGCGUAGGGGUACUAAUACCUUCCCUUCGCAUAAACGACUCCCGAUCCCAUUCUCUUUGGUCGCGAGACCACGCUUUUUCCAGGUUUACUUCGAGCGUUUCCUUUCCCUCUUUUGGGAUAAAUAACGCACGGUGGCGGCUCUGUUGUCUUCGUUUCCCGCCGGUUUUUCGCGUAAUGCGACAAUAAGCUAUCUCACCAAUUGAUCAAAUUUCUAAAGGGGAACUUCAAAUUUCAUCAUCUUAUGCAUAUAUGGUCUACCAUGAGCCAAGAAAGUCAAGAGAAUUGGAAGUUAGCAAGUUGGUUGAUGGUGGUUGGCCAGAUGAAUUCAUCUGAUCAAAACUGGGUCUCCCUAGACCCUAUCUCCUACAAUUUUCACCAUAUAUGAAAAUAUAAUUCCAAGAGAAAACUUAAUCUAAAAUGAAUUACAAACAAUUUUCAUGUUGAGAGACCUAGAGCUAGUUUUGCUUGGAAAAUCAUUUUCUAUGUUGAAACAUUAUAGGUCAUUUUGUCUAAACCCUAAUUUGAAAGUCAACUUCCCAAGGCCAUAACUUGCUCAAUUUUUAUUAGAUAGAAUAUUUCCAAGUUGCAAAAUCAAAUUCGAUAUGUCUACUUCAACUUUUAUGUUUGGAGUGGGAGCUAAUUCAACUUUUUUGAGCAUGUGAUAUGAGGCUACAUUACAGGUCACUUUUGACCUAUACCAUUGAUCAAGUGAUUUUUUCAAACUUCAAAAAUGCAUAACUCUAUCAUUUUAAAUCCAAAUGACAUGAAAUUGGUGACCAUUUUGAAGGUCUUUGAGAGAGAUACAACUUUGAUGAAGACACGUUUCUCAUUUGAAUCUCCCAUGAAAAAGUUAAGCACGGUGGAAUAUUGAGAUAUAUGGCUUGACACUUAGAAAAAUUUUGAUAUGUCAAAUUUUUACAAACUUCCACCUCAAAUUUCUCCAAGUUCCAAGCUCCAAAUGGAAAAGUGUUAAACAUAAAAUUUGUUCCUCUUGAUCUCACCUUUCUAAAGAGCUCAAAUUCAUUCAUUUUUGAUCAGAAAUGCAUAGGUUGCGCAUGGCUUAAACAAACUGACAUCAUUUGGCAUGGAUCCAACUUCAAGCGUCAAUGCACAUGUGCCUUGCAAUCUAAGCCAACUUCAACACAUCUGAUCAUUCAAAUUGGACCUUCAGCUAUCAUUUCAUGGGCCUAUACGCGCCCAUGCAGCUUGGCAUCAUCAUUUGCCAAUUUUGGAAAGUGGAAGGAGUGUGCAAAUAUCACAUGAAUUUGGCUAUAUGUAGAGCUUCAUUUGCUCAUAAUUAGAAACACUCUUGUGCCAACUUUGAUCCCCCAUUAAAAACCCUUCACUCUCAUAGGAUAAUCCUGAUAAAUUCAUUUGAAUUUGAGCUUGAAUCUCCAAUGUUUUGGAAUUCAAUUCUCCAGGAAUCCAUUGCUUCUAAACCUUUCCAUUCUCUUCCUGCAAGUGAUUGAAGUGAGUCUAAGUGCAAGCAAGCUCAAGAUCCAUCAAGUUCAGACCUCCAUUGAAGGUAAUUUCCAGAAAUUUUAAACUCUUCGAUUCUCUUAAAUUCUUGCUCAAUUCCAUUGAUUCUUUGGUUAUCUGAAGUCCUACCAAUGUAGGCAAGAAGAUUGAGUUGCUUUGAGGUCAAAUCGAAGCAACUCAGUUCAUGUACCUCAGAUUUCAAUUCCACAUAUCUCUUAAUAUAUUUGGAAUUGGAGUAAUUGGUGCAAGAAGAUUGAGUUGCUUUGAGGUCAAAUCGAAGCAACUCAGUUCAUGUACCUCAGAUUUCAAUUCCACAUAUCUCUUAAUAUAUUUGGAAUUGGAGUAAUUGGAGGUUAGAUUCGAGCUCAGUGUUAUUUCCUCUUUAAGAUCAUAUCCUUGUUUCUUUUUUUGGUGAUGGUUCAUGUUGACCAGUCCGGUGAAGCUCACCGGGGAAGAUGACCGGAGCUCUGGCUCCGGCGAUAAGGUGUCUUACCUCUCAACCAUAGGAUCAAAGUCUCACGUUUUAAUCUUGAUUGUCCCUGGUGAUUACCAUCUGGGCCACGUGGUUGACUCAGGAACAUGUGGAGCGCGCAUUUUGGAUCAUCAGACCUGCCACCUCAAUUAAUGAGAGAGAUCUGAUGGUCCACGUAAUUUAGAAUUUUCUGAUUUUUGUUUUAAUUGCAUUUUCUUCAAUAAUUCAUAUUAAAUUCAAUAUUGAUCCAAAAAAUAUGGGACUUUCACCAAAAAAAUUCAAAUAUUUUUCUCUUUCAUGUUCUGAAUUAAAAUUAUAUUUUGGAUCAUUAUUAAUAUUUUUUAUGAAUUAAUUGAUUUUGCAUUUGUUUUUAAUUGCUUAAAUAUAUUUUUAAAUGUCCAAAAAUUAUGAAUUUUUUUCUCCAAGGUCCUUCGACUUUGUUUGACCUAUGAUAAAUCUCAUGGCCAUUUCUUUUGUGUUUUGAUGAGAUUUUAGGAAUUGGACAAAACAUAUUUGAAUUUAAUGCAUUAUUUUACUAUUUUUAAUUAAAUAAAUACCAUUUUAAUUGUGUUGACCAUUUGUAUUGACUUAAUUGAGUUUGCUUGUUUGUUGUUGGGUCUUGGUCAAGGUUGAUUUGACUUUGUCUUCAAUUAUAGUAACCUAAAUCCCCUAACUACCUUACAUGUAAGGUAGUCCCAAAAUGAAUGAAUGAUAUUAAUUUGGUAAAAGUCUUCCUUUGACCAAUUUGUGAUCUCAUUCAUCCCCUUCCCCUUCAUCUAAUUCCCCUUCUUCAUUCAUUCACUUCCAUUUGGCCAAUGACAUCUCAAAGUCCUAAUGCUAGUUGAUUGAAAGAUUAACAUGAGUAUGAAUGAGAUUAUGCCACACCUUUUUGCAUAUUUUUGUGUGUGUGUGUGGUAUGUUUAAUGAGCAUAGCUCAUAAUACUAUGUCUCCAACAUGCAUUAACACCAAAAGUCUAUUGCCCGACCUCAAAUAGUUGUGACAUCUAUAUAAGUCCAAUUACGGUUGCUUAACAUAGAGCUAAAUUUGUGACAUAAAAGGCAUAAGCAUUCUAGUUAGUGAGAUUGUAAGUCUCCCCUCUUCCAUGGUAUUGUGUGGAAACUUGGCAUUCUUUCCUUCCUUUGGAAGAUGUUUUGGUUCAAGGGUUCAUGCUUGUGGCAAGUGGGUUGAGUGUUCUCCAAAGAAUGUCUUGAAAUCAAAAGCAAAACAAAACUAACUUCUAACUUACUAACCAUUAACUUUUAAUUUCAAGCUUUUACUUUAAUGCAAUUUACUGUGGGUUGAGUGUUCUCCAAAGAAUGUCUUGAAAUCAAAAGCAAAACAAAACUAACUUCUAACUUACUAACCAUUAACUUUUAAUUUCAAGCUUUUACUUUAAUGCAAUUUACUUUUAGCACUUUAUAUCAUUUGCCAUUAUACAUAUCAUUCUAAUUGUUUAUGUUAAUGAAAUUUUCACUUUGUCCACUUGGACCAUAUUGUGUGAUAUAUUUUGUUUGUUUGUGUGGUCUUUGACCAUUUAAUGUACAUAAUGAAAACAAGAACCCUAAAAAAUUUUGUGUGGACUGUUGGUUUGAUCUUGAGCAAUGGACUUAGAACUUAGGCAACAUUCCUUUGUUAAUGGACUUGGCCAAUGCCAAUUUGUUGAAGAACCAAAUGCUUGAAAUUUGAAAUUCAUCUGAUGCAUCAUUCAAGAUCUCUCCAGUUCAUCUGCAACAUUGAUCAUUGUUAAGCUGUUAUGUUGAACCUGUGACUUGUGGAAUUCAUCUGCUACAUGGGCUAUUUUGAAGAAGAUCAUGAAGUGGAUAAGCUUUGCAACAUUGAUCAUUGUUAAGCUGUUAUGUUGAACCUGUGACUUGUGGAAUUCAUCUGCUACAUGGGCUAUUUUGAAGAAGAUCAUGAAGUGGAUAAGCUUGGAUGAGGCCAUCUUUAUUUGAUGCAUUUACUCUUCAAGAUUGAUAUAAUUGUGCAUUUGUAUGUUGCUUGAUUAUAAAAGUCCAAGGGAAUUCUGGGUUUCUAUUGACAUACUUGUCUAUUGGAUUGCUACCCUUUUGGUUAGAUCUUUUCAACUCUAAACUUUUAAUUUUUAUGCAUAGGAUAGUCUCUUCAUCUUCUCCCCAUUUCUUUAAUUUCAAAAUCUCCCCCUCCAUUUUUAAAACUUUCUUUGUGUGAACUACUUUUGUUCUAAACUCUGACCACUUUCAAAAAGAUAGAAACUUUGGCCUUAUGCCAUUGCAUUUUCAAAAUUCUUUUCUUAAAUCAAACUUGUAAAUAGAGUUAACUAUACUUGACUUAAACUUUCAAAAAAACCAAAAAAAGACUAACUCAUUCAAACCAUUUUAGGCAUUGGUGCCUUUUAAACUUAAAUUUUGUUAAAAUCAACACACUCAUUUUGAAAUUUGUAUCACGAACUACGAGGUUUUGAUCCCUCAUUUUUAUGUUGGUACGUAGGCACAAGACCGAAGGUCUUGUCAAACACAAAAAAAUAUAAUUAAUGAAUUCUUUUCUCAUCCCCCCAUUCUAUUUGUUUGUAAACAUCACUUUGUACAAAAUACAUAUGCACACAAAAAGGGCUCCCUAGGAGUACCUAGGACACUUUGGGUGCUAACACCUCCCCUCUGUGUAACCAACCCCCUUACAUGUGAUCUCUGACUUUUAUUAGUUUUUAUUUGAAAACUUCUUACUAUUUGGGUUUUGUUCGUACUUUUUCCCUUUUCCCUUGGAAACAAUAAAAGCGCGGUGGCGACUCUUGUUAAUUGAUAUAUAGCUUGUCGAUAGCUUGAUGAUCAUGAAUUUCCCGCUACAGAAUUGUAUCUAGAAGUCCCAAGAAUAGAUCCACAAGAUUAGGAUCACUAUCUCUUCAAAACAUGUCCAAGAUCUCAAAAGGGGUUACAUAAAUCACCUUUUAGACAAGGGUCAAGUUUGACACGUCCAUCAGAUGUUGGGUACUUAAGAUAUUCUGAACUCCAAAGAUUAGGUGAUGUAAAGGUGUCUGAGCAACACAAUAGGAGUCGACUAAAGACUCUCGACAUAAGUAAUUAAGAGGUUCAAAACAGUUAUCAACACAAUUAUUAGCAUGAUGAUUAAUUUUCAGCAAUUUUAUCUUUAAACACGUGUGGAAAAAAUUUAAAACAUUGAAGCCCAUGUAGUAGGAUACAUGUCUAAUCAUGAAGAUCUACUUGUUAUCGACGAUUACUAUUAUUUUAGUAUAUAUAGUUGAUCUCAUUGAGGGGAUCAAGGUCGCAAGUUCCACUCAAGUUCAAGCAUAACCAAUGGUUUAAGCAUAUGCUAAAAACGAAUCAUUUCAAAACUUGAUUUAAAGAGCUGCAAUCAUGAAGGACACUCAAUAAUCCAAAGUAAAUAAAAAUCAAAGCGAUAAUACAAGCAACACAAUAAUUGUAUCAAUGUGCUCCCCCUGAAUGUAUUAGGGAAAUGUGUUGGAAUUCAACAAUGAAACUCAAAAAUAAAUUAACUUUAAUGUUAAAUUACACUCAACACCGUCUCUUAAUUGACAUUCAAGUUUCAAAAUCAACAACACCAAUUACAUCCUUCAAAUUGAUGAAGUGUUCAGUUUUGAUCGCCUUGGCUAACACAUUUACAAGUUGCUUCUGAUUGCUGACAUGAACAACCUCAAGUACUCCAUUUUGAACCUGAUUGCGUAUAAAAUGGUACUUAGUCUCAAUGUACUUUCUUCUUCCAUGUAACACUAGAUCCUUAGCAAGACUUAUGGAAGAUUUGUUGUCAAUCAUCAAUUUGUAUGGUUUGCUCACCUUGAACUUCAGUUCUUGCAUCAAAUUCAUCAUUCAAACAUCUUGAAAAGCUGACAAAGCACCAUCUAUGUAUUCAACUUCACAUGUUGACAAUGCAAACACUAGUUCCGUCUUGGAACACCAAUAAAUGGUAACUCUUAUAUACAUGAAGACGUAUCUUGUAGUACUUCUUUUGUCCAUUCUGUCAUUACAACAGUCAGAGUUUGAAUAGCAUAUUAGAUCAGCAUCAUCUGACACUCCAGAUGGAAACACAAUUCCAUGUCUCAGAGUCCCCUUUUACAUACCUCAGAAUCCUGAUUGCAGCUAGGUAACGUGGCCACUUUGGUUUACUCAUGAACCUACUCACCAUUACAACUGCAUAACAUAUGUUAGGCUUGGUGUUACACAGAUAUCUCAAACAACUAACCAAUUGUUUGAAGGUUGUAACAUCGACAUUCUCACCAUCAUCAUCUGAGUCCAACUUAUGAUUUGUCUCAGUAGGCGUGGUUGCUGACUUACAAUUCAUCAGCUCAAAUCUCUUCAACACCUCAAUUUCAUACUUCAGUUGGUGCAUAAUAAUUCCCUUCUCAGAAUGAAAAAUCUCCAUCCCUAGAAAAUAUACCAUAUCUCUAAGGUCAUUCAUAUCAAAAUCAUUCAUCAGCACCUUCUUAAACUUGUUCAUCUCAUAAGUAUAACUCCAUGUCAGAAGUAUGUCAUCUACAUAAAGAUACACUAGAAUCACAUUGCCUUCAGAAUAAUGCUGCACAUAUACACCAUAUUCCAUUUCACAUUUCUUGAACCCCAAAUGCUUGAAAAAUGAAUCAAUUUUCAUAUUCUAAUCUCUCGGAGCUUGUUUCAGCCCGUACAAGGCUUUAUGCAGCUUAUACACCACCAUUCUUUGUUCUCUUUCACAAAUCCAUGAGGUUGUGACACAUAAAUUUAUUCUUGCAAUGGAACAUUCAAAAAAUCUAACUUUACAUCUAAAUGUAUUAGAAGCCAAUUCCUAUUUGCAUCUAUAUCAAUAACUAACCUUAUGGUUUUGUGUCUAGCUACAGGUGCAAACACUUCAAAGUAGUAUAAACUAGAAUUUUGUAGGAAUCCUCUAGCUACUAACCUUGCUUUAUGCUUACCAUUUGAAACAUUUGGCUUCAACUUUAUCUUGAAAUACCCAUCUCACAUUGAUGGCUUUCUUGUUCUGAGGUAGAACAGUCAAUUCCCAUGUCUUGUUUAUUUCAAUAGCUUCAAGCUCUUAUUUCACGGCGUUCACCCACACAUUCAUCUCGAGAGCCUCAUUGAUUUGACAGGUUCAAAGUCCACCAUCAUGGCACUCUGUAUGACUUCCCCUUCAGAUUCAAUCUCAAUAUCAUGCAUCAAAUUAAAGUCUACAAGUCUCCUUGGUAUUUUUCUAACUCUAUAUGGCCUCUAAAACUAUCCAAGGUCACCUUCAGAAGCCCCAUCUUCAGUAGUUCAACCUUUAGAGGCUGGACCACCUUCAGAAGCCUCACCUUUAGAAGUUCCACCUUCAAAGGUUAGGCCACCUUCAGAGUCAAAUCCAUCAUAAAGAUUCAGACUCGCCUUCAGAGUCAGAGUCAUCUUCAGGUUCAGACUCUCCUUCAGAGUCAAAAUCAACUUCAGAUGCAAAAUCUCCUUCAGAGGAAGAAUCAGACUCUUGUGUUGGCACUGCACUAGAGUUGGAUUGACACUUGCUCCAAUCCCAUGUUUCUGAUUCUUUCUCUAUGACAUCUCUGCUAACUUCAAAUUUGUUGGUGACUGGGCAAUAGAGUUUAUAAGCACCUGCACUGAGGUAAGCUAUAAGCAACAUGUCUUUGCUUAUGUCAUCCAAUUUCCUUCUAUUAGCAUCUGGUAUAUGUUUGUAACAUACAGAACGAAACACCUUGAAAUGGAUGGCACUUUGAUUUCUUCCAAUCCACUUUUCAAUAGGAACUACUUCCUUUAACUUCUUCUUUGGACAUCUACUGAGCACAUAUACUGAAGUAGAAAUUGCUUCACCCUACAAUUGCUUAGGCAUAUUCUUCUGCCUCAGUAUGCUCAUUGUCAUGUCAAGUUGAGUUCUAUUUCUUCUUUCAGAAAGACCAUUAUGACAUGGAGUGUAUGGAGCAGUCACCUAAUGCUCAAUACCAUGUUCCUCACAUAACUUUUGGAACUCUAUUGAGUUGAACUCACCUCCACCACCAGUUAUGAGGAUCUUCAACCAUUGUCCACUUUGAUUUUCAACCUUCACUUUGAACUUUUUGAACUCAACAAACACCUCAUGUUUGAACUUAAUGAGUACUACCUACGUUAUUAUUAUGAACUCAUCCACAAAUGACAUAAGUUACUUGUUUCCACCAAGUGAACUUACCUCAAAUGGACCACAUACAUUAUAACACACCAUACCUAAAGCAUGGGUUUCUCUUUGAGGCAUUUCCAAUGAGAAUGGAAAUCUUGGUUACUUGCCUCUCAUGCAUAUAUCAUAUGAUUUCUCUGGUGCCACAAUCUUAGGAAUUCCAUGUACCAUAUUCUUUAAACUCGGAUGCCCUAAGAUUUUGUAGUUCAGAUGCCCCAAUCUCUUAUGCCACAUCUCACUUUCCCCUUCAACACUUAUUGCACUAAGGAAUUGAGUGUCUGUUGUUGCAACAUUCACCUUGAAUAUCUUGUUUAUUCCCUGUUCAUACUUCAUAAUUAACUUCUGAUUAUAGUCAUACAACUUCAAGAGAUUGUCCUUCAUGAUUACUGUUUUUUUUUUCAAUUAGUUGACCUGCGCUCAUCAGAUUGUUAUUCAUGCCAGGAACAUACCAUACAUCCUUGAUCGGUAUAGUUUUGCCACUGUUCAACUUAACUCUGCGCUCAUCAGAUUGUUAUUCAUGCCAGGAACAUUUGAUCUUGGUCAUUUUUCUAGAGUCAAAAUCAACCAACUAUUGCUUGUUUCUAGUUAGGUGAUUUGAGCAGCCAGUGUCCAUAUACCAUCGGUCUACCAUUGAUCCACCAACAUUAUCAGAUUCCAUAAAUAACAUAGGUUCAUCAUUAGAAUCUAAUAUGGCUAUGUUUACUUCUUCACCCUUGAUAACCUUGUUUAACUAACAAUCAGUAGCAAAAUGACCAAAUUUGUUGCAACUGUAGCACUGAAUCUUUCUCUUGUCAAACUUCUCCUUUACCUUCUGAACAUUCUAAUGUUUCUUAUCAGAAUUGGAGAGUUCUGACUUAUGAACACCACCACCAUAAUUUUAUUUUUCUCUAGCCAUGCUUGCUUCUAAUUCUUCUUACCAGGAGAAUCUUUUAGAGUCUGAGCUUUCAUAGUCAGUUUUAUCUUAUUUUCAGAGUUUCUUUCAGUCAGACACAACUUUUUUGCCUCUAAACUAAUCUGAAGCUCUUCAAUUCUCAUGGUUCUAGUGUCUUUAGAGUGUUCUAUUUCUAUAACUAUGUAAUCAAACAGAAGAGUAACUGGUCUCAGUACCUUUUCAAGGAUUACUUGUUCAGAGAGUAUUUCUCCACAAGACUUCAUCCCAUUUGUGACCACAAUUACUCUAGAGAUGUAAUGAGGCACCUUCUCGUUGUUCUUCAUGCUGAGAUUUUUAUAUUGCUUGCAUAGGGCAUGCAAAUUGAUCUUCUUCACUGAUGUGUCACCACCAUAGCACCGUACCAGUGAAUCCAAUGACGCCUUCGUAUUUACACACUGAUGGAUAUAUAACAACUCCUUCUGAUCCUUCUUCCUCGUUUCAUGUUGCAUAUUUAUUUAUGCUUUUGUUGCAUUUUCUACAACCAGUGUGUAACCGUCAUUGACGAGAUCAAGAACAUCUUUAGCUCCGAAUAACACACGCAUCUGAAUUGACCACCGACUCCAGUUCUUUUCGUCGAAUACUGGAAGCUUUAUGUUCAAGCUACUGUUUUCGUCAUUCAUCUUCAUUCUUCUUCAAAUCAUUUAGUUCUUACCAACACUCGUGUUUUCCAAACCGCGAGAAUCAAGAUCUAUGAUUCUCCUUGAUUUGAACUUCAAUUCAACGCGAAUAUCAAGAACAAAAUCAUCACACACCUCACAAGAAUCGAACUGGAGCUCUAAAAAUCAAAUUUUGGUGUUCAAUAAUGAACUUCCAUUAACAAUUCACAAGAAUUGGAGAAGAUGAAGAUGAAGAUGAAGAAUGUGAGAGAGAGAGAGAGAGUGAGAAAACUCUAUAACUAACUUUAACUAUUCAAAUGUUUUUUAAAUUCGUUUACACAUUCAACUUACUUUGAGCUUAAAUAGAUUCACCCAAACUCAAAUGCACAUUUAAAUUCAAAUACAAAUAUAAACUUAAAUGCACAAGAAUCUCAAAACUAAGCUAACUUAAAUAUUGAAUUACAUUCAACAGCAUGCAACUACAUAUUGAAGAUUGGUAAAUUCAUUCUAUAUCUAUUUUUUAAUCAUAUGAGAGUUAUUUACAUAUAUAAUUGUAAUGAAAAAUUUCAUUUGAUCAACUUCUAUAAAAAAAAAGACAUGUAAAUAAACUCAAUAGAGUAGAAAUCAUAUCUAUUGCAAAAAAAAAAACCUAUAGAUUUAAAAUCAUAUCUAAGACAACGAUGUCUUAGACUUAUAUUGUUUAAUAAUUAUUUUAGUUUUAUACUUAAAGCCUAAAAGAUAGAUUGAUUUAUAAAAGAUAAAGUAACAAAAUAAAUUAUUCUUACUAUUUUUUGCACUGCAAAUUUUCUAUCUCAUUCUAUUAAUUUUGUAAAAAAUAAAUAUUAUUAGUUUUUAUAUAUAAACACUAUUCACAUUUCAAUGAUUUUUUAAGAAUAAAUACAAUUAAUAUAUUCUAAAGUAUUUUUUAAUGACAAAUAUUAUUAAUAAUUAUUUAAUAAAAUUUAUGGAAAUUCUUAUCUACUCGUAACAAAAAAUUAGGUAGCUUUACUAUAGAAUAAAUUGUCUUGAAAAUUUCUCAAUUUCUAACAAUUUAAUAAAUAAUUAAAGAGAUUAAUAAAAUAGUCAUAUGAAUGUAUGAUCAUGAAAGCUUCAUAUAUGUACCAAUAAACUAAAAUCAAAUAGCAAUAUAUGAACAUUUUAUCUUAUUAGUUAUAUUGGAUCGUGAUAAUGUAGAAUAGUUGUAAAAUAUGUAAUCGGUUAAAUUGCACGUCAAUAUGUUUAAUGUCAUGUAAUUUUAAAAUUCUAAAUGUCACAUUUUUUUGGGCAAGUUGUCUUGAACAUAAAGAGAUAGCGAAGAAUAAUGAGAUGACUUGUCCGACAAGUUAACAACAUUUUACUUGAAACUAACCAAGUGAAUUUAUUGUAACUAACCUAACUAUUUUCAGUUAGAUAAUUAGGAGUUAGUUAUGUUGUUCUAACUAAUUGUAACUGAUAUAAAUAGUAGUUCACUCUACUCUCUUAGUAGAUUUGUGUAAUAGUUUCUUAUGAUCAAUGCCAUGAAGCUUGUUUUAUCUUCUUCAAUGGAGUCUCAGUUUCUCCUUUCACAUGGUAUCAUCAACAUUUGAAUCUUUCUCCAUCAUUUAUGAUACUUACACAAAUCUCAUCAAUUUUAGUUGAAUUCAUUUUUCUUACUCGUUCUUUUCUUGUGAAUUCAUCUAAUCUUCUUUCCUCUUCCUUUCUACUUCAACAAUGUUAGUUGAAAUCCCUUUCAGCUCAGAUAAAGUUCCUACUACUGUGUCAAAUCUAAACAAGGGAUAUCAAAAUGAUACUUGCAAUCCCUAUUUCAUGCAUCCAAAUGAAAGUCAUGCAUUGGUGUUAGUUACUCCACUUCUGAAUGCAGGAAAUUACCAUUCUUGGUAAAGGUCCAUGACUAUGGCGCUCCGAUCCAAGAACAAGUUACAUUUCAUCAACGAUUCACUACCGAGACCAUCAGAUGAAGAUCGUGAGUCUAUCCCAUGGGAUCGUCGCAACACCAUGAUUAUGUCAUGGUUAAAAAACUAUGUUGAUUUUGAGAUUUCUUAUAGCAUCUUGUGGAUGGAAACCACAUCCAACAUUUGGAAAGAGCUCAAGGAUCAGUUCUAUCAUGUUGGUGUGUUCAGAAUCUCAGAUAUCCAAGAAGAAAUAUGCACCCUCAAACAAGGUGAUUUUUCAAUUUCUUCAUAUUAUACCAAAUUGAAAAUGUUAUGGCAAGAGUUAGAUAAUUUCAGACCUAUUCCUACAUGUGAUUGUAACGUUUCUUGCAUAGCGAUUGAUAAAAUUCAUAGUUAUAAGGAUUCUUAUCAAGUUAUCAAAUUCUUAAAAGGUUUGAAUGAUCAAUUUUCUACUGUUAGAUCCCAGAUAAUGUUAAUGGAUCCUCUCCCUAAUAUUUUCAAAGUAUAUUCCUUACUUGUUUAACAUGAAAGACAACUCAUUUCACCUUUCGAUGAAUCCAAAUUGCUAGAUUUUCCCAAUAAUCAAUAUCAAGGGAGAAGAAAUACUCUUUUUCGUGGCAAGAACGAUAGAGGAGGUAGAUCCUCCAAUGGUAGAGGUAGAGGCUCAAGGGUUUACACUCAAUAUGGAAUAUUAAAUCACACCAUUGAUACUUGUUUCAAGAAACAUGGAUACCCUCCUCAUUGGAAGCCACACCAAAGUCACAUCAACAAUGACAACAAUUCACCCUAUGAUAAUCAUUAAGAAAUUGAGUAUCAAUUAGAUUCACCUGAAGAUUUGAAUCAGGACAAGUCAACAAAUUCAUUCAGUUUUACUUCUGAUCAACAUAAAGCUCUCUUAGCUUUACUCCAGCAAGCAUCUUCAACAAACUCUCAUAGUGUUAAUCAAAUCAUUACUCAGUCUAAACCCACUACAUGUAUUGUCUUCACUUUACCUCCGUCUGUCAAAACUACAUAUUUCCUUCUUGACACUGGUGCCACCGACCAUGUUUGAUAUUCUCGACAUUUAUUUACAUGUUUGAAAAUAAUUUCUCCUUUCAUAGUUAAACUAACAAAUUGUUCUUUAGUUACCACUGAAUUUGUAGGAAUUAUUCUUUUUUAUUCAGAUUUUAUGCUGACUCAUGUUCUAUACAUGCCAAAAUUUCAUAUAAUCUCAUUUCAGUUCCAAAAUUGACUCACAACCUUCGAUGUCAACUUACUUUUGAUCAUUCUACUUGUGUCAUAAAGAAAUCUCACUGCAGGAAGAUGAUGGGUGCAACUUAUUUAAGAGGUAGCCUAUACAUUCUCAAUCAACCCCAAGUUGCAAUUCCUCUACACAUUAUAUCCUUCCAAUAAUGUUCUAGUUAAUUCUCUCAUAUGUCAGCAUAACACCUGUAAUACUUCUGUUGAUAGGCAUGAUAAUCUACAUGGUACUACUUGUAAUAUUUGGAAUUUGAGACUUGGCCAUCCCUCACAUGAAAAACUAUUAGAAAUGCAUAAUUUGUUUUCCUUUUGUCCAAACUGUACAAAGUAUUUCACCUUGUGAUGUGUGUUUUUAUGCCAAGCAAAAAAGAUUGUCAUUUCCACACAGCAAUCAUAAGUCAGUUGACAUUUUUGACUUAGUCUAUAUGGAUAUAUGGGGUCCAUUAUCUAUUCCCUCACUUCAUGGGCAUAAAUAUUUCCUUAGAGUUAUAGAUGAUAAAAGUAGACAUACAUGGAUUUUUCUUAUUAAAUACAAAUCUGAAAUUGCUCCUCUUGUUAAAGCCUUUGUGUCUCUAGUUAAAACUCAUUUCAACAAAAACAUAAAAUGCAUCAGGUAUGAUAAUGGUAAUGAGUUCCUUCUCAAGGAUUUCUAUAGAUCAUAAGGCAUCAUACAUCACACAUCAUGUGUUGGAACCCCGCAACAAAAUGGCCUUGUUGAGAGGAAACAACAACAUAUACUGGCCAUUACUAGAGCACUGUUAUUUCAAGCCAAAUUACCCAAAAUUUUCCAGUCUUAUGCUCUAAAUCAUGUUAUUCAUCUAAUCAAUAGACUUCAUACACCUUUCUUUCACAACAAGUAACCCUUUCAUUCUUUACAUAUACGCCUACCUGAAAUUAAACUCCUUAGAGUUUUUGGCUCACUUUGCUUUGCUACUACCUUACAAGCCAAUAGGAAGAAGUUAUAUUCUAGAUCUAAGAAGUGUAUCUACCUUGGCUUCGAAAUAGGUGUUAAGGGUCAUACCUUGUUUGGCUUAAAAUCUAAGGAAACUUUCAUUUCUAGAGAUGUCAUUUUUUUGAAUCCAUAUUUUCUUAUAUAGAUCAUACACACACAUCAUCUACUUCUUCAUCUAUCAAUCCUUCACUUUCACAUGAUUUAUUUGAUUUUACUUUCAUAUAUGAUUCUCCUAACCAUGUUUCAAUAAAUACUCAUGAUCAUACUCUGCAUUUUACUACUUCAUCUGAUAAUAAUAUACCUAUCUUUUAUUCACCUAUCACAUCAUCAUCAUUAAACAACCAUGCUUCCCCUUAUUCAAAUCCUACACCUACCAGCAAUCCAAUUGUAACAAUUCAUAAUGUCUCCUUCCAACCUAGGAGAUCUUCUCAAGCCACUCACCCUCCUAUUUUUCUACAGGACUAUCAUUGCAAUUUGAUUGAGAAUACAUGCCAUCCUCCUAAUUCAGAUGAUCUUCCAAUCUCUUAUGCAAGUAAGUAUCUAAUUUCUUCUUUCUUAUCAUAUCAUAACUUAUCUCAUCCAUAUGCUCAAUACAUUCUUAACUUAGCUUCCAUCUCUAAACCAAAAUCCUAUGAGGAAGCUAUUAAUGAUGCAAAAUGGAGUAAAUCCAUUCAAAUUGAAUUACACGCCCUUAUGAAAACAAACAAAUGGAAACUAGUUCCAUUGCCUAAGCACAACAAGGCCAUUGGAUACAGAUGAGUUUUCAAACUCAAACUUCAUGCUAAUGGUUCUGUGGAGAGAUACAAGGAGUGUUUGAUAGCUAAGGGUUUCACUCAAUUUUAAGGCCUUAACUAUCUUGACACCUUCAGCCUAGUUGUCAAAAUAACAAUAAUCAGAAUCUUCAUGGCAAUUGUAGCUUCCUAUAAUUGGCCUUUAUUUCAAUUAGAUGUGAACACAACCUUCUUACAUGGUGACCUCAGUGAAGAGGUAUAUAUGCAGGUACCACCUAGCCUUGUUGUCACUCAAUCUGACUUGGUGUGUAAACUUUAGAGAUCCGUAUACGACCCUCAAACAUGCUAGCAGGAAGUGGAAUACUAAGCUCACUGAAACUUUUACACAAUUAGGUUUUAUUCAGUCUAAAUCUAAUUACUCAUUCUAUACUAAAAUCAAAUGGUGCAACUUUCACAAUGAUCCUUGUAUAUGUAGAUGAUUUGGUCUUAGGGGGGACUGAUAUGGAUGAGAUUACUCACAUUAAGACCCUUUUGAAUGAGAAAUUCAACAUCAAGGAUCUAUGAGAAGUCAAAUAUUUUCUUGGUUUCGAAGUGGGAAGAUCAAAAGAAGGAAUUGCUUUGUGCCAAAGAAAGUAUGUUCUUGAUCUUGUACAAGACACAUGGUUGAGUGGAAUUAAGCCAUGUAACACUCCUAUGUAACCUCACUUGUAGCUAAACAAAGAAUUUGGGACAACUCUCUCUCUGAUCCAACUGCAUAUAGAAGAUUAAUCAGAAGACUUCUAUAUUUGACUCAUUCAAGACCCGAAAUUUCUUAUGUUGUAAGAAAGUUGUGUCAAUUUCUCAUCUCACGAACAUACAAAGACAUGAUAGCAGGACUUCAUGUUCUAAGGUACCUCAAAGGUAGUCCAGACAAUGGUUUUCUAUUUAGUUCAUCAACUGAUCUCAAACUCAAUUAUUUCUGGCUCGGAUUGGAGAGUAUGCCCUGGCACAAGGAGAUCAACCACAAGCAUAUGUUUCUUCCUUGGAAGGUCUUUGAUUAGCUGGAAAAUCUAGAAACAAUCAAUGGUGUCUAGAUCAUCAUCAGAGGCAGAGUAUCGAGCUUUGGCUCAACCAACGUGUGAAGGACACUGGAUUUUUUAUCUGCUGAAGGAUUUCCACAUAGAGCAUAAUUCUCCAACAGUGAUCUACCGUGAUAACAAAUUAGCACUCCACAUAGCUGCAAAUCUUGUCUUCCAUGAGAGAACAAAACACAUAGAGAUGGAUUUCCAUGUGGUCAGGGAUAAGGUUCAAGCUGGAACAAUUCAUUUGCUUCCAGUCGCAUCAAAGGAACAAGUAGGACCAUUUAUCAACUUACAAAACAAGCUUGGAAUGAUCAAUGUUUAUUCCAGCCUGAGGGGGGAUGUUGAACAUAAAAAGAUAGUGAAGAAUAAUGAGAUGACUUGCCCGACAAGUUAACAACAUUAUAUUUGAAACUAUCCAAGGGAACUUAUUGUAACUAACAUAACAAUUUUUAGUUAGAUAAUUAGUAGUUAUUUAUGAUUCUCUAAGUAAUUGUAACUAAUAUAAAUAGUAGUUCACUCUACUCUCUUAGUAGAUUUAUGUAAUAGUUUCUUAUGAUUAAUGCCAUGAAGCUUGUUUCAUCUUCUUCAAUGGAGUCUUAGUUUCUCCUUUCAGAAGUUGUUUCUUGUAAUGGUGAUGUUGAAGUUUUAUACGUGCUUUUGUUUUUAAAUUGACUAUCAAAUACUCAAAUUUUGAAUAGUAUUUUAAAGAAUUUCUAUAUUGGCAGAGGCUUAAAAAAAAUAGAACCAUAACAUCCAUAAUAAUCCAUUUGAUAGGACGAAUGAGGAAGACAAUACUAGAAAUAACAACAACCACAACAUUCUCACUAAUAACAACAAUAUUAGAGAAAAUCCAUACACUAAGCAUAUCGACAAGAAGACCUUACUGAAAGCUCACAUCAAUAUGGAGGAGGACCUCAAGGAUAAUUACGAAAUAAACAACACAAACAAACACAUCACUAAUAAAUAUACUAGAGGCAAUAUGUAUGAUAAAUAAGGUUAACAAUCCUAAGAUGACUUCUAAAAAUAAAGGCAUCAACAUACCAAAAGGCAACCCCGAGAGUCAUGAUCAUCAAAUAAAUAACAAUUCCUGCAUCAAUUAGGGAAAGAUAAAAAUUAUUAUUAUAGAAUAACUAAAAACUGUUUAUGCGUUUCAACCAUGUAAAUACAAAAUGACAAGUAAAUGAUGAGAAAUUUAUGAGGAGUUUUAGUUCCAAGGGAAAUAAAAUCCUUAAUAUCUUUUUAAAAACUAUAUCAAUGAAAAAUUAUUUUUAUUUGUAAAUUAGUUAAAAGAAUGUUGCUUUUUGCUUGUAUAAUGACAAUGAUCACAAAUUCAUAAUACUAUAUCUUAUACUUUUUCUCAUACCCAUGCGGACGCACGGGUCUUCUACUAGUUAAAUUAAUAAAAUAAAUAAAAACAAAAGUAAUUAAAAUUAACUCAUUUUUUUAGAAUAAAAUAAAACUAUAAAUAUGUAAAAUAAAACCAAAUAAAUCUAAAACUUAAGUUAAAUUCAUAAAAAAAAUUGUAAAAUAAAACCAAACUAUAAAUUAAUAAAAUAAAACCAAAAUUAAAACUAAAUUAAAACCAAAUAAAAUAAAAUAAAAACUAUAAAUAAAAACCAAAAUUAUAAAUUAAUAAAAUAAAACUAAAAUAUAAAUUAAAAAUGAAAUAAAAUAAAAACGGAAAAGGGGGAAAAACUCUUCUAAAUUACACAUACAGUUUCCCUAAAAUCGUUUCAAAGCUCUUACCUAAAAAAAUCCUUCUAAUUAUUUCAUCUCUCUCUCUCUCUCUCUCUCUCUCUCUCUAUAUAUAUAUAUAUAUUAUCUCUCUCUAUCUUUCUCUCCAUUUACUAUGUCAAGACAUUUCGUAAAUCAUUGCCUAUGCACAGUGUCUAAAGACCAUCCGUUGUUACCAUAUGGCUAGUGGUUACACAUUAUCCAAUGUUCAAGUUCUUUACUAAAUAAAUUUCUUUACCAGAAAAUAGCGUAUUAACUGCAACAUUUUAGCAUCAGUCGUGACUGCGAUGCUAAUAACGUUAACCUUAUGUCACCAAAGGUGGACACUAAUAGGUUAAAUCAUUUCUUUAAAUUUUUAAAUGUCUUUAACAAUUGCGUCGGUAUGACCUGACGAUACAUAAUUUAAUUAUUUAAUUAUUAAUUUAUCUAUUUUUUUAUUUAUAACAGAUAAAUGUAUAUAUGUUUAACUUUAUAUUUAUUACAAUACAAGUGACAGUCAAGAUCGACGCUAAUGUAAUAAUAUUGGUAAAAACAAUUCAUUUCCGCCCACAAUUGACGUUUGUUUCCUUCUUUUCGAUCUUAUUUAUUUAUAAGUGGUAGCAUCAGCUCUGACCGACGCUAAGGCAAAAGCCGAUAUCAUUUAUUUAUUUUUUGCAUUAAUUGCGACGAACAUAGUUGACGCUAAUAUCAAAUUUUUAUGGGAAAAAAUCGUUUCCCACACAUUUUUAGUUUCCCUCCUUUUUAUUUAAAAUUUUAAAUUAAUAGAAUAAUAUAAAAUAAAAAAAUAUAAUUAAAACAAACUCCUUUGUUUAGAAUCAAAUAAAUAUAAAAUAAAACCAAAUAAAUCUAAAACUUGAAUUAAACUCAUAAAAAAAUUGUAAAAUAAAAUCAAAACUAUAAAUUAAUAAAAUAAAACCAAAAUUAUAACUAAAUUAAAACCAAAUUAAUUAAAAUAAAUACUAUAAAUUAAAACCAAAACUAUAAAUUAAUAAAAUAAAAUUAAAAAUAUAAAUUAAAAAAAAUGAAAAUGGAAAAAAAAAGGAGAAGCUCUUCUACAUUAAACGUACAGUUUCCCUAAAACUGUUUCAAAGCUCCUACCUAAAAAAUUCUUCAAAUUAUGUCAACUCUCUCUCUCUCUCUCUCUCUCUCUCUACCGCUCUCUCUAUCUCUCUCUUUCUCUCUCAUUCAUUAUCGCUCUCAAUACUCCAUCAGAAAAAAUGAAGAUACAGUAGUUCCCCAUUCUAAUGCUUCAUAAUCUUUGUAACCGAAGGUUCAUUCAUCAUCGCUAAUUUCACAAUCGCUCAAAUAUAAAGGAGUUUCUAGAAAAGUUGAAGAUUAUUAGCUUUGAAAAUCGGUUUUGGAGAUCUUAAAAUCAAUUAGUUUAAUUUCCUUCUACUCAUAUAAUCAAUAAAUAUUGAUUGAUUCCACUGUUCUUCUUGCUUAGUCGCGUUCUUACUGAAAUAAAGCUUGAUGAUGACAUGAAAUUUCAUGUCUAAAAAUUAUUUGUGUAUCUAAUCAUUUGGACUCAAGAGAUAUUUGGUAUCAUAUCUUCUAGAUCGAUAACCAUAAAGAGAAUAUGUGAACACAUUUGGUAAAUCAUUGCAUAUGCAUAAUGUCUAAAGACCAUCCUUUGUUACCAUAUGACUAGUGGUUACACAUUGUUUGAUGUUCAAGUUCUUUACUAAAUAAAGCUCUUUACCAGAAAAAAGCGUAUUAGCUACAACAUUUUAGCAUCAGCCCUGACUGUGACGCUAAUAGCACCAACCUUAUGUCACCAAAGGCGGACACUAAUAGGCUAAAUCAUUUCUUUUAAUUUUUAAAUGUCUUUAACAAUUGCAUCAGCAUGAGCUGACGAUACAUAAUUUAUUUAUUUCAUUGUUAAUUUAUCUAUUUUUCUAUUUAUAACAGAUAAAUGUCUAUAUGUUUAAUUUUUUAUUUAUUGCAAUACAAGCGACAGUCAAGAUCAACGCUAAUGUAAAUAUAUUGGUAAAAAUAAUUCAUUUCCACCCACAAUUAUCGUUUGCCUCCUUCUUUUCUGUCUUAUUUAUUUAUUAGUGGUAGCGUCAAAUCUGAUCGAAGCUAAGGCAAAAGCCAAUAUUAUUUAUUUAUUUAUUUAUUGCAUAAAAAUUGCGACGGACAUAGUUGACGCUAAAAUAGUUUUUUUAUGGGAAAAAAUUUGUUUCCCCCACCUUUUUAGUUUGCCUCCUUUUUAUUUAUUAUAAUAAAUAGAUAUAGUAAAAUUAAAUAAAAACAAAAGUAAUUAAAACGAACUCCUUUUUCUUAGAAUCAAAUAAAAGUAAAACAAAAUCAAAUAAAUCUAAAAGUUGAAUUAAAUUCAUAAAAAAAAUUGUAAAAUAAAACCAAAACUUUAAAUUAAUAAAAUAAAACCAAAAUUAAAAAUAAAUUUAAACCAAAUUAAUUAAAAUAAAAACUAUAAAUAAAAACCAAAAUUAUAAAUUAAUAAAAUAAAAUAUAAAAUAUAAAAAAUGAAAAUGAAAAAAAAACACUAAAGGGAGAAGCUAAUCUACAUUAAACGUAUAGUUUCCCUAAAAUUGUUUUAAAGCUCCUUUUUAUUUAUUUUUUUAAAUUAAUAAAAUUAAAUUAAAUAAAAACAAAUGUAAUGAAAACGAUUUAGAAUCAAAUAAAACUAAAAUAAAAUCAAAUAAAUCUAAGACUUGAGUUAAAAUCAUAAAAAAAUUUGUAAAAUAAAACAAAAACUAUAAAUUAAUAAAAUAAAACCAAAAUUAAAACCAAAUUAACUAAAAUAAAAACUAUAAAUUAAAACAAAAAUUAUAAAUUAAUAAAAUUAAAUUAAAAAUAUAAAAAAUGAAAAUGCAAAAAAAAAAACAAAAAAUGGAGAAGCUCUUCUCAUUAAACGUACAGUUUCCCUAAAACUGUUUCAAAGGUCCUACCUAAAAAGUUCUUAGAAUUCUUUCAAUGCUCUCUCUCUCUCUCUCUCUCUCUCUCUCUUUCUCGUUCUCUAUCUAUCUAUCUAUCUAUCUAUCUAUCUAUCUAUCUAUCACUCACUCACUCACUCACUCUCUCUAUAUCCCUCUCUCUCUCUCUCUCUUCCUUUCUCGUUUACUAUGGCUCUCAAUCAUCCAUCAGGAAAAAUGAAGAUACAUUCAUUCCUGUUUACCUUGAAAAUCGGUAAACAACUGCUGAUCUUCCAAAUUUCUAAAUUUGGUUACUUACAGGUUCGAACAGAUUGAUCCUAGGACAUGUGCUAAUUGUUUUGAAAUUGAGUUUUAGUAAUAACGAACACUCCAAUAAUAAGCGCAAAAUUAGAGUUUGAAAACUAAUAAAAAGGCUGAUAUGAAUGAGAGAAAUUGUAAAGGACUUGUAACAAUAAACAAUUGACAAAAGUAAAUGUUGACAGCAAGGAAAUUUUAGGACUGUAAAUGACAAAGUAAAAGAAUAGUGUUUUGAAUGAAGCAAUAAAGAAGUAUGUUUUUGGAAGGAAAAAAGUAAAGAUAAAUUUGCAUUGCUUUGAAGUAAUUAACAAUGGUGUAAACAAACGUACAUUAUGUGAUUUACGAUUCUUCUUCACAUGAGUACUUGGUAAAUUUACAGGUUUUUGUACACACUUUGACACACACUUUUCUAACACUAAGACCCUAUAUUUAUACUGGAUCGAGAUAACCGUUUCUGAUAGUUCUUCAAUCACGUCGAGACACAUGGCACCUUACAUGUACGCAAUUAUCUACUAUGCUCCACGUGUACUCUCAACGGUUUCUGAUAAGGGCAAAGUUCCCUUCCUUAUUUGAAUUUUGAAUCUUUGAUCGAAAACAGUUUUCAACCGUUUUUUAAGAGAUCUUUCUGGAGUCUCAACUGUGUGUUGAUCCUUAUCAACCUUGCCCAUUCGAAUCACCCCCAGCUGAUCGAAUACCACCUCCUGGUCGAAAACAACUAUACAUAUGAUUUCCCUUUUUAGUAAUUCUUAAUGGGCGUCGAAAAUAUGAGCUAACAAAUUUCCCCAAAAAAAUGUUUUUUUCGACACUUGUGAGAAAAAGACAUUUUUUUAGACCUUGUUUCGACGCCUUAAUAACUCUGACAUUGUGCCAAGUGUCCUAAUGUUAGCAAAACUUUUCAGUUUCUCCAACUUGUCUGGUGACGUCAGAGUCAUCAUUAUCUUUUUCCUACCCAUGUCCUUUCAGCCCACAACCGAAUCUUUUCACUCAUCACGUUUCCUAGACUCUAGGAAAUCAUGGGUUGCAUCAUUAAUUGACAUCUCCAUCACACUGUCCAAGGAGGACACGCGUCCCACUAACUUAUCAACCAUUAAUAUUGAUUUGAAAUGCUCUUUCUUCCAAGCGUGCCUAUAAAACUCACCAACUUACCCAUUUCACAUUUUUACACCUUUUAAAUUUCCAAAUACUCUAGCUUUUCUUUCUUCAAACAUUCUUCAACUAAACUCAGACUUCCUUCAAGCUCUAACAAUGACAACCUCAAGCAAAGCCCCUAAGGGAACAAGUGUAUCCGUCAAAACCACCGCCAACAGGACAAAAGCUCCAAACAAGAUCUCCAAACUUCCUCCAUUCUCCAUAUUGUCUGCUCCACUCGCGGUUGGCAACCGACAAUAUACACCAGAGCCCCAAACAGAAGAACAUCGCAAAAUUUACGCUUCUCAGGUACUCAUUCCUGUCUUCUGUUUCUGGAAAGAACUAUGCAUUAUCCAGACCCUUAGCUGAUUUAGAUGCUCAUUCUAGUAAGCUUAGAUAAUUCUUUCCUUCUUAUCACAAAUGUAAACCCAUAGGGAAAGCUAGAAACCCUAGAACUGAAACCACCUCCACCGAAAACCCUAAGGCAUGUGAUAUUAUAGAUCUAAGAUUUAUGAAUAAUGGUUUCAGAGCUUUUCGUGCUACUCCCACCUUUAAAGAUCCUACUGAUCAUCUAAACUGGUUAACUAAAGUUGAUAAAGCUAAGGCUCAGGCUUGGAAAGACAUAGGAAUUUAUUACCUGAUUAUGCUGUCGAAGCUAAAUUUAGAGUACAACACUUCUAUGUUGAUUUCUUCAUUGUACUUCUGGGAUAAUAUACAUUACACUUUCCACCUUCAUUGUGGUAUGGCCACACCAACCCUUUUCGACAUGGCCGUUAUCAUAGGGUUGAAGCCUAUUGGACACACUUAUGACCCCGACAUUGACUUUAUGGACGCAUCGCCUUUUCGACCACCAGGGCAUCAUACUCGACACAUAUUGCUCAUUACCAUGAUAAAGAUACUGACGUUGUCUCCGACGUGGAGCAUAUAGCCUUUUUAGCCUUGUGGUUGUCCCACUCUGUUUUUUGUUCUAAAUCCCAACAAGUUGCCAAGAAAUACCUCACUUUGGCGAACCAACUACACACAGGAUACGAUAUCUGCCCAAGCGAGAUGAUCUUGGCAAGUGUUUAUGAAUCCUUGAGCAAUGGAGUGGCUCAACUGAAGAAUUUGGGGGACAAAGGGAACCUUCUUCUGUCUGGCCCUUUCUGGCUAUUGCAAAUUUGGCCAAAUGCCACUUUCGAGGCCAGCCUGCCAAACAAAGGCCUCGUCAACGAAGAUGCUGAGGAGAUCAAGAACAGAAGGGUCGAAGGCACUAGGCUUGCUCAGCUGACUCCAAAUGAUGAAGGACAAUCCCUCCAACCGACUUUCAUGGGCUAUGUAAUGAUGUUUGCUAAGCUCCAUGUCUUCACUUCGAGCAUGGCCCCAUUUUCCUUCAGGAAGCACGGUCCCAUGUGGUUUACCAGGACCUUCCCAUCUCCAUCCAAUAAAUAGGAGACAUAAUCCUUGCUGAUUUAGGAAGCCUUUUUGACCCCCGGGAUUCUAACCCUUUGACUCAACCCUUCGAAGGUUCAAGUUACUUUGAUAACCUAUCAACCCAACCUUGUCGCUCGACAAUUUGGGUUAGUCCAGGUCCUUCCAAAGUGCCUGUAUGACAAGAAGGGUAGUCUCCUUCUCCACAAUACGGUCCAUAACAAAGCCACUUCCCUCAAACAAAUAGCCAGAUAUACUGGCAGAACCCAACUUACUUCAUUCAACUUCGAGCCCAGCUUCCUCUGGAGUCGAGAGUUUGGGAAAUGGUGGACUAAGUAUUACGUAGAAGAAUUCUGUGAUGUCACCUCUUUCAUUCAACUAUUUGACAAAACUUUUCUUCUUGUGCAGGAAAAGACCAGGAAAGGUACUUAUACGCUUAUAAAAGAAAUUCAAGCUUUUCAAAACUACUUUGAAAAUGCCUAUAGGCCUGAUGAUCUUAGUCGAACCAUCUGCGAAGAAGCUGUCAGGUUUAAAGAAAAGUUUUCAAAGAAAAUGGAAAACCUAAAGAUUCCUUCAUACGUUCCUCAUGAGAAACGCUAUGAAAUGGCUCUUGAAUUGUUUCCCCUAAAGUUUCCUUCACUGCCUAAUGCUGACUUUGGAGUGGCCCUUUCCCCUCCAUUUCCAGUUUAGUCUAUUUGUGGAGAUAACAUUAAAAUACUUCGACAACAAUCUUAGAAAAAAGCUUAGCGGGUGGUUGUGACUAAGCAUACUCUAGACACUUUCGAAGGGCAUCUUCAUAUAGGGAUCGAGGAUGUCCGAAUCGAAUCGGACAUAUAUGAAGGUGUGACACAGGAGGUUUUCCUCGAAGUACAUUCCCUUUUCAAGCCAUUUAAUCUUAGCUAACACUAACUGUUUUAUUUCGUUUUUAAUUAGCUAUCAGGGUUCCACCUAAACCACCAUCAAGAGACCAGUCGAGUCGAAGACUGAAGGAGGUAGCAAGCUGUAAAGGUAUCCUUUUGCUUUCUUGUUUCUUUUGCUUUUGUUGUGUUUUAAUGAUGCUAAUAUUCCCAUUCUUAACUCAGGCUGAUCGAAAACCUCCAGUAAGCCCCCUAAAAAUCCAAAAACCUGCUGACAUCCCCGUCAUAAUGGAAUCUGAUGAAGAGGAUUUGUCGCCGGUUCUCGACCUAACUUCUAGGAAGAGAAAGAAACAGCCAAAGGCCUUUGAUGCUUUGGACCAUCCUCCAGCCAAACUUCCAAGGAAAAGGCCUGCUGCACUUAUUAUCCAAGAGCCUACUCCUAAAGAAAUGGCGAAGAUAGCGACAACCCAAAGUGAGAGCGACAACUCCAGCCCUGGGGUCGAAGGUGACAAGGUAUAAAAAACUUCUCUCUUCCUUACAUAACUUUUCUACCGUGUUUCACCGUUUAUAGGUUUUGAUCCUAUUAUUUUCAGGGUGGCGUAAGCACUUUCAUUCGAACCAAGACUACAACCUCCUUUGCGUCUGCCUCUGCACCAGAUGUUUUAAAUAGUGUUGGCGAACCCACUUAUCGACCAUCAUCUGAAAAGGGGUCUCUAAGUGAGAUUAACCAACCUCCCUCUGGUGACCUUGAUGCUUCACCACCGAAGACUGCCACUCAACAUUCUCAAACCAGCAACUCUGGUCACGAAACUGAUUCAAUCGAAGAAGGUGAGGUUGGAGGCAAUCCAGAACCCAUGGUUGUGGAUGAAUUAGCUGAAGAAAAAGAUGCCCUUGAGGAUGAUUUAAAUAAAGCUGAAGGAACGAAUAAUCCUCAGGGAGAAGGUGGAGAUGUUGAAGAUACGGUUAUGGAGGAGGAGAACAAAGGCAACCCCACCAUAAUCCCUGAUGAUGACGAAGGCUUUGAAGGGGGGGAGGCUGAUGCAGGCGAAGAGCAAGCUCAAACUCAAACUCUUUUCGCUCCAACUAUGGCAGAUGUUCCAACGGCCGGAGUUUUGACGAGUAGUAUUGGGGGUCUUUCUGCAGAAAGAUUGGAUAUUCUGAAACGAAGCCAACCCCUUGAGUAUUUAAAGGCUAUGUUAAGCUGCAGGGAAAGUUCCUUUGACAAAAGCCUUAGUACUUCGGUGUCUGAAGAUCAGCCUUUGAGCACUCCUGCAGACGAAGUACUUCCUAAGAUCAAAGACAAAGUCUUCAAAGUUGACUUGUUUCUGUUGCUGCUAGCUGAUCUCUUUUCCCUUUGACUCUAAAGGCUCUUCUCAGCCAAGUCGACAUGUUGGAAGCUUCUCUUGAAGUGGCCAACGUUAUAUUGGAGAUAGGUACUAUGAUUGACCAAGUUGUUGCAGAUCAUAAGUUGUUACCUCAGCUCACAAGGGAAAUUAUGAAGAAGUCUGGUUCUGAGGCUGCUGCCUGGGAUGCUGCUACCGAAUCUACCAAUAAGGCGAUGGAAUUGGAGCAGACCAAACAGAAAAACAAAGAAAAGAUCGUAGGUCAUAAUCGUAACAUUGCUUCUUGGAGGAAACAAAUAGAAGAACUUCAGGCAAAGAUCUCUGAUGCCGAAAGAAGCAAAGAUCAACUCUUAGAGUUUGAUGAAGCUUUAAUGGCUCAAGAGCUAUCAUUUGGCAUGGAAUUUGUUGAAAAGGCUCGACAACUUGAGUCUGACGUCAAACUCCUGCGAUCGAAGAGAUCUUUAUGCGAGAAACGUCUAGAGCUUCUUAAAGACAAGUAUCUUCAGAUCAAGGCCAACCUUCCUUUCUAGUUUUUUCCUUGUCUAUUUUACAAUGUAAUAAUAAUUUUUCUUUGUAAUGAAUAUUGGUCCUUUUGGCCUUCGAAUUCAAUAUAACCAUUUUGGCAGUUUUACCAUAUUGGCUUUGUUUUACUUAUAUAACUAUUUGUCUCUUAUUUUGAUCUAUUGGAGUACUGGUUUAUAUUUUUUCAAAUAUUUCCCAUUCACUCUUAGAAUCCUUUUAUCUUCAUUAAGCUCUUCGAUUUCAUAGGCACCAUUAGAGAAUACCUGUAAAAUCUGAAAAGGGCCUUCCCACUUUAGGGACCAUUUCCCCAAGGCUCUAUCCUUUCGAUCCAUUGGAAGGAUCACUUUCCAGACCAAGUCUUCAGGCGCAAUUUUUUUGACUUUUACCCUCUUAUUAUAAGAGAUUUCUAUUCUCUUCUUUUUCCGUUUUAACAACUCCAAGGCAUUUAACCUUUCUUCAUCUAAGUCAACCAAUUCAUCCAACAUCAUACUCCAAUAUGAUUCUGUUGGAAGUUCAUCGUGCCUUUGAAUCGUUAUGGAUUGUAGGUGAAUUUCUACUGGUAGAACAACAUCAUGGUCAAAGGUUAGCCGAAAAAGGGUUGACUUAGUGGCCUCUUUGGGAGAGGUAUGACAUGCCCAUAAAAUCUGGUCCAGAGUUUUAUGCCAAUUCAUAGGCUUCUUCCCUACAUGCUUUUUAAUCAAACCAAUGAUCACUUUAUUGGAAGCUUCGACUUGUCCAUUGGCCUGAGCAUAGUAAGGCGUUGAAGUUAACAGUUUGAAGCCCAUUUCUUUGGCAAAUUAUUUCCUUUUCCGACCAGUGAAUACUAACCCUUGAUUCGUUGUAAUCGUCUCUGGGAUUCCAAAUCUAUAAAUAAUGUGCUUUUGGAUAAACUCGAUUACAUCUUCUUGAUUCACAUUUGGUAAGAGUAUAACUUCAAUCCACUUAAUAAAACAAUCAACUCCCACCAAUAUAUAUCUUUGAUUUUUAGAUGAUGGAGGUCGAAUUUCUCCAAUCAAAUCUAAAGCCCAACCUCUAAAUGGCCAAGGCUUGAUGAUAGAAUGUAAUUCACUUGCAGGGACGUGUUGUAUGCCUGCAUGUAUCUGACAUUCUUAGCAUUCCUUUGCGAAUUCAAUACAAUCUUUCAAAAUAGUAGGCCAAUACGUCCCUUGGCGAAAUAAAAUCCAUUUCAUCUUAUGACCAACUUGGUGUGCCCCAAACGCUCCACUAUGUACAGUCGAAAGGGCUAAGUACGCAUCUGACUCACUGAGGCACUUAAUUUAUUCAUAUAAAUUAUUAAUUUAUCUAUUUUUUUUAGCUUUGAAAAUCGGUUUUGGAGAUCUUAAAAUCAAUUAGUUUAAUUUACUUCCACUCAUAUAAUCAGUGAAUAUUGAUUGAUUCCACCGUUGUUCUUGCUUAGUCGCAUUCUUACUGAAAUCAAGCUUGUUAAUGACAUGAAAUUCCAUCUCUAAAAUUAUUCGUGUAUCUGGUCAUUUGGACUCAAGAGAUAUUUGGUAUCAUAUCUUCUAGUUCGAUAACCAAGAAGAGAAUAUGUGAACAUAUUUGCUAAAUAGUUGCCUAUGCAUACUGUCUAAAGACUAUCCCUUCUUACCAUAUGGCUAGUGGUUACACAUUGUCUGAUGAUCAAGUUCUUUACUAAAUAAAGUUCUUUACCUGAAAACUUCGUAUUAGCUGCAACAUUUUUGCGUCAACCCUGACUGCGAUGCUAAUAGCGUCAACCUUAUGUCACCAAAGGCGGACACUAAUAGGUUAAAUCAUUUCUUUUAAUUUUUAAAUGUCUUUAACAAUUGCGUUGGCAUGAGUUGACGAUAAAUAAUUUAUUUAUUUAAUUAUUAAUUUAUCUAUUUUUUUAUUUAUAACAGAUAAAUGUUUAUAUGUUUAACUUUUUACUUAUUGCAAUACAAGCUUCAAUCAAGAUUGACGCUAAAGUAAUUAUAUUGGUAAAAACAAUUCAUUUCCGCCCAUAAUUGUCGUUUGCCUCCUUCUUUUCUGUCUUACUUAUUUAUUUGUGGUAGUGUCAGCUCUGACCGACGCUAAGGCAAAAGCCAAUAUUAUUUUUUUAUUUAUUUAUUUGUUGCACUAAUUGUGACGGACAAAGUCAACGCUAAAAUAAUUUUUUUGUGGGCAAAAAUUCGUUUGCACCACCUUUUUAGUUUGCCUCCUUUUUAUUUAUUAUUUUAAAUUAAGAAAAUAAAAUAAAAACAAAAGUAAUUAAAAUGAACCCCUUUUUUUAGAAUCAAAUAAAACUAAAAUAAAACCAAAUAAAUCUAAAUCUUGAAUUAAAUUCAUAAAAAAAAAUUUAAAGUAAAACCAAAACUAUAAAUUAAUAAAAUAAAUCCAAAAUUAAAACUAAAUUAAAACCAAAUUAAAUAAAAUAAAAACUAUAAAUUAAAACCAAAAUUAUAAAUUAAUAAAAUUAAAUUAAAAAUAUAAAUUUUAAAAAAAUGGAAAUGAAAAAAAAACAAAAAAGGAAAAAUGAAAAAUAUAUANNNNNNNNNNNNNNNNNNNNNNNNNNNNNNNNNNNNNNNNNNNNNNNNNNNNNNNNNNNNNNNNNNNNNNNNNNNNNNNNNNNNNNNNNNNNNNNNNNNNNNNNNNNNNNNNNNNNNNNNNNNNNNNNNNNNNNNNNNNNNNNNNNNNNNNNNNNNNNNNNNNNNNNNNNNNNNNNNNNNNNNNNNNNNNNNNNNNNNNNNNNNNNNNNNNNNNNNNNNNNNNNNNNNNNNNNNNNNNNNNNNNNNNNNNNNNNNNNNNNNNNNNNNNNNNNNNNNNNNNNNNNNNNNNNNNNNNNNNNNNNNNUGACGAUAAACCCCCCUUACCUGAGUUAAUCCGGCGAAUCUCUAAGCUCAAGCCCUUCCUUCUUCAACCUUCAGCCCUCGCUCUGUCUCUUUGCCCUUUUCCUCUUCUUUCACGAUCGUUCUCUGUUUCACGUAAAACCUUUUCUUACCAAAUGGGAUAUUUCCUUAAGUCCAACUUAUAUAUUUUCCAAAAUAAUAAUCCAAUAAUAAUAAUAAUAAAAUUUCCAAUUAUUUAAUUAAAUUAAUAAAUAAAUUAUUAACUCAAUUCAAAUAAUUAUUUUAUUAUUAUCGGGGUGUUACACUAUGCACGCUAAUUCACCUAGCAUGCAAACAUCAAAAACAGUCCAAAUGACUAACAUCACUAAUUCCUCACCAUGGGAAUUAGCUACCACCAUAAAGGCCACAAUAUGCAUGCUAAUUACCUAGCAAUGCAACAUCACAACAAAAUCCACAAUGGACCGAUGCUCACUCUCUAAGCCAUAAAACAGUCCAUUCACAACACAUGCAUAAUAUACACAUUCACAACAUUAUGCAUACUAUCAUACAUUAUCAACACAUGUAUCAACACAUCAUAUCAUGUCAAAUAAUUAAACACAGGAUUAGCACACUCUACUAAUACCUAUACUGCUCAAAACAGCGGGAAAUAAUCCCUACUAUAUCACACACCGAUAUAGGCAACCAUCAAUUAGGCACACAACAUUUUAAUUAACAAUUUUUCCACUCUGCAACAGUGUUAACCGGUUAACGCCCUGGGUUAACCGGUUAACGCAGCACAAACACGCUUCCUGCCCAAAACUUAACAGUGUUAACCGGUUAACGCCCUGGGUUAACCGGUUAACGCAGCACAAACAGCCAUAUCUCAGCAAUCACAACAGUGUUAACCGGUUAACACCCUGGGUUAACCGGUUAACGCAGACAAAACAGCAAUUAUUCAAAAUACAUAACAGUGUUAACCGGUUAACACCCUGGGUUAACCGGUUAACGCAGACAAAACAGCAGUUCCUGCGCUAACACAAGGCAGAAUGCAGAAUUCUCCGCAUUUUCCGCCGUUGGAGGACUUCCGGACCUCCGAUUCCAAUUCCGUAAAAAGCUAUACGUUCGGAAAAUCACAACUCACCCAAACACAGAUUCAAUUACAGCCUAAACACAGUUUAUCCAACAUAAUUUUCCAGCAUUCAUAAUCCCAAUUAGGGUCAAUUCAACGGUUUAUCACUACCCAUUACAUGCUAACCCAUAAUACCCAUUAAACGACGAUAAACCCCCCUUACCUGAUUAAUCCGGCAAAUCUUUGAGCUUCAAGCUUUUCCUCCUUCAACCUUUGCCCUUGCUCUUCCUCUUUGCCCUUUCCCCACUUUCCACUUUUCAGCCGCUUCUCUGUUUCACGUAAAACUCUUUUUACCAAAUGGGAUUCUUUUUCCUUACUUCACACUUAUAUAUUUUCCAAUAAUUAUUAUUCCGAAAUAAUAAUAAUAAUCCAAUAAUUCCAAUUAUUUAACUAAAUUAAUAAAUAUAAUAUUAAUUUAAAUCAAAUAAUUAUCUUAUUUUUAUUGGGGUGUUACAGCUCCCACUCCUCCAUCAGGAAAAAUGAAGAUACAGUUGUUCCCCAUUGUAAUGUUUAACAAUCUUUGUCACCGAAGGUUCAUUCUUCAUCGCUAAUUUAACAAUCGCUCAAAUCUAAAGUAGUUUCUAAAAAAGUUGAAGAUUAUUAACUUUGAAAAUUAGUUUUGGAGAUCUGAAAAUCAUUUAGUUUAAUUUCCUUUUAGUCAUAUAAUCAAUGAAUAUUGAUUGAUUCCACCAUUGUUCUUGCUUAGUCGCAUUCUUAUUGAAAACAAUAUUGUUGAUGACAUGAAAUUCCAUGUCUAAAAAUUAUUUGUGUAUCUGAUCAGUUGGACUCAAGAGAUAUCUGGUAUCAUAUCUUAUGGCUCGAUAACCAAGAAGAGAAUAUAUGAACACAUUUGGUAAAUCAUUGCCUAUGCAUAAUGUCUAAAGACCAUCUUUUCUUACCAUAUGACUAGUGGUUACACAUUGUCUGAUGUUCAAGUUCUUUACUAAAUAAAGUUCUUUUCAAGAAAACAGCGUAUUAGCUGCAACAUUUUAGCGUCAACCUUAACUACGACGCUAAUAGCAUCAACCUAAUGUCACAAAAGGCAGACAAUUAUAGGUUAAAUCAUUUCUUUUAAUUUUUAAAUGUCUUUAACAAUUGCAUCGGCAUGAGAUAACGAUACAUAACUUAUUUAUUUAAUUAUUAAUUUAUCUAGUUUUUUAUUUAUAACAGGUAGAGGUUUAUAUGUUUACCUUUUUAUUUAUUGCAAUACAAGCGGAAGUCAACACCGACGCUAAUGUAAUUAUAUCGGUAAAAACAAUUCAUUUUCGCCCACAAUUGUCGUUUGCCUCCUUCUUUUCUAUUUUAUUUAUUUAUUAGUGGUAGUGUUAACUCUGAUUGACGCUAAGGCAAUAACCAAUAUUAUUUAUUUAUUGCACUAAUUGCGACGGACAAAGUCGACGCUAAAAUAAACUUUUCAUUGGAAAAAAUUUGUUUCCCACGCCUUUUUAAUUUGCCUCCUUUUUAUUUAUUAUUUUCAAUUAAUAAAAUAAAAUAAACUAAAAACAAAAGUAAUUAAAACUAACUACUUUUUUUUAGAAUCAAAUAAAACUAAAAUAAAAUCAAAUAAAAAUAAAACUUGAACUAAAUUCAUAAAAAAAAUAAUAAAAUAAAACCAAAAUUAAAAUUAAAUUAAAAACAAAACUAUAAAAAAAACAAAAAAAGGAGAAGCUCUUCUACAUUAAACGUACAGUUUCCCUAAAACUGUUUCAAAGCUCUAACAUAAAAAUUUCUUCGAAUUAUUUCAUCUCUCUCUCUCUCGUACACACAUAUUCUCCCUCUCUUUCACUCUCGUUCAUUAUCGCUCUCAAUCAUCUAUCAGUAAAAAUGAAGAUAAAGUCAUUCCCCACUCUAAUGUUUCACAAUCAUUGUAAUCUAAGGUUCAUUCAUCAUCGCUAAUUUCACAAUCGCUCAAAUCUAAAGGAGUUUCUAGAAAAGUUGAAGAUUAUUAGCUUUGAAAAUCGGUUUUGGAGAUCUUAAAAUCAAUUAGUUUAAUUUACUUCCACUCAUAUAAUCAGUGAAUAUUGAUUGAUUCCACUGUUGUUCUUCCUUAUUCGCAUUCUUAUUGAAAUCAAGCUUGAUGAUGAAAUGAAAUUCCAUGUCUAAAAAUUAUUUGUGUAUCUGAUCAUUUGGACUCAAGAGAUAUCUGGUAUCAUAUCUUCUAGCUCGAUAACCAAGAAGAGAAUAUGUGAACACAUUUGGUAAAUCAUUACCUAUGCAUAGUGUCUAAAGACUAUCCCUUGUUACCAUAAGGCUAGUGGUUACUCAUUGUCCAAUGUUCAAGUUCUUUACUAAAUAAAGUUAUUUACCAGAAAAUAGUGUAUUAGCUGCAACAUAUUUGCGUCAGCCCUGACUGCGAUGCUAAUUGCGUUAGCCUUAUGUCACCAAAGUCGGUCACUAAAAGGUUAAAUCAUUUCUUUUAAUUUUUAAAUGUCUUUAACAAUUGCAUCGGCAUGAGCUGACGAUACAUAAUUUAUUAAUUUAAUUAUUAAUGUAUCUAUUUUUUUAUUUAUAAAAGAUAAACGUCUAUAUGCUUAACUUUUUAUUUAUUGCAAUACAAGCGACAAUCAAGGCCGACGCUAAUGUAAUUAUAUUGGUAAAAACAAUUCAUUUUCGCCCAUAAUUGUCAUUUGCCUCAUUCUUUUCUGUCUUAUUUAUUUAUUAGGGGUAGUGUCAGCUCUGACCGACGCUAAGGCAAAAGCCAAUAUUAUUUAUUUAUUUAUCUAUUCCAUUAAUUGUGACGGACAUAGUCGACGCUAAAAUAAUUUUUUUAUGGGAAAAAUGUUUUUCCCCCAUCUUCUUAGUUUGCCUCCUUUUUAUUUAUUAUUAAAAAUUAAUAAAAUAAAAACAAAAUUAAUUAAAACAAACUCCAUUUUGUUAGAAUCAAAUAAAACUAAAAUAAAACCUAAAUUAAAACUAAAUUAAAACCGAAACUAAAAAGUAAAAUCAAAUUAAUUAAAAUAAAAACUAUAAAUUUAAACCAAAAUUAUAAAUUAAUUAAAUUAAUUAUAUUAAAUUAAAAUUAUAAACUAAAAUAAAAUAAAAAAUAAAAAUGAAAAAAAAAACAAAAAAGGGAGAAGAUCUUCUACAUUAAACGUACAGUUUCUCUAAAACUAUUUCAAAGCUCUUACAUAAAAAAUUCUUCGAAUUCUUUCAUAUCUCUCUCUCUCUCUCUCUCUCACACACACACACACACACACACAAACUCUCUCUCUCUCUCUCUCUCUCUCUCUCUCUCUCUCUCUCUUUCUCUCUCGUUCAUUAUCACCUUCAAUCCUCCAUCAGGAAAAAUGAAGAUAUAGUCAUUCCCCACUCAAAUGUUUCACAAUCUUUGUAAUCAAAGGUUCAUUCAUCAUCGCUAAUUUCACAACCGCUCAAAUUUAAAGGUGUUUCUAGAAAAGUUGAAGAUUAUUAGUUUUGAAAAUCGGUUUUGGAGAUCUGAAAAUCAAUUAGGUUAAUUUAGUUCCACUCAUAUAAUCAGUGAAUAUUGAUUGGUUCCACAAUUGUUCUUGCUUAGUUGCAUUCUUACUGAAAUCAAGCUUGAUGAUGACAUGAAAUUCCAUGUCUAAAAAUUAUUUUUGUAUUUGUUCAUUUGGACACAAGAGAUAUUUGGUAUCAUAUCUUCUAGCUCGAUAACCAAGAAGAGAAUAUGUGAACACAUUUGGUAAAUCAUUGCCUAUGCACAGUGUCUUAAGACCAUCCCUUGUUACCUUAUGGCUAGUGGUUACACAUUGUCCGAUGUUCAAGUUCUUUACUCAAUAAAGUUCUUUACCAGAAACAACGUAUUAGAUGCAACAUUUUAGCGUCAACCCUAACUACGACAGUAAUAGCGUUAACAUUAUGUCAUCAAAAGCGGACACUAAUAAGUUAAAUCAUUUCUUUUAAUUUUUAAAUGUCUUUAACAAUUGCGUCAGCCAUAGAUGCCGAUACAUAAAUUAUUUAUUUAAUCAUUGAUUUAUCUAUUUUUUUAUUUAUAAUAGAUAAAUGUCUAUAUAUUAAACAUUUUAUUUAUUGCAAUACAAGCGACAAUCAAGGUUGACGCUAAUGUAAUUAUAUUGGUAAAAACCAAUCAUUUCCGCCCAUAAUAUUUGUUUGCCUCCUAUUUUUUUUGUCUUAUUUAGUUUAGUGGUUUCGUCAGCUCUGACCGACGCUAUGGGAAAAUCCAAUAUUUUGUAUUUAUUUAUUGCAUAAAUUGCGAUCGACAUAGUCGACGCUAAUAUAAAUUUUUUAUGGGAAAAAAUUCAUUUCCCCCACCUUUUUAGUUUGCCUCCUUUUUAUUUAUAAUUUUAAAUUAGUAAAAUAAAAUAAAAUAAAAACAAAAGUAAUUAAAACUAACUCAUUUUAUUAAAAUAAAAUAAACCUAAAAUAAAACCAAAUAAAUAUAAAACUUGAAUUCAAUUCAUAAAACAAAUUGUAAAAUAAACCAAAACUAAAAAUUAAUAAAAUAAAACCAAAAUUAAAACUAAAUUAAAACCAAAACUAUAAAUUAAAACCAAAACUAUAAAUUAAAACCAAAUUAAUUAAAAUAAAAACUAUAAAUUAAAACAAAAACUAAAAAUUAAUAAAAUAAAAUAAAAAAUAAAAAUAAAAAAUAAAAAAAUGGAAAAUGAAAAAACAAAUAAAAAAGGGAGAAGCUCUUCUACUUUAAACGUAUAGUUUUCGUAAAAUUGUUUUAAAGCUCCUACCUAAAAAAUUCUUCGAAUUCUUUCUGAUCUCUCUCUCCCCCCCUCUCUCUCUCUAUCUGAGAGAGAGAGAGAGAGAGAGAGAGAGAGCCUCCCUCUCUCGUUCAUUAUCACUCUCAAUCCUCCAUCAGCAAAAAUGAAGAUAGACUCUAUUCCCACUCUAAUGUUUAAUAAUCUUUGUAACCGAAGGUUCAUUCAUCAUCCAUAAUUUCCCAAUCUCGCAAAUCUAAAGGAGUUUCUAGAAAAGUUGAAGAUUAUUAGCUUUGAAAAUCGGUUUUGGAGAUCUGAAAAUCGAUUAGUUUUAAUUUACUUCUUCUCCUAUAAUCAGUUAAUACUGAUUGAUUCCACCAUUGUUCUUGCUUAGUCGCAUCCUUACUAAAAUCAGGCUUGAUGAUGACAUGAAAUUCAAUGUUCAAAAAUUAUUUUUGUAUUUGAUCAUUUGGACCAAGAGAUAUCUAGUAUCAUAUCUUAUUCCUCUAUAACCAAGAAGAGAAUAUGUGAACACGUUUUGUAAAUCAUUGCCUAGGCACACUGUCUAAAGACCAUCCUUUGUUACCAUAUGGCUAAUGGUUACACAUUGUCAUAUGUUCAAGUUCUUUACAAGAAAACAAUGUUUUAGCUGUAACAUUUUAGUGUCAUCCUUAACUGUGAAGCUAAUAGUGUCAACCUUAUGUCUCCAAAGGUGGACGCUAAUAGGUUAAAUCAUUUUUUAAUUUUAAAUGUCUUUAACAAUUGUGUCGGCCAUAACUGACGCCACAUAAUGUAUAUAUUAAAUUAUUAAUUUAUCUAUUUUUUUAUUUGUAAUAGAUAAAUGUCUAUAUAUUUAAUUUUUUAUUUAUUGCAAUAUAAGCGACAGUCAAGGCCAACGCUAAAUUAUAUUGGUAAAAAUAAUUCAUUUCUGCCCACAAAUGUCGUUUGCCUCCUUUUUUUUAUGUCUUAUUUAUUUAUUAUUACUAUCAUCAGCUCUGAUCAACACAAAGGCACAAGCCAAUAUUUUUUAUUUUAUUUAUGUAUUUAUUUAUUGCAUUAAUUGCAACAAAUAUAGUCGAUGCUAAAAUAAAUUUUUUGUUGGAAAAAAUUCAUUUCCUCCACAUUUUUAGUUUGCCUAUGUUUUAUUUUUUAUUUUAAUUUAAUAAAAUAAAAUAAAAUAAAAGCAAAAGUAAUUAAAACUAACUCAUUUUUUUAGAAUCAAAUAAAACUAUAAAAUUUUAAAAUAAAACAAAAUAAAUGUAAAAUUUAAAUUAAUUUCUAAUUUUUUUUCUAAAAUAAAACCAAAACUAUAAAUUAAUGAAAUAAAACCAAAAUUAAAACCCAAACUAUAAACUAAAACCUUAUAAAUUAAUAUAAAAACUAUAAAUUAAAACCAAAAUUAUAAAUUAAUAAAAUAAAACUAAAAAUAUAAAUUAAAAAUAAAAUAAAUGGAAAUGAAAAAACACAAAAAGGGAGAAACUCUUCUACAAUACACGUAUAGUUUUCCUAAAAUUGUUUCAAAGCUUUUACCUAAAAAAUUAUUCGAAUUCUUUCAUCUCUCUCUCUCUCUCUCUCUCUCUCUUUCAUUAUCGCUCUCAAUCCUCCAUUGGGAAAAAUGAAGAUACAGUCGUUCCCCAUUCUAAUGUUUCACAAUCUUUCAUAACCGAAGAUUCAUUCAUCAUCACUAAUUUCACAAUCGCUCAAAUAUAAAGGAUUUUAGGGAAGUUGAAGCUUAUUAGCUGUGAAAAUUGGUUUUGGAGUUUUGAAAAUCGGUUAGUUUAAUUUAUUUCUUCUCCUAUAAUCACUAAAUACUAAUUGACUCCACUAUUGUUCUUACUUAGUCGCAUUCUUAUUGAAAUCAAGCUUGAUGAUGACAUGAAAUUCCAUGUGCAAAAAUUAUUUUUGUAUCUGAUCAUUUGGACUCAAGAGAUAUUCGGUAUCAUAUCUUCUGGCUCGGUAACCAAGAAGAGAAUAUGUGAACACAUUUGGUAAAUCAUUUUCCUGACAUAGUGUCUAAAGACCAUCCCUUGUUACCAUAUGGCUAGUGGUUACACAUUGUCCUAUGUUCAAGUUCUUUACAAGAAAACAACGUUUUAGCUACACCAUUUUAACGUCAUCCCUGACUAUGACGCUAAUAGUGUCAACCUUAUGUCACCAAAGGUGGAUGCUAAUAAGUUAAAUCAUUUUUUAGUUUUUAAAUGUCUUUAACAGUUGCGUCGGCCAUAACUGACGCCACAUAAUUUAUUUAUUUAAUUAUUAAUAUAUCUAUUUUUUUUAACACAUAAAUGUCUAUUUACCUAAUUUGUAUUUAUUGCAAUACAAAUGGCAAUCAAAGUCGAUACUAAUGUAAUUCUAUUGGUAAAAAAAAUCCGCCCAUAAUUUUCGUUUGGCUCCUAUUUUUAUUUUUUUGUCGAAUUUAUUUAUUAAUGGUAGCGUCGGUGUUGACUGACGCUAAGCAUAAUUCACUAUUUUUUAUUUUAUUUAUUUAUUAUAUUAAUUGCGAUGGACACAGCCGAUGCUAAAAUAAUUUUAUUGGUGAAAAAAAUUCAUUUCCCCUACCUUUUUAGUUUGCCUCCCUUACAAUUAUUAUUUUAAAUUAAUAAAAUAAAAUAAAAACAAAAGUAAUUAAAUAAAACUCCAUUUUUUAGAAUAAAAUAAAAAUGUAAAUUAGUAAAAUAAAAUAAAUAAAUCUAAAACUUAAGUUAAAUUCAUAAAAAGAAAUUGUAAAAUAAAAACCAAAUCUGUAAAUUAAUAAAAUAAAACUAAAAUUUAAAAUAAAUUAAAACCAAAUAAAUUAAAUAAAAACAAUAAAUUAAAACCAAAAUUAUAAAUUAAUAAAAUAAAACUAAAAAUAUAAAUUAAAAAUGAAAUAAAUUAAAAAUAGAAAAAAAGAUUUUUUUACAAAAAUAACCAAAUUUUUCAAAGAAAUUCCCAAAAUACCCCAUGGUUUCAAAAAAACUCUCAAACUACCUCACUUUUAGGAGGAGGCGCCAAUUCAAUUGGCGACUCCUCUUAAAAAUUGAAUGGAGACGCCAAUUGGUUUGGCUAGGGCACAUGCCCUAGCUAAUCCAAUUGGCGCCCAUGUGUAUUUUUACAAAGGAGGCACCAAUUGGAUUGGCUCCUAAGUGUAAAAUGCAUUUUUUUUGGCUAAAUGGUCUACGUGAUACAUAAUUUUGAAAUAAGACCAAUUGAUAUUAAUAAAAUUUUCCGUUUACGCAAAAAAGCCUAAUGGUGAUGACCGGGAUCACCUAACCGACCUCCGGUCCCACAUCCCCUAGCUACCCUAACCCACGUUGAUGAUUCACUACUGGUGUUUGAGCAUCUGAGGGGCGAAGAGCGUCACUACCAACUACAGGAGAUGGCGUGUUGAGGUAGUUAGACAAGUCGACAUAAUCUUCAGUAUGCAUCAAGGGUGUACCGCCGUAGCUGAGUACAUGACCCAUGCCAGAGCAGUUGGGUUGUGUUUGACUCAUUGGUGGGCGACCGGGACGGUUGAAGGGAGACAUGGGUGUGAAUGAUGCGUCGAGGAAAGGUUGGAAAGGUUGUUGGGGUGUUUGGUAGAGAUAAGGUUGUUGGAGGUUUUGGUUUUGUGAGGUUUGGGCUUCUUGGCUAUGGUAGGAAGAGGGGCGGUUGGUGUUGAAUGAUCGUUGGGUGUUCUGGCUAAGGAGGCUUUGGUAGGGUGAUGUGGUGGGUGUGAAGCGAUGUUGGGUCUCAGGUUGAUGGUCAAUUUGUUGGUGGUGGUAUGGGGUACGCUCUUGGUAUUGGGGUUGGGUGUAUGACAUGUUUUGGUUAUAUGUUUGUGUGUGGGUUGAACGGAGCUUUUGACGGACAGGGGGUUGUGUGUAUCCGGUCUGACAAUGUUGUUGGGGGUUUGAUGUUGAGGUGUCAGGUGUGUAAGUUUGUUGGCGUGGGUCGUACAGGUACAUAUCCUCGGCGAUAAACUGAACACCAACCGAUCUGUACCAAGCCAUAUAAGUACGACUUAGUUUUUCUUCAUUUGACAUGACUGAGUCAGUUAAGACAUGGUCAUGGCGGUGCUUCCAUUUGCGACACUCCGAUCUUGCGAAGCUUUGCCAUGGAUUGAAGUUCCAUUGGUCGUUAACUUUGCACAUAUGCCAUUCUCCUAGGCUUGCUGGGGGAUCUGGGAUGUUUUGGGGCAUACCGAACUACAACUUCACAUGAUCACUGUUGUGCAUCUCCACAAUUAUGAAUCGUAUUAUCGGUGUGCAUGCAAUUCAUAUGUCUGCGUCUUCAGAGUUGACCUCAUGGUCAUGAUCCAAAUUAAGGUAUGGACGCCAAAUGAGCUGAAAUGUGAAAGAAAAUAGGAUUAUAAUCUAGGUAGAAGAAGUUAACAAAUUAUAACGAAAUAAUGAGGUUAUUAUCCUUACGUCUUUCGGUCGAAGGUGAUCCAACAGAUUGCAAUACUAAGUAAUACAGUGUCUAGGACAUCUGUUAUAACUCAGACCACGUGCAAACCAUCUACACCAAAAAGGUAAAAAUAUUAGUUAGAGAUAAUAAUCUUUAAAGAAGUAAGUAAAUAUAUAGCAAUUUAAAUAACUUACUUUUGUGCAUACGGAAAUGUGAAAGGGUUGUUGUUGACGGGUGUUAGGGACGGUAGUCUUGACCAACCCCAUGCUUGGAGAAAAACAGCACAUCCAGAAAAUGUAGAUGUGUCUUUCUGUGAGUUUUUGCACAAGGAGCUAUAGAGAUAGGCUAGACAAGCAGAUCCCCAAUUGUAACUUCCUAUUCUAUCUACAUGUCUAAGUAAAGGUAAAUACAUAAUAUGCACGCUAGAACCACUACCUUCGGGAAAUAAAAAAGAACCUAAAAGCAUAAUGUAACACCUAGUUUUUAUUAUUCGAGCAUCUUCAGCAGAAUGCUCAUCUAAGUAUAAACUGUUAUAGUAUGACUUAAGGCGUGAAAGGUGUAUACCUUGACCUCUUGAGUUAUCAUCUAGCAAAUCAGUCUCCAAGAGGUCCAUGCAAAUUGAAUUUGCAUAGUUGGUUUUACCAUUUACAGCCUUACCUUUAAUGGGAAGUCCCAAAAGCAUGUAGACGUCUUCUAGCUUCACGGUACACUCACCAGUUGGGAACCAAAAUGUGUGUGUCUCAGGAUGCCAUCUUUCGCAUAAAGUAAGAAUGAAUUUGUUGUCUAUCGACCAAGACAAAAUCUUGCUUAUAUGACCAAAACCGGCGAGUUCAACAUAAGGUUGAAUCAUUGGGUCCAUAUGGACAUAUUCGUGGACCCGAGUCCGAAACCUUGAAACAUCCUAUAAAAUAAAGAACAAAAAACUUUACUAAGUUGGUAUGUUAUUAAAAGGGACUCUAUUAAAACAAAUAACAAAAGAAUAAAACGCUUACAUAAGUUGCUAUGUUUGCAACCAUUCCUCUAUGUGAUUCGCCCAUUGUGAGGAUAGACAUUUUGUCGGGGAUGAAAGCAGUUGGUGCAGAUGAAACUAUAAGAAGUUGUUGCAGAUGAAAUUGUAGAAGAAGUAUUGUAGAAGAAGUAAUGAGUGAUGGUGUGGAAGAAGUGUUAAUGGUGUGGAUGUAUUUAUAGGAAAAUUAAUUGGAGCAUGAAAAGUUGUGUUUGCAUGUGGUCUCCAAUUGAAUUGGCGCCCAUGUGCAUUUUGUACAUGGUGUCGCCAUUCAAAUUGGCGCCUCCAUAGGGACAUGCAUGACACAUCUAGGUCUGAUUGCUUGGUUUCGAGGUCCGCAUGCAUGCAAGACAAGGUGUCGCCAAAUGGAUUGGCGCCCAUGUGCAAGGAAUGAAUGGGGGCCAAUUCGAUUGGAGUGUGCGUCUGCAUGUGUGACACGUGGCUGUCCUCUCUCUUGCAUGCUGAACAUGUCACUUUUUAGUAGCUUACAUGAUUGACACAUCAUUUCGGACUAGCUUGCAUGCGUGACACAUCACUUCAAACUAGCUUGCAUGUGAGACACAUCACUCACCUAUUUAAGUGUCUUACUAUCAACAUCCAAGACUCAACCCACAUUCAUCUGCAGCAAGAAAAUAAUUUUCAUCUGCACAAUGUCAUCUUCAUCAAAAUACAGUGUCAACGUUCACCGCAACGGUGAAACAUACGAGUCUGAGUUAUACGGUUUUUGUUUUCGAAACACCGAUAACAUUAGACUUACUAUCAAGAGAAAUGAAACCUUCUUGCAUUUGAAAAAAAGAAUACAAUCCUGUAUAGGAUAUGGUAUUGUGUCAAAGAUCACGUAUCAAAAUCCAAUACUUUUUUAGAAUAGUCAGUGCAAGUUUUUCCCGUUUAAGGUACGGGACGAUGAAGAUGUUGAGUACAUGUUUGUUAGUCAUGAACAUUCAGGCUGCAACUGUAUUGAGUUUUAUAUUACUCUUCAACCAUGUAUACCAUCUCAGCAGUCUCAAAUAACCAAUCAGGAUGAAUCUGGUGAAUUUGAUCCACAAUGGUCAGAUGACGUCAACCCAGAAGCAGAAGCAGAAGUGGACGUCGUUGAUGAAGAAGAAGAGGAGACCGAGAUACAGGUUGAUCACAUGCUGAACAAUGACAUUGAAGAUGAUGAUCAACCACCUAAUGGUCAGAUGACGUCAACCCAGAAGCAGAAGCAGAAGUGGACGUCGUUGAUGAAGAAGAAGAGGAGACCGAGAUACAGGUUGAUCACAUGCUGAACAAUGACAUUGAAGAUGAUGAUCAACCACCGGCAAUACCUCCUAGUCAUGUCUACAAUCUGCCUCAACAUAUGACAAAGAUUGAUCUGCAUGAUGAUGAAACAUCUAACAAUGUUUUCUAUAACCCGUAUCCACGAUCAUAAGGCGAAUUAAAGGUGGGGGACAUGUUUCGUAACAAAGAAGAAUGUGUGCGAGCUAUCAAAAAAUUCCACAUGAACAACUCUGCUGAUUUUACAGUGAAACGCACUGAUUCGAGAAGGUAUGUCAUUGAAUGUCGUAACAUCCUUUGUAAGUUUCGGUUGGCUGCGUCUUACAAAAAGAAAAAUGAGUCUUGGGAGAUCGCUUCAAUAGACUCAUCUCACAGUUGCAUUGCAACUAACGUUGAACAAGAUCACCGUAAACUAAGUGUUGCAUUGAUAUGUCAAGACAUUCUGCCGUUGGUUAAUAAAGACCCAUCAGUGAAAGUGAGUAUAAUUAUAUCUCAUAUCAGAAUAACAUAUAAUUAUACUCCAUCUUACAAGAAAGCCUAGAUUGCAAGGACAAAGGUUGUUGAAUAGGUAUUCGACAACUGGGAGGGUUCAUACAAAGAAUUGCCACGGUUUUUAUGGGCACUAAAAACAUAUGUCCCUGGAACUAUGGCAAUUAUGGAGACAUUUCCAGCAAUGAUGCCAGACGGAACCUGUGUUACAGGUAAUAGAAUCUUUCACUGUCUCUUUUGGGCGUUUGACCCAUGCAUCAAAGGUUUUGCAUUCUGCAAACCUAUUAUUCAAAUUGAUGGCACUUGGUUAUACGGAAAAUACAAGGGUACUUUGCUUAUGGAGGUUGCACAAGAAAACAACAACAAUGUCUUUCCCAUUGCCUUUGCUCUGGUUGAAGGUGAAACGGCUGGUGGAUGGGGUUUUUUCGUUCGACAUCUCAGAAUGCAUGUGGCUCUACAAGCCAAUCUCUGUUUGAUUUUUGAUAGACAUGCUGCCAUUGAGAGUGCCUACAACAACCAUGACAACGAACGACAUGAUCCUCCUUCUACCCAUGUCUAUUGCAUUAGACAUAUUGCACAAAACUUCAUGCGUGCAAUAAAAGAUAAGAAUCUUUGAAAGAAGGUGGUGAAUGCUGGGUAUGCUCUAACUCAACCGUAAUUUCAAUAUUAUCGUGAUGAAAUUAGUUUGUCUAAUGAAGACGCAGGGAGAUGGAUAAAUAACAUACCAGUAAAGCAGUGGACAAGGGAAUUUGACAGAGGUUGUCGAUGGGGCCACAUGACAACAAACCUUGUGGAAUGCAUGAACAGGGUAUUCAAAGGAAUUAGAAGUCUUCCAAUAACCGCCUUGGUAAGAUCGACCUAUUAUAGGUUGGCUUCUAUGUUCGUAACCAGAGGUGAAAGAUGGCGUGCGGUCUUAAUGUCUGGGCAAGUAUUCAGUGAGUGUUGCAUGAAAUUCAUGAAAGAGGAGAGCAUCAAAGCUAGCACACACGCUGUAGCAGUCUUUGACCGUCAUAGGCAAAAUUUUAGCUUCCAGGAAACAAUGGACCACAACGAGGGGAGACCAAAUUUAGCAUAUGUUGUUAAACUAAACAGAAGUUGGUGCGACUGUGGAAAAUUCUAUGCCUUCCGCAUUCCUUGCUCCCAUGUCAUUGCAACAUGCAUAUAUACUCGUCAAGACGCUUACAACCAUUUAUCUGAUGUGUACAAGGCCGUCACCGUCAUGAAUGUAUAUAAUAAAAGCUUCUCGGUACUACCAAUGGAGGAAUACUGGCCUCCAUAUGAAGGUGAUAUAGUUUGGCACAAUGACGAGAUGCGUAGAAAGAAAAAAGGAAGGCCAAACAGCACACGUAUCAGGACAGAAAUGGAUUUGACAAAUGAAAUGAUAAGAUUAUGUAGUAUUUGUCGUCAACCAGGACACAACAAAACACAACUGUCCCAAUCGAGGAGCAUCAUCUGGGUCAUAAGCUUUUUGUAACAUUGUAUUUCUGUAACCUUCAAUCAUUAUAUAUCAUAAAUUUUUUGUUACAACGAGGUUCACAACAAACUUCAGUACAAAAUAAGCUAACUGAAAAUAGAAAUAUUUCUAACUAAUUACAACAAUCAAAUUCAUGUCAUCUCGACCGAACAUCAUUUCCCUAACAUCCUUAUCAGUCUUCAUUCGCACCCAACCAAAGAUACUGUCGAGUCUCUCAAUACUUCUAACUUUUCCCCUUCUGGUAUUUUUCCAUCUAACCAACGAACCAACUCCCUCUUUAGUUUCUCGGUCGUAGUGAUGUUCUAGAAGAGCAUCAGCAUCUGAGAUUUGUCUCUCGCAUAAAUCACCUUUCUGUAUCGGCGACGAACACCAGACAUGAUUACCAAAUGAUUAAAUGAGAUGUGGAAGAAUGCCUCACACAACACAUCUAUUUAUAACAAAAAAAUUGCAUUUUACACUGAGGUGUCGAUCCAAUUGGCGCCUCUUUUUGUAAAAAUACACAUGGGCGCCAAUUUGAUUGGCUAGGGCAUGUGCCCUAGCCAAUCCAAUUGGCUGCUCCAUUCAAUUUUUAAGAGGAGUCGCCAAUUGAAUUGGCGCCUCCUCCUAAAAGUGGGGUAGUUUGGGAUUUUUUUUGAAACGAGGGGUAUUUUGGGAAUUUCCUUGAAAAAUUGGGUUAUUUUUAUAAAAUUGAGGGGGAAAAAAGGGAGAAGCUCUUCUACAUUACACGUAUAAUUUCCCUAAAUUGUUUCAAAGCUCUUACCUAAAAAAUGUUGGUGUAAGCCCUAGAGGCCAAUACUUUUGGUACUUGUAUCGAAUUAUUUAUUAAUAAUAAAAGGCUUUUUUUUUAUUAUGUUUGUCUAAUAAAGUCCCUAGAAUAGAUAGUCUGUUUAAUGUAUCAAGUGUGGCUUAAUCAUGAGAUCACAUUAAACAUAAGGACACUAUUCUUAAAGUAUCCAUGGUCGAGCUUUAUUGUGAAGUGGGAUAACAUUAAAGCAUUAAGACUAUUAUGUAUAUAGACUAAUGAUCACAUCUCAUGGAUAAGGAGUUAUCAAGUCUUAAACAUAGGUAUGAAUAUUAAGAGUAAUAUUUAUACUGGAUUGACCCGCUAUGAGAAUACUAUAUAGAAUGUUAUGCAAAGUGUCAUAAGUUAUUUCAUGUGAUAAUGGUGUAUACAGUUGAUGGGUACCCACGAAGCAUGCUAAGGAAUGAGUGACUAGAUGGAAUUUGCACAUCCUGCGUAACAUGAUAAAUGUCUAUGGGCCAAUAUUGAAUUGGACAAGGAUGACACGGUCUGUGCCUUGUGUUCAAUAUAGACAUAAGGGCAAAAGGGUAAUUGUACACAUAAGUAUUAUCACAAAAGGAUUUGUCAGAUCACAUGACAUUUCGUGUCUUGGGUAGCAGUGAUGUGUUGCUAGAUACCGCUCACUGUUUAUUAUAGUUAAAUACAUGUAUAUAAUAUAAUUGGCUGCCGUGAAAACCUACGAGGUCACACACAAAAGGACGGGAUUGAUGAGAGAUAGAGUAACUAAGGAAUACCAUAAUGUACGGUGCCCUUAAGUGAAUUGUAGAACAUCGUAAGGUACGGUGUACUUAAGUAGAAUACGAAAUAUGGUAAGGUACACGCGCUUAAGUGAUUUUGGCAUAUUAUAAGAUAUGGGCCACAUACACUUGAGUGGGAUUUUUAGCUUGCAUCCCACACAAGUGGUUCUAUAAAUAGAACCCUUGUGUAGAAGCAUUUGAGCAGUUGCAAUUUCGUUUCUCUCUCUUCUCUCUUCUCUCUCUCUCUCUCUCUCUCUCUCUCUCUCUCUCUCUUUCUCUCUCUCUUUCACUCAAAGCCUUCAUUCGUAGCAGCUAGCACUGAGAUUGAAGGAAUCCGUUCGUGUGGACUGAGUAGAGGCGUUGUCAUCGUUCAACGUUCGUGAUCGCUCCGUAGAUCUGCAUCAAAUGUUACAAUCACCACAAGAGGUAACGAUUCUAUCACUGACCAUGCUCAUUCUAAGGAUCACUAAAGGAGAAAUUUUAAAUUCCGCUACAUUUUGGAUCGCUCUUCUCCUUCAAAAAAAUCCUUUGAAUUCUUUCAUCUCUCUCUCUCUCUCAUUCCCCACUAUAAUGUUUCACAAUCUUUUGUAACCGAAGGUUCACUCAUCAUCACUAAUUUCACAAUCACUCAAAUCUAAAGGAGUUUCUAGAAAAAUUGAAGAUUAUUAGCUUUGAAAAUCGGUUUUGGAGAUUUGAUAAUCGGUUAGUUUAAUUUCCUUUUUCUUCUAUAAGCAGUUGCAUUCUUACUAAAAUCAAGCUUGACGAGUUAGGCAUUUCUUCAGUGUAUUUUCGGAGUUUCCUGAUCAUUAUGGGGCCAAAGAAAUUUUUGAGUCCUUCAAGAAAUAUGGGGAUUUAUCAGAGGUCGUCAUUCCUCCCAAGAGGAACAAUUUUGGUAAAAUAUUUGGCUUUGCAAGUGUUAGCCUAGAAAUUUUAGAGAAAUAAGUCAAUAAAGAAUGAUAAUCAUCAUGUUAGAAAAUGCUAAGUAUAAAAGACUCAAUGAAGGGCAUUGACAUAUUAUGUCUACUAAGAUGGUUCGACUAACCUAUCAGAUAAUUUGAAACAUAUGGUAUUCUAAUGCCCACAAAUAAUGGUAUAUAGGAUUCUCAAGAAUAGACCCAUAAGAUUAGGAUCACUAUCUCUUCAAAACAUGUCCAAGAUCUCAAAAGGGGUUACAUAAAUCACCUUUUAGACAAGGGUCAAGUUUGACCCGUCCACCAGACGUUGGGGACUUAAGAUAUUCUUAACUCCAAAGAUUAGGUAAUGUGAAGGUGUUUGAACAACACUAUAGAAGUCGACUAAAGACUCUCUACAUAAGUAAUUAAGAGGUUCAAAACAGUUAUGAACACAAUUAUUAGCAUGAUGAUUAGUUUUCACCAGUUUUAUCUUUAAAGACGUGUGGAAGCAAUUUAAAACAUUAAAUCCUACGUAGUGGGAUACAUGUUUGAUCAUGAGGAUCUAUUUGUUGUCGAUGAUUACUAUUAUUUUAGUAUAUAUAUAGUUGAUCUCAUUGGGGGGAUCAAGGUCGCAAGUUUCACUCAAGUUCGAACAUAACCAAUGGUUUAAGCAUGCUAAAAAUGAAUCAUUUCAAAACUUUAUUCAAAGAGGUGAAAUAAUGAAGAAUACUCAAUAAUCAAAAGUAAAUAAAAAUCAAAGCGAUAUAACAAACAACACAAUAAUUGUAUUAGUGUGCUCCCCCUGAAUAUAUUAAGGAAAUGUGUUGGAGUUCAACAAUGAACUUCCAUUGACAAUGCAUAAGAAUUGGAGAAGAUGAAGAUGAAAGAAUGUUAGAGAGAUAAAAAAAACUUUGUAACUAACUUUCACUACUUAGAAAUUCUUUUUUAAAUUAUGUUAUACAUUCAACUUACUUUGAGCUUAUAUAGAUUCACCCAAACUCAAAUGCACAUUAAAUUCAAACUCAAAUUCAAAUGCAAAUGUAAACUUAAAUGCAAUUGAAACUCAAAAAUAAACUAACUUGAAUGUUAUAUUACACUCAACACCAUCUCUUAAUUCACAUUCAAGUUUCAAAAUCAACACCACCAAUUACAUCCCUCAAAUUGAUGAAGUGUUCAGUUUUGAUCGCCUCAAGUACAACCUCAAGUACUCAAUUUUGAACUUGAUUGUGCAUAAAAUGGUAUUUAGUCUCAAUGUGCUUUAUUCUUUCAUGCAACAUUAGAUUCUUAGCAAGACUUAUGGAAGAUUUAUUGUCAAUCAUCAAUCUGUCUGGUUUGUUCACCUUGAACUUCAGUUCUUGCAACAAAUUCAUCAAUCAAACAUCUUGAAAAGCUGACAAAGCACCACCUAUGUAUUCAGCUUCACAAGUUGACAUUGCAAACACUAGUUCCUUCUUGGAACACCAAGAAAUGGUAGCUCCUAGAUACAUGAAGAGGCACCUUGUAUUACUUCUUUUGUCCAUUAUGUCACUACACCAGUCAGAGUCUGAAUAGCAUAUCAGCUCAACAUCAUUUGACACUCCAGAUGGAAACACAAUUCCAUGCCUUAAAGUCCCCUUUUACAUACCUUAGAAUCCUGACUGCAGCUAGGUAACGUGAUCACUUUGGUUUACUCAUGAACCUACUCACCAUUACAACUGCAUAACAUAUGUUAGGCCUGGUUUUAAACAAAUAUCUCAGACAACUAACCAAUUAUUUGAAGGUUGUAGCAUCUACCUUCUCACCAUCAUCAUCAGAGUCCAGCUUAUGAUUUGUCUCAGUAGGUGUCAUUGCUGAAUUACAAUUCAUCAGCUCAGAAUGCAAAAUCUCCACCCCUAGAAAAUAUACCAUAUUUCUUAGGUCAGUCAUACCAAAAGCAUUCAUCAGUACCUUCUUAAACUUGUUCAUCUCAGAAGUACAACUCCAUGUCAGAAGUAUGUCAUCUACAUAAAGAUACACUAGAAUCAUAUUGCCUUCAGAAUUAUGCUGCACAUACACACCAUAUUCCAUUUCACAUUUCUUGAACCCCAAAUGAUUGAAAAAUGAAUCAAUUUUCAUAUUCUAGGCUCUUGGAGCUUGUUUCAUCUCGUAUAAGGCUUUAUACAACUUAUACACUAUCCAUUAUUUGUUCUCUUUCGAAAAUCCAUGAGGUUGUAACACAUAAAUUUAUUCUUGCAAUGGACCAUUCAAAAAAUCUGACUUUACAUCUAAAUGUAUUAGAGGUCAAUUAAUAUUUGCAGCUAUAUCAAUAACUAACCUUAUGGUUUUAUGUCUAGCUACAAGUUUAAACACUUCAAAGUAGUAUAAACUAGAAUUUUGUAGGAAUCAUCUAGCUACUAACCUUGAUUUAUGCUUGGCAUUUUAACCAUCUGGAUUCAACUUUAUCUUGAAAACCCAUCUCACAUUGAUGGAUUUCUUAUUCUGAGGUAGAACAGUCAAUUCCCAUGUCUUGGGUCUUUCAAUUGCUUCAAGCUCUUAUUUUAUGGCGUUCACCCAAACAUUCUUCUCGAGAGCCUCAUUGAUGCUAACAGGUUCAGAGUCCACCAUCAUGGCACUCUGUCUAACUUCCCCUUCAGAUUCAAUCUUAAUAUCAUGCAUCAACUUAAAGUCUACAAGUCUCAUUGGUAUUUGUCUAACUCUAUAUGACCUCUAGAACUAUGCGAGGUCACCUUCAGAAGCAGGACUACCUUUAGAGGCUGGACCACCUUUAGAAGCUCCACCUUCAGAAGUUCCUCCUUCAAAGGCUAGGCCACCUUCAGAGUCAGAUCCAUCAUAAAGAGUCAAACUCAUAUUCAGAUUCAGACUCCCCUUCAGAGUCAGAAUCACCUUCAGAUGCAAAAUCUCCGUCAUAGGAAGAAUUAGACUCUUGUGUUGACACUGCACUAGUGUUGGAUUGACACUUGCUUCAAUCCCAUGUUUCUGAUUCUUUCUCUAUAACAUCUUUGCUGACUUCAACUUUGUUGGUGACUGGGAAAUAGAGUUUAUAUGCACCUGUACUGAGGUAACCUAUAAGCAACAUGCCUUUGCUUAAUUAAUCCAAUUUCCUUCUAGUAGCAUAUGGUAUAUGUUUGUAACGUACAGAACGCAACACCUUGAAAUGGAUGACACUUUGAUUUCUUCCGAUCCACUUUUCAAUAGGAACUACUUCCUUUAACUUCUUCAUUGGACAUCUGCUGAGCACAUAUACUGAAGUAGAAAUUGCUUCACCCCACAAUUGCUUAGGCAAAUUCUUCUCCCUCGGCAUGCUCCUUGUCAUGUCAAGUUGAGUUCUAUUUCUCCUUUCAGCAAGACCAUUAUGACGUGGAGUGUAUGGAACAGUCACCUAAUGCUCAAUACCAUGUUCCUCACAUAGUUUUUUGAACUCUGUUGACUUAAACUCACCUUCACCAUCGGUUAUGAGGAUCUUCAACCUUUAUCCACUUUGAUUUUCAACCUUCACUUUGAACUUUUUGAACUCACAAACACCUCAUGUUUGAACUUAAUGAGUACUACCUAUGUCAUUCUUGUGAACUCAUCCACAAAUGACAUAAAUUACUUGUUUCCACCAAGUGAGUUUACCUCAAGUAGACCACAUACAUUAUAAUGCACCACACCUAAAGCAUGGGUUGCUCUUGGAGGAAUUUUUUUAUGAGAAUGGAAAUCUUGGUUGCUUUCUUCUCAUGUAUAUAUCACAUGAUUUCUCCGGUGCCACAAUCUUAGGAAUUCCAUGUACCAAAUUCCUUAAACUCAGAUUCCCUAAGAUUCUGUAGUUCAUAUGCCCCAAUCUCUUAUGCCACAUCUCACUUUCCCUUUAAGCACUUCCUGCACUAAGGCAUUAAGUGUCUGAUGUUGCAACAUUCACCUUGAAUGUCUUGUUUCUUCCUAGUUCAUACUGCAUAAUUAACUUCUGAUUAGGGUCAUACAACUUCAAGAGGUUGUCCUUCAUGGUUAUUGAAAAACCUUUUUCAAUUAGUUGACCUACACUCAUCAGAUUGUUAUUCAUGCCAGGAACAUACCAUACAUCCUUGAUUAGUAUAGUUUUGCCAUUGUUCAACCUAACCCUGACAUUUCACAUUCCUUUAGCAUUCAUAUACUCAUCAUCAACACAUCUGAUCUUAGUCCUUUUUUCAUAGUCAAAAUCAACCAGCCAUUGCUUGUUUCUAGUUAGGUGAUUUGAGCAACCAGUGUCCAUAUACCACUAGUCUACCAUUGAUCGAUAAAUAUUCUCAUAUUCCAUCAAUAACAUAGGUUCAUCAUCAAAAUCUACUCUUUCUAUAUUGGCUUCUUCACCCUUACUAACCAUGUUUGACUAACAAUCAGUAGCAAAAUGACCAAACUUGGUUGAGCUCUUAGUAAUGAGGGUAUUAAACCCUAGAUGUGAACUUGAUAGAUCAAAGGGGAUCAAGUUCCCUACCUACAAAAGAGUUAGACAAGUGAAAAGACAUAUUUUUGGUAUUUUAGUUAGUAAAAAUGAUAAAAUACAAAGUAUGAUACAAUCAUAUGAUGCUUGGUGAUCUCUCCCAAUACAAACCUAAUGAAUGAGGGGUAAGGAGGAUGCCAAGAUGUGAUCCCAAUGCCAAUGCAUAUGAUAAGAUAGCAUGAGGGAUCUUAGGGUCAAAAUUUGGGUCUUACAGCGUUCACCCACAUAUUCUUCUUGAGAGCCUCAUUGAUGCUGACAAGUUCAGAUUCUACAAUCAUGACACUCUGUAUGACAUCCCCUUCAGAGUCAAUCUCAAUAUCAUGCAACAACUCAAAUUCUAUAAGUCUCCUUAGUAUUUGUCUAACUCUCGAUGGACUCUAGAACUAUGUAAGGUCACCUUCAGAAGUAGGACCACCUUCAGAAGUUCCACCUUUAGAGGAUGGACCAACUUCAGAAGCUCCAUCUUCAGAAGUUAUGCCUUCAAAGGCUGGGCCACCUUCAGAGUCAGAUCCAUCAUCAGAAUCAGGCUCACCUUCAGAUUCAGAGUCAUCUUCAGAUUCAGACUCUCCUUCAGAGUCAGAAUCAUCUUCAGAGGCAAAAUCUCCUUCAGAGGAAGAAUCAGACUCUAGUGUUGAUUGCGACUUUCUCCAAUCCCAUGUUUAUGAUUCUUUCUCUAUGACAUCUAUGCUGACUUCAACUUUGUUGGUGACUGGGCAAUAGAUCUUAUAAGCACCUGUACUGAGGUAACCUAUAAGCAACAUGACUUUUCUUCUGUCAUCUAAUUUUCUUCUAGUAACAUCUGGUAUAUGUUUGUAACAUACAAAAUGAGUACACCUUGAAAUGGAUGACACUUUUAUUUCUUCCAAUCCACUUCUCAAUAGGAACUACUUCCUUUAACUUUUUUGUUGGACAUCUGCUGAGCAUAUAUACUGAAGUAGAAAUUUCUUAGGCAGAUUCUUCUCCCUUAGCAUGCUCCUUGUCAUGUCAAGGUAAGUUAUAUUUCUCCUUUCAGUAAGACCAUUAUAACGUGGAGUGUAUGGAGCAGUCACCUAAUGCUCAAUACCAUGUUCCUCACAUAACGUUUUGAACUCUAUUGACUUGAACUCACCUUCACCAUCGGUUAUGAGGAUCUUCAGCCUUUGUCCACUUUGAUUUUCAACCUUCACUUUGAACUUCUUGAACUCAACAAACACUACAUGUUUGAACUUAAUGAGUACUACCUAUGUCAUUCUUGCGAACACAUCCACAAAUGACACAAAUUACUUGUUUCCACCAAGUGAAACUACCUCAAAUGGACCACAUACAUUAUAAUGCACCACACCUAAAGCAUGAGUUACUCUUGGAGGAAUUUUUUAUGAGAAUGGAAAUCUUGGUUGCUUACUUCUCAUGCAUAUAUCACAUGAUUUCUCUGGUGCCACAAUCUUAGAAAUUCCAUGUACCAGAUUCCUUAAACUCAGAUUCCCUAAUAUUUUGUAGUUUAGAUGCCCCAAUCUCUUAUGCCACAUCUCACUUUCCCUUUCAGCACUUUUUGCACUAAGGCAUUGAGUGUUUGAUGUUGCAACAUUCACCUUGAAUGUCUUGUUUCUUCCUAGUUCAUACUGCAUAAUUAACUUCUGAUUACGGUCAUACAACUUCAAGAGGUUGUCCUUCAUGGUUACUAAAAAACCUUUUUCAAUUAGUUGACCUACACUCAUCAGAUUGUUAUUCAUGCCAGGAACAUACCAUACAUCCUUGAUUAUCACAGUUUUGCCAUUAUUCAACCUAACUCUGACAUUUCACAUUCCUUUAGCAUUCAAAUACUCAUCAUCAACACAUCUAAUCUUGGUCCUUUUUCUAGGUCAAAAUCAACCAGCCAUUACUUGUUUCUAGUUAGGUGGUUUGAGCAGCCAGUGUCCAUAUACCACUAGUCUACUAUUGAUCCACAAACAUUCUUAUAUUCCAUCAAUAACACAGGUUUGUCAUCAGAAUCUACUCUUGCUAUGUUGGCUUCUUCACCGUUGCUAACCUUGUUGACUAACAAUCGGUAGCAAAAUGACCAAACUUGUUGCAACUAUAGCACUGAACCUUUCUCUUGUCAAACUUCUCCUUUCCCUUCUGAACAUUCUAAUGUUUCAUAUCAUAAUUGGAGAGUUCUGACUUACGAACACCACCAUGAUACUUUUUCUUGUUCUCUAGCCAUGAUUGCUUCUAGUUAUUCUUACCAGCAGAAGCUUUUAGAGUUUGAGCUUUUAGAGUCUGUUCUAUCUCAUUUUCAGAGUUUCUUUCAGUCAAACACAACUUUUGUUCCUCUAAACUACUUUGAAGCUCUUCAAUUCUCAUGGUUCUAGUGUCUUUAUAGUGUUCUAUUUCUAUAACUAUGUAACCAAACGGAGGAGUAAUUGAUCUCAGUACAUUUCUCCACAAGACUUCAUCCCAUUCGUAACCACAAUCACUAUGGUGAUGUAAUCAGGCACAUUCUCAUUGUUCUUCAUGCUGAUAUUUUGAUAUUGCUUGCAUUGGGACUGAAAAUUGAUCUUCUUCACUGAUGUGUCACCACCAUAGCACCGUACCAGUGAAUCCAAUGUCGCCUUCGCCAUCGUCGAAUUGACAAUUUUCUCAAACACCUUCGUAUCUACACAUUGAUGGAUAUAUAAGAACGCCUUCUGAUCCUUCUUGUUCGUUUCACAUUGCAUAUUUCUUUGCGCUUUUGUUGCAUUUUCUACAACCGGCGUGUAACCGUCAUUGACGAGACCAAGAACAUCUUGAGCUCCAAAUAACACAUGCAUCUGAAUUGACCACCGACUCCAGUUCUUUCCGUCGAAUACUGGAAACUUUGUGUUCGAGUUACCGUUUUCGUCGUUCAUCUUCGUUCUUCUGCAAAUCACUCAGUUCUUACCAACACCCGUGUUUUCCAAACCGCGAGAAUCAAAAUCUGUGAUUCUCCUUGAUUUGAAUUUCAAUUCAACACGAAUAUCAAGAACAAAAUCAUCACAUACCUCAAAAGAAUCGAACCGGACCUCUAAAUAUCAAUUGUUGGAGUUCAACAAUGAACUCCCAUUAAUAAUGCACAAGAAUCGGAGAAGAUGAAGAUGAAGAGAGAGAGAGAGAGAGAGAGAGAGAGAGAGAGAUUAAUUCCUUGAUUGGCUUGCACUUGAGGCAAAAAAGGCAAUGCAAUGCUAUGCAAUGGACCAUGAUAUGCUAUGACCUAAUAUGAAAAUGUAUGUACAAUGAUGGGUGCAAAUUUGAGGUGCUACACUUGCAUAGGGACUGAAAACUGAUCUUCUUCACUAAUGUGUCACCACCAUAGCACCGUACCAGUGAAUCCAAUGUCGCCUUCGCCAUCGUCGAAUCGACAAUUUUCUCAAACACCUUCGUAUCUACACACUGACGGAUAUAUAACAACGCCUUCUGAUCCUUCUUGUGCGUUUCACGUUGCAUAUUUCUUUGCACUUUUGUUGCAUUUUCUAUAACCGGUGUGUAACCGUCAUUGACGAGACCAAGAACAUCUUGAGCUCCGAAUAACACAUGCAUUUGAAUUGACCACCGACUCCAGUUCUUUCCGUCGAAUACUAGAAGUUUUGUGUUCAAGCUACCGUUUUCGUCGUUCAUCUUCGUUCUUCUGCAAAUCACUUAGUACUUACCAACACUCGUGUUUUCUAAACCGCGAGAAUCAAGAUAUGUGAUUCUCCUUGAUUUGAACUUCAAUUCAACACGAAUAUCAAGAACAAAAUCAUCACACACCUCACAAGAAUCGAACCGGACCUCUAAAUAUCAAUUGUUGGAGUUCAACAAUGAACUCCCAUUAAUAAUGCACAAGAAUCGGAGAAGAUGAAGAAUGAGAGAGAGAGAGAGAGAGAGAGAGAGAGAGAGAACUCUAUAACUAACUUUCACUAUUCAGAUUUUUUUAAAAUUCCGUUACACAUUCAACUUACUUUGGGCUUAUAUAGAUUCACCCAAACUCGAAUGCACAUUAAAUGAAAAUUCAAAUUUAAAUAAAAAUGUAAACUUAAAUGCAAAAAAAAUCUCAAAACUAAGCUAACUUCAAUGUUGAAUUACAUUCAUCAGCAUGUUUUUAAUCAUAUGAGAGUUACUUACAUAUAUAAUUGUAAUGAAAAAUUUCAUUUGAUCAACUUCUAUAAAAAAAGAGAUUAAUUGUUAUGCAUUGUCCGUGUAAAAAGUUUACACUGUGAAUACAUCAUAAUCAUCCGUUUGUGUUACUUUAUAUGUGAUUAUAAUAAAAUUCAAACUUCUCUAACAAAUCAAUAGUUGUAAUCAAGUGACAGUGUAAAAUAUCUUUACACCGUUAUGUAUUCCAAUUAAAUUCAUAAAAAAGUAAACUUAUAUUGUUUAAUAAUUAUAUAAUUUUAUACUUAAAGCCUAAAAGGUAGACUGAUUUAUAACAAAAGACAUUAUUCUUACUAUUUUCUGAUCGCAAAUUUUCUAUCUCAUUUUAUUAAUUAUGUAAAAUAAAAUAUUAUUAGUUUUUAUAUAUAAAAACAAUUCAAGUUUCUAUGAAUUUUAAUGAAUAAAUACAAUUAAUAUACUCUAAACUAUUUUUGUAAUGACAAAUAUUAUUAAUAAUUAUUGAAUAAAAUUUAGGAAAAUUCUUAUCUACUUAUAAAAAAAAAUUGGGUAGAGUUAUUAUAGAAUAGAUUGUCUCGAAAAUUUCUCAAAUUCAAAAAAUUUAAUAAAUAAUUAAAGAGAUUAUGGAAAUAUACUAUUAGUGUAACUAUUAUUCAAUUAAAAUUAAUUAUUUCAACAUAUAAAUAUAAAAAUAAAAAAAAUAAAAAAAAUAAAAAAUUAAAUCAUUUUAAUAAUUAUUUAUUUCAUAUAAUGACGAAUUUUAAUUGAAUGAUAAUGACAAUGAUUUUAUACCUAACAGUAUAUUUUAAUUAAUCAUAUAUGAUAAAAUUAAAUGGUAUUAAAUAAUUGGUUGAAACAUGUGUAGAGAAGUUAUCGCAUAAAAUUUAUCUAAGAAUUGCCCGAUAAACAUUGUUAUGUAAUAUAAUUUUGUAACUGUAAUAUUGUUUCUAAGGUAAAUGAAACAUGAAACACACGGUGUUAGAGAUGCUUCAAUCUUUACCAAAACAUUAAUUUAUCUAAGAAUUGCCCGAUAAACAUUGUUAUGUAAUAUAAUUUUGUAACUGUAAUAUUGUUUCUAAGGUAAAUGAAACAUGAAACACACGGUGUUAGAGAUGCUUCAAUCUUUACCAAAACAUGAUUUGUCUAAGUCGGUGAAUAAAACAAGCACAAAGUGUACUGACGCUGGCAUGGUAUGCAUGGUAUAAAAGAGAGAAUCACAUUACUUUAUUUAUGUAACUGAUUUGUUCACACUAUUAUUCACAUACUCACGUUUAAAUGACUCGCAUAUUAAUUUGAAAUUAAAUUUUGCUGUCAAAUAGAACAUUAUAGAAAUAGUCGAGUCUUCCUUUAAGCAUAGUUUCUGCCUCGGAUCACCUCUAUAAAUUUCAACCAUUUUCAGAAGCUAAAUAUCAUAAACAUUUUCAAUAAUACUCUCUUGCAAUACCAAAAAAAUGGCGGCAAAAUUUUCAGUUCCAAUCAAAAUCAUCUCCUUCUCAAUAUUAGUUUUCAUAACCAUUAACAUAGUUAAUGGUCAAGCUCAACCAAAUCAAUCAACCUUGGUGUUCUACCUACAAGAUGUCGGAAAAGGACCUAAAGCAACCGUUUCACCGGUUAUAGGCAUCAAUGGCAAGGUUUGGUCAUACAACACAUUUGGAACAAUAUUUGUUGUUGAUGAUCCUGUUACAUUAAG
rnacentral:lncRNA from 1 species